AACCUUGCCGGAGAGUGCAUUUCCGAUCUCCACCGUCCAGAAUGAAGGCCACAUCUAGGCGCACCACAUAUCCAAAAAAUUAGGCACGAUCCAACGGUGGAAGAGAGAGAAAUCGGUCGGCGACCAAAACUGCCCUGCAGGUAUAUUUCCUUUUGUUUUCCAGGACACUUCCGAUGAUGAUUUCUGUUCAAUGGAUUAUGUUCCUUCAAAUCCCUCCCGUCAGUUAAUAGAGAAGUGUGGAAAAAACAAUAUAUCCAAAAAUCAACAUGAUCCAACGGUGGAUUCCAGAGAUAUGGCCAUCGAAGCAUUAUUGGUUCAUCCAAAUCCUGCACCUCUUUGUAACCGAAUUCUCUAUUGUCUCUCACCCCUUUUUGUUUUUUUUUUUAAUUUAAUCUAGUGGCCUUUUGCUGUUUUUAAAGGCACCUUUUUUUCCUAAUUACAUUUAUGUCCCUCAUUUAUGUAUUUAUAUAUUAUUUUUUUUCAUGUAAACCAUCUGGUUUGUUUCUACUUAAAUCAUUAGUCUUUACCAAACUCCCAUUGGGAUGAUAUCUUUCACCAAUGUAGGAAAACAUAUUAAUAAACUUCAUGCAAAAUUUCAUCCCAAUCCGACAAUUGAAUUGAGAGCUCUGCUUUCUAAUGUAAAAUUGGUCAGUUUAUGACUUUUCGUUAACUAUCCAAAUUUUCUAGUUCAAUCUUCACAUAAAAUAAUAUCAAUCAUCCUUCUAAACCUUUAAGAUCAUUUUAUUAUUUUGGAAUAUAUUCAUUUUGUCAUUUCUCUCAUUAUUUUAUUCAUCAAAACACGUUACCAGUUUCUCUGUCUUUAUGAAUUCUAAAACAAAAUUCAUUUUAUGGAGGUCAUCCCCUCCAUUAUAUAUCACUUUCAGUCUUACGUUUACAUGGCAGGUUAUACAUCCGCAUAUUUAAAUCAUUAAUUUUCUAGGGUUUCACAUAAUAUGUUUGAAUAAUUAGUAUAGAUUGGGUCAAUUGGUUGUGGCGAUUGUUAAUAUUUACAGGUUUGUGGAUUUGGGUAGUAUCCAGUAUAGGGGAGGUGUUGUCGAAUUAUUUUUUAACAUUUAAAUUUAAUUAUAUAAUUAUUUGUGUAAAAUUGGGUAGAUGCGUAGAACGAAAACCAAAGCUGGUCAUUCACAUAAGGUCGUAGAUAGUUCAUCUAGCAGCGAUGACAAUAUUUCCUUAGGUGCUUCUCAAAAAGAGGUACCUACACCCCCUACGCCGUCAACCGAUGUUGCGUCUUCCAACGCUACUUCAUAGUGCAGAGCCGGCGUGCCUUCACAGCGGAAUCAAUUUACCUGCAAGUACGAGGCAUAGUGAAAUGACGACCUUUCAAUGUAAGUUUGUUAAGGUUUCAAUUUAAAAAAAAAACAAUUAUAACAUAAUUUAUGAAGUAAUCACUAUUUCUUUAAUUUUAUUUAUUUUCAGGUUCACAAACAUUGAGGCCACCCGAGUAAUAUCAUCGGCGUUUAAAUCGUCGAUGGAGAUUCCAUUGUUUCAAUGGAGUCAAAUAUCCAAGCAUCCUGAAUGGAUGCCUCAAAUCAAUGCAUGGUUUGACAGAUUUGAGGUUGAUGUUAAUUUAUAAUUUUGAACUUAUUUCUAAGAAAUUAUUAUUAUAAUUUUAAAUAAAUUAUUUUUUAUUUAAAAUUAAUUAUUUAUACACAGGACAAAUUCUGCUGGGAUAGUGAGCAUAGCACUAUUGUAAGGAGGGUGUGGGAAAAUCACACGACAACUAGGUAACAUCGAAAACAAUACAAGAUUUUUUUUAGACAAAAAUUUAUGUUUCGAAAUGUAAUUUUUGGUUGCGUGAAGUAGGUUGCAUGAUUUUUGGUACGAAGCACAAAAAAUGGCAAAAAAAAACAGCAAGGGAUAAGGGGUUCCAAGGCUGGAACGAUGUUGAGGUUUGAAGGGAUUUCAAACUGAUAUACAUCUCGAAAGAUAUAUGGCCGCACUAUCUUGAGCACGUGAUGUCUGAGCGGUUCACACGACACUCACAGUCCGAUGCUCGCAAUCGAAAUCGGCCAAUUCAUGGCUCGGUGACAACGCUCACCGGCGGCUCCGUUUCAUUUUCUACACAUACGAAAUGGAUGGUAAGAUUAAUUUAAAUGAAAUAUAUCGUUCAAUUAAUUUGUUGUUAAUAAAAUUUUUUCAUUAUAGGCUACAUCUCUUGGACGUGAGCCGAGCCCGAUGGAGCUGUUUAUGGAGACGCACAUGCGGUGUCAAAACUGCCAAAAGGGGGCGCAACAGUUCGUUGACAACCGUGCUCAACAUUUCAUGGUAUGUUUGUUCAACCAUUUUAUUUUCUAAGUUAUUAUGUUUAUUGAAUUGAAUAUAAUGAUUACUUUUUAUUUUUAUUUUUAGGAGACCUAUAAUAAUCGGUUGAGGGAGAGAUAUGGGGACGAUCCUUUGACCCAUCCGGAAUUCGAUCCGAAUUUGUGGAUGGAGGUUGGAUCGUUAGGUGGACCCGAUAAAAAUCAGGUUUACGGGUUCUUCAACACUACGGCCGACAACUCGCCGCCAGCCCAUAGUGCUUCAACCGUUGGAAGCUCCCAAUCAAUAUCGAGCUCCCAAUCUAAGGAGUUUGUGGUCUUGCAGCAACACACGAGUCAGCUCACUGAAAAACAUCGAGCUCCCAAUCGAAGUACACACAACUCAAAGCGUCUCAUGAAGCAGAGUCUACACAACAAAAAGCGACUUAUGAACAGCUUCGCGAAAUGAUCAUGAACAUGGCAUCACAGAGUGGAACAUGUGUGCCUAAUCCUUUUUGGACGUAUAACCACCUGCCUCCUCCUCCUCCUCCUCCUCCACCACCAUUAUAUUAAUAUGUAAUAAACAUUAUUUACAUUUAAUAUUUCAUUUAAUAUGUUUUUCAAACAUAUUUAUUUUGUAAUGAAUAUUAUUUAACUUUGAUUUUUUGUUUUUUAUGUUUAAUAUAAAGUUUAUUUGCAUAAUUAGUUUUUAUUAACAUUAAUUUAUAUAAUUUUAUAUUAUGUAUUCUAAAUCAUUUUUAAAAAACAAAAUUUGAAAAAUAACUAUUAAAAAGGGUUUUAUCGAUGGAAUUAAUCUAUCAGCAUUUGACAGUAGUUGCCACAAUCACCGACGAAUUUACAGACGGAUACAUUCGGUUGGUAUUUCAUACAUUCACCGACAGAUUUCCUACGGAAUUAAUUCGUCAGCAUUUUGCCACCAUUACCGAUGAAUUUACAGACGGAUAUAUUCGGUCAAUAUUUCAAUCACUCACUGACAAAGUUACCGAUGAAAAGUGGCCGUCGGUAAAUCACCAUAUAACCGACGAAAUAAAAAUCUGUCGGUAUAUUUCAGUGGGAAACUUUUUUUUUUACGCGCAAAGUCCGUCUAUAAAACUGUCGGCAAAUGGUUUUUUUGUUCUUCCGACCGAUAUAGCGAUAGAAUGGGGAAUCACCGACGAAAGGAAAGGUGACAGACGCAUUCCGUCGGUAAUAACAUCAAUAAAGAAUUUAUCGACGAACUCAUAAUCACACACCGACGGAACAUUUCCAUCGGUAAAACUGUGAAAUCUUGUAGUGAACCCAUUAAUGACUUAUUUGUUUCUUAAAUUUGGAAUUAAUUGACAACUAAGAGACUUUAAUUUCUUUAUCUAUAUUUAUAUCAAUUAGUUUUCUUGGGAUGAUUUGAAUUUUUAAUUUUCAAUUUUUUUCUCUUCAUUUAAAACCCUUUAGUGUUUUGUUCUCUUACAUCUUGUUGAACAUCAUGGAACAUGAAGGGCUUCUUUUAGAGGAUACUUCAGUCCUUAUGUUACAUGGUAUGUCUUAUUUGGUCCCUUUAAUUCUUAAUUGUAUCAAUUAAUUCUCCAAAUUUUAAGCCAAUUGAAAUCAGAUCAUUAGUAGAAGCGUAACAGUUAGUUCAUGUGAAAUUAUUAAUUGAAAAAUUCACCAAAAAGAAUUAUUAUUUGUGAUACACCUAGUUUAUCUUCUAAGAUGUUACGCCAAACAAAAAAUGAAAGCAAUAAAAUCAGGCUAAUAGAAUUUUAACCAAGUUGGAUAACUUUUCAUGCAAUCGAAGCCCAAUGUUUCAAUCAUUUUCCUAACUCAAAAAUAAAAUGCUAUACAACAAGGCGAUAAUAUCAUCGGACCUAGGAGGGCAAAAAGGACGGAACUUUCACAAAGAAAUCCUUCGACUAAUUGAGCUCAGGUUACUGUUCCUGCACGAAGUGGAUAAAUACUCUUCCUAAAUAAAUAAUCAUUCCACUGUUCAAUUGUACUAAAUGUUACUGAACCAUAAAGGGGAUGAUGAAGCAGAUGGUUUGGUGUUGAAGGUACUACUAACUCUGCCUCUGCCAUAAAGGGGAUGAUAAAGGGGAUGAUGAAGCAGAUGGUUUGGGGUUGCCAAUGCCAUGAUCCCACUCUGCCUCUUCAAAUGAAUCCAAAUCUACUAUCACUCGGAUCCCACAUUGUUUCACAUUAAUGUCUUCGCCACCCAAAUUCACAUACAAUUCCAACUCUUCGUGCCCACAACAUUCUUCCAUUGCCAUCUCACUAAAACUUACGUAUCCCAUCCAGCUAAUAGGGGAAUAGAGUCCGACUACUUGUGUAGCUUCAAACAAUUGCAUACCGUUGCUCUUUUUUUUAAUAAUAGCAUUGAUUGUAUGACUACUACUCAAAAAAAUCCUUGUACUGAAAGCCCAAAAAAUCAACCCUUGGAAAACUGGAGGUGUAUGAAAUGAUAAUGAGCAUCCUUCUCCACGGUACCACCCCUUUGACAAAUUAUAAUAGAUUCCCAUAAUCAAUUUGGCAUCAUAGGAGCGUAUAUGAUAUCCAUAACCACCGGUGCACAAUGCCUGCAUAUAUUUAUAUGUAUAGAUUUCAAAGAGUGCUGAAAUUUUGGACUCCGUAUAUAUAUAUAGAGAGGGGGGGGGGAGUAUAUGCCAAUUGUGUGUUUAUUUGUGUGCAAGAGAGACAGAAAAAGUACCUCAACAACACUCUUCUUAUUAUUAUUUGAUAAAUCGCAGGCGGUAUCAGAGGAAAUAAUCCAACCAUGAGUACUUAGACCUUCCAUGCCCUGAAUCUCUAUUAAAUUUGAACACCUAUAUAGAGACAGAUUUUCUUUUUUUUUUUACCUGAGUGGCAGUCUUACUCUUUCCAAUGAUGUGCAACCGGUUGCUUCCAAGAGUUUUAAAUUUGAGGGAAGCUCUGAGAUUGAUACAAGAUUGCUGCAAUACGACACUCUCAAGACUCGCAGCUUAGGAAGGACCCCGAUGCCAGAAGGCAGACUGAAGAAAUUGUUUCCUGAUAGAUUCAAUUCUACGAGAGAGGACAAACAACCAAAAUCAACACAAUUAGUUGGCGUUCAGACAAACCAUAAUAAGCAAGUCUUAGUUUUCUCAAUAAUCUCCAACCAGUACUGAAUGAAGUUGGCAGCAAGGCUUUCCAAUCUAAAACACUUGCUGACAUCCAAGAUGAAAUUGGUGAAGGCCAGAUGUAGAUGAUGAUGAGUCCAGAUUGAAAUUGUAUCCGCACAAUGACAACUUCCUUACAUACUUUAAAUGUUCAAUUGAAGAAAAAUUGCUCAUUCUCAAUUCCAUCUGCUAACAGCUCAGUAAAGGAUUCAAUAUCACACCAUGCGCUCCGGCAACUUCUCAAGUUGAACACCCCGAAAUAUUCAAACUUUCAAGAGAUUUACAUCACAAAUGCUUUCAGGAAGAAUCUUUAGCCUCCAACAUCCCUUCAUAUUCAAGAAAACAAGGCUCUUUAAAUGUCCAACAGAUUGAUGCAACUCAACUAAACUCGAGCAACCUUCAAGCAUUAGUUUCUCUAAACUGGAACUUUGCAAGUUUGGUGUUUUAACAAGGUGCUUUGAAUAACUGAGAUUAAGGAUUCUCAGCUUGUUGAGAAUCUGUCAGAGCAGAGAGAACAACAAAAACUAAUCAUCAAAAGUUAACUUGAAAAUAUAAACAACAAAUUUUGGAGGACUGUAGUAUGUUUCGCACCUUUUUUUCCUUCCAAAAUUCUUUGAUGUUACUAUACUGCAUAUCAAGAACAACUAGGUUGUCCAACAAUAAAUCGGAUGGAAAAGAUUUUAAAGCAUUCAAGCCAACAAAUCCAUAUCAACUCUUCAGAAAGCAGGUUGAAGGGUCCAGUGAGAUGUACUCCAUUGAUUUGGAGUAACUUCAAGCAUCGCAUAUUUGUAAAUGAUCCCGUGCUCAGUGAUUUAUCUUCUGAUGCUCUCGCAUCCAGCAUUAGACCCUCUACAACUUCCGUUCCCUAAAAAAGCAACAAAAUUCAGUAGAACUUCUAAAUAAUUAUAAGCAAAACGUUUGAAAAGAAAGAUACACGUGCAUGAUUGUGCUUUUGUGUAUGCAUUUAGUAAUUACCAUCUGCUUGCUGAGUACAUUCCAUGCAUCCUCACGUUGCCAAAUUCGGCUGCGUUUUCCAGGGUGGUCAGGACUCUUCAUGAAUGAUCUCCCUUCCCAUGUCUCUCAAUAGAUCAUGCAUGCCUAUCUUUCCAGAAGCAUUAACUUUAAUCAAAGACCUUUCACUGAGAAUUCCCAAAUCAUCUUCUGGAUUGUAACCACAACGGGCUUCUAGUACAUUUGCUACGUAUCUUUAUUUCUACCAAUAAAAAAGCAUGCAAUAUCAAGAAAUGUAUUCUUUAGUUUAUGGUCAUCAAGUGUGUCAAAACUUAUUCUAAGUUUUUUCUGAAUUUCACGAUUUGAGAUUUUUCUCAAUUUGUCAAUUACACAUUUCCAUCUAGAUUUGUUUUUCCCGGACAAACAAGAACCUAAAACCUCAAGGGCUAAAGGAAGCCCUCCACAGUAAUCAACUAUAUCAUUCAAAAGCUCAACAUAAUCUUUUUUGGCUUGCUAUCCCCAAAGGCAUGCCAACUGAAAAGCUGAAAGGACUCAUACUGUUUCAAUUCUUCGACCUGAUAUGUUCGAUCCGCUUUAGAAGCAAGCGUUCAUCUUUAGUUGUAAUUAUUACUCUACUCCCGGGACCAAACCAGCUUCGCUCUCCCAUCAAAGCAUUUAGUUGCUUCAAAUGAACCACAUCAUCAAAAACAACAAGAACUCUUUUGUGACAAAGCCGUUCCUUGAUGAGAACCAUUCCUCUAUCAACAUUAUUGAUAGUUCCAGCAUUUUGUUUUAAAAUAUCAUGAAGAAUAUGUUCUUGUAAAGAACAAGACCAUUCGAUUGUUCUGAUGUGUCAUUGAUAUUCGAAAGAAAACAGCUUCCCUCAAAUCCAUAGCAGAGUUGAUUAAAUACAACUUUUGCUAUAGUCGUCUUUCCUAUUCCUGGCAUCCCAUGUAUGCCCACAAUGCGAACCUCAUCUGUCGCAGCACUUAGGAAGUCACUAAUAGUAUGGACAAGGCGAUCAAUACCUACUAGGUGAGUAGCAACAUUUAGGUUCUUGGGAUCCAAUUUAUUCAACACAUCCUUGACAAUCACUUGGAUAAAUUUUGAUUCGUGGCUGUUCAUUGACAAAACAACUCAUUAAUAGAGAGACAAUUAAGCAUGCUAAAAAAAUAUUUUGUUGUUUCACAUGGUAAAAUCUAAUGUAUAAUUACUCCAUAAAUGUGUGCAAGUGAAUCUUAGAGAGAAAUGUCAUACCCAUUUUCCAUAUCAUUGAGAUUCCAUCCACUUAGAUUUCCGGCCUCCUCAAGAGCUUUUCUCCAUUCCUUUACCUUCUCUUUAAAACAUUCUUCAUGGCUAUCAAAUGCUUUUGCAAAACUGCCAGUCUGUUUUCUCACAUCUGAAGGAUUAAUGUCAUAGAAUACUGGAAGAACAAUCUGACCAGUUUUCCUGUUUUUGCACUCAAGAAUCUCUACAAGUUCAUUAAGACACCAUCUAGAAGAAGCAUAUCCUUUUGAGAACACCACUAUAUAUAUCUUUGAUUCUUGAAUUGCCUUAAGGAGAUGUUUGGAGAUUUCUUCACCUCUAGGAAUUUCAUUAUGAUCUUGAAAAGUGAGGAUUCCUGCCUGGCCUAAGGCAGUAUAUAGAUGAUCUGUAAAAUUCUUGCGAUUAUCUUCUCCUCUAAAACUCAGAAAUACAUCAUAGGCCCCUUUUGGUCUAAUGAAGAUUCUGGCUCUGUCAUGGAAGCUGCAGAAAUUAUGGCACAAUAAAUUAGCAAUGCAGCAAUGAAUUGGAGAAGGAAUCUGCUUUCUUGUAAUUAAAAUGCAUGUAAGGCGAUCACCAGAGGCAAUACAUAUGAAUGUGCUGAGAUAGAACUUUCACUGAAACAAACGGAUUGAUGAUAUUGUCAGUGGAAUUCUUCAUUUCUGACCAUUGUUCAACACUUCCAUUAUUUAUCAGUGGAUUAUCAGUAAGUCAAAAGAUAUUUGCUAGGAUAUUCCAAAAUUUAGUGUUCUUUCUUUAGUGAUUACCAGACAGAUUCAAUAGACAAUAAAUUACAUGAGAACACUCAUGGGUACAUUAGAUAGGACUGAAUCAGACCAGGAACUCCAACAAACCAACCCUUUGUCUUUCUCCUUCCACUAAAUAUGCAAAAGCAUCUUUAUCCCAAUCAGUGACCACAUCAUUGUCAUGUCGCCUGACGCGUCACCCGCCACGUGUCAGGACACACCAUCUACUAUCAUCUACCAAUCUCCAUCGGCCACGUCAUCAGUGGUGGAAUGCAAGAAGCAUGAGGUUACAUGCUGGGCUACCUCCAUCAUUUUGGUCCGGAGUACUUGUUAAUACUGCAGUCUAUUUGAUCAAUCAAUGACCUUCUGCUCCUAUAAAUUUUAGAAUUCCAGAAGAGGUUUGGACAGGAAAGGAUGUAAAACUUUCACACUACAAAGUAUUUGGUUGUGUUUCUUAUGUACACAUAGAUUCUGAAGCUAGAAGCAAGCUUGAUCCAAAGUCUAGAAAAUGUAACUUUAUUGGAUAUGAAACUGAUGAGUUUGGAUAUCAGUUUGGGAUGAGAAAAAUUGAAAAAUUAUCGAAAGUAAAAAUGUCAUAUUCAAUGAGAAGGUGAUGUACAAGGACAAGGAUGCAGCAGAUUGACGUAGGCCUAAACCAGAAACAAAGACAACUGAGGUAGUUGAUGUGGAUGAUAUUAUUGAAAGCAUUGUGCAAAAUAGUGGUCAAAAGACUCAAAACAAAGAAAAUGUUGAUCCAUAUAUAGAGCCAUAGACUCUAGUAACGGUAGUCAUAAGAUCUUCCAGAACUAUCAGACCUCUAUAAUGUUUCUCACCAUUAUUGAAUUACAUCUUGUUGACACAGAUAAUGGUGAGCCAUAAAAUCAUGAUGAAGCCAUGCAAGUUGAAGAAUCAAGGAGGUAGGAGUCGGCUAUGAGAGAUGAAAUGGAUUCCUUGUUAUGGAAUCAGACAUGGGAGCUAACUGAACUACCUAUAGGAAAGAAAGAUUUGCUUAAUAAAUAGGUGUACAAGAUAAAAGAAGAACACGACGGCAGCAAAUGCUACAAAGCAAGACUAGUCGUGAAGGGAAUUUUAACAAAAAGAAGGUAUUGACUACACAUAUAUCUUUUCUCUUGUGGUGAAACUUACAACAAUUAGAUUGGUCCUGGGAAUUGUGGCUGCAGAAGAUCUACAUCUUGAGCAGUUAGAUGUGAAGACCGCUUUCCUUCAUGGAGACUUAGAGGAAGACAUCUACAUGAAGCAGCCAGUGGGUUUUUCAGAAAAAGGAAAAGAGAAUAUGAUUUGCAAGCUGACAAGGAGUUUGUAAGGCUUGAAACAAGUUCCUAAGCAAUGGUAUAAGAAGAUUGACAGCUUUAUGUGCAAUAAUGGGUUCAUGCGACUGCAAGCAGACCAUUGUUGUUAUGUGAAGAAUUUUGACGACUCCUGUAUCAUCUUAUUGCUAUAUAUGGAUGACAUGCUAAUUGCAGGAUCUAGCAUCUAUGAGAUCAAUAAGUUAAAUUAAGAAGCAAUUGUCAUUAUAAUUUGAAAUGAAGGACUUGAGAGCUGCAAAACAAAUCCUUGGUGUCAUCAGGGACAGAGGUAACGGUACCCUGAAGCUUUCACAAGAAGAGUUUGUUAAACACACCCUUGGCUAGUCAUUUCAAACUAACCAAAGAGCAAUCACCGAAGACAGAAAAAGAAAGGAGCUACAUGAGCAUAAUUCCUUAUGCAUCAGCAAUCAGAAGUCUUAUGUAUUCCAUGAUUUGUACAAGAUCAGCCAUUGCAUAUUCAUUGAGAGCUUUGAGCAGAUACACAAGUAAUCCUGGCAAACAACACCGGGAAGUGGUCAAAUGGAUUUUAAGAUAUCUGAAAGGUUCUUCAGAUAUACCUCUUUGUUUCACAAAAUUCAAACUUAUAUUCAUACACAAAUGUAUACUCCCCAGGAAUUUCAAUUGCAUUUAUAUUCAUCAAUGUAGGAAUUGGGUUCAAGCUUUUCCCAACCCCUUCUCAUCAAUGGACUCCUAACAUAUACAAAGAAGUGCGGUUCGUUCGAAAAAUUCCAUUCACUCUCUUCUUGAUAAUGGUCAGUUGACACUUGACAAGAUUUGAGGAAGCGAAAAUCCUGCUGAUAUUCUUACAAAAGAAGUAAUGAUAGAAAAACUGAAGUUGUGCAAAGCUUCAGUUGGUCUUCAAGAAUAGAAGACAGGUGAGAUGCCUUUUGUCUCUAAGCAGGAAAUUGUUAAUUAAUGGAGAACAAAAUGUUGUAUUAAACUCAAUCUAGAGGGUUAAGAAAGGCAACCACCGCCCAGUUAGCCACCGGCUAUCACCGACCAGCCGCCAGCCGCCAGCUGCCACCGCCUAGCGGCAUGCCGCCAGCCAUCUUCACACCUGAAAGUUUGAUUUUUUUCAUAUUUCAACUAAGCUUAUGUUAUUAUGUGUGGAGAGUUUAGAGAGAAACACUAGAUAUAGAGAGAGAGGGCGUGUAUUAAGAUUUUGUGUUAUUGUAAGCUUUUUGUUCUUGAAAUAAAACUUUGUGUUUUAUCCCCUCUGAGUGUUUCAAAGCCACCACCAGUGGUUUCUCCCACCAACAAUUGGUAUCAGAGCUCCGUUCGUCAGAAAACAGAAGUGUUUUGGGAUAUACCCGAUUUUUCAAAAUUGUCAAAAAUAAAUUUUGAUCAUUCCACAAUGUAGAGCUCAUCAAUACAAACUCAAUGGUGCAAGAAUCAGCUUCAUCAAAGAUGGAGGUAGCCCACACGCGCCGCCUGAAGAUUCUGCACAGUUCGACCACGCGCAGACAAGCGCCCAAAGGUAGACGACGACUGAGCCACACACGCGCCAUAAAUUAAGCCGAGUCGAGCCGUUUAAGCCGCGUCCUAGCCGAGCUGCAAGCCGAGUUCAGCCGAGCCACAAGUAGAGCCGUCCUCCACGCCGAGCCGAGCCACUAUCCAACCACAGCCGAGCUGACAGAAUAUUCCUGGUUCAACUCCAAUGAACCGCCCGCUGUACAGAAAAAGGUUUUUUGACCGAUUCACCCUAUUUUUGACCCAUUUUCAACAAAGUCAAAUUGGUUUCCUACUAUUUGGAGCAUUCCGAAUCGAUAUACAGUGUCCGUUUUGCCAAAUUCGGCUCCCAGAAGGUGAUAUAGUCAUUCAAAGAGCAAAAUGACUACAUAAAGUACACAAACACUCAUCCCAAAGCUGACCAAAGACAACUAUGAUAGUUGGUUCAUCAUAUUAAAGGCAUUCCUUGGUUCACAAGAGUGUAUAGAGAUUGUGUUGUAUGGUUAUGAUAAACCAGAGUCUAAAGAAGAAGAAGAUGCUCUACAAGAGGCACAAAAGCAAGCCCUAAAAGUCAACAGAAAGAAAGACAACAAAGCAAAGACCAUAAUUUAUCAAGGUCUUGAUGAAGACACAUUCGAGAUCAUUGCUUCCGCUGAAACAUCAAAAGACAUAUGGGAGGCUCUCCAACAAAAAUACAAAGGUGCUGACAGAAUCAAGAAGAUUCGUCUUCAAUCUUUACGAGGUGAAUUUGAAUUAUUGCAAAUGAAGUCCUCGGAGUCUAUUUUUGAUUAUCACACAAGAAUUAUGGUGAUAGUCAAUAAAAUGAGAAGAAAUGGAGAAGCCAUCACAGAUUCUCGAAUUACUGAGAAAAUUUUGAGAUCCCUAGAUCCAAAAUUUGAUUUUGUUGUUGUCGCUAUUGAAGAGUCCAAAGAAGUGGACAAGUUGAUAGUGGAUGAGCUUAUGAGUUCUUUGCAAGCUCAUGAGCAAAAGAUUGUAAAGCGAAAUGAAGAUAAGACCAUUGAGCAUGCCUUACAAGCAAAGUUGUCUCUCAAGGACAGAUAUGAGCAAGGGGAGACUUCAACAAGUGGAUAUACCACUCAAGCAAGAAGUCAACAAUCCAGAGGAGGAUUUCAGAUAUUUCAAGGAAGAGGAUCUUGGAAUACAAGCUUUAGAGGAUAGUUACUUUUGGAGAUACCUCAAAGGUUUCAUUCAAAGGUAAAGGCAACAUCCCAAUCAAGUUAAAGAACGGCGAUCACAGCUACAUCGCCGAUGUUUAUUAUGUCUCAGCCAUAAAGCAGAACUUGAUCAGCAUAGGUUAACUUAUGGAGAGAGGUUAUAUUCUUUUCACGAAUAAUUGUCAAAUGACAAUUAGAGACUACAAUGGGAGAUUAAUUGCCUAUGUGAAAAUGUCCAAGAAUAGGAUGUUUCCUUUAAACAUCCAGUAUGAUGCAACAAGGUGUUUGAGUGCCAUCACCAACAAUGAAGAAUGGCUUUGGCACCUGAGGCUUGGACAUCUGAAUUUCACGAGUUUAAGAUGCUAGCAAGCAAGAAGAUGGUCAAAGGUAUGCCUCACGUUGAUCAUCCAGAUGAAGUCUUUGAAAGUUGUGUCCUUAGCAAACAUCACAAAUCCAGUUUUGCCAAAGAAGUCAACUGGAAAGCAAAGAGGCCACUGGAGUUAGUGCACACAGAUGUGUGUGACCCAAUAAAGCCUAUGUCGACUAGACAAAAUAGGUACUUCCUCACUUUUAUUGAUGAUUUUAGCAGAAAGACGUGGAUAUACUUUCUGAAGAGGAAGUCAGAAGUGUUCAAUUAUUUUAAAGAUUUUAAAGCAAUUAUGGAGAAGCAAAGUGGCUACACAAUCAGAACCGUAAGAUUUGAUCAAGGUGGAGAAUAUACAACAAAUGACUUUGAAGCUUUUUAUACACAACAAGGCUUCAGACAUCAAACAACACCAGCUUAUACACCACAGUUGAAUGGUGUAGCAGAAAGGAAGAAUCGAACAAUUCUUGAUAUGGCAAGAAGUUUGCUCAAAGCAAAGAAGUUGCCCAAGCAAAACUGGGCUGAAGCUGUAUCAUAUGCAGUGUAUCUACUGAAUCGCUACCCAACCAGAAGUUUGCAAGGUGUCACUCCACAAGAAGCAUGGAGUGGUCACAAACCAAGUGUUACUCAUCUACGAGUCUUUGGUUGUGUGACAUAUGCAAAGAUCCCAGAUGCAAGAAGGACCAAACUCGAUGAUAAAAGCGAGAAAUGCAUCUUUGUCGGAUAUGGUGAAAGAAGGAUGGGAUACAAGCUGUAUAAUCCCAUCACAAAGAAGGUAAUUAUGAGUAGAGAUGUUAUCUUUGAAGAAGAUAAAUCUUGGGAAUGGAAUGAUGACCAAGAAGCAGUCAAAUGGAUCAACACUGAUUUGAUCCUUGAAGAUGAAGAAGUACCAACAGCACUUGCAGAAGAACCGAUUGUGCCAGCAGAUGAACCACAAAGUCCGGUACACAGAUUCCCUGUAUUCAACAGGAGGAACACACCAGAAGGACCAAGAAGGAUGAGAAAUCUUGAAGAGUUGUACGAUGUCACUCAAGUCAUGGAAGAUACAACUUUAUUUUAUUUCUUUGCAGAUAGUGACCCACUAAGCUUCAAUGAAGUUAUCAUAAAAGAGAAAUGGAUAAAAGCAAUGGAUGAAGAAAUACAUGCCAUUGAGAAGAAUGAUACUGGAAGCUAACUAAUCUACCAGAAAAUAAGAAAGCAAUAGGUGUCAAAUGGGUCUACAAAACAAAGAAGAAUGCAAAAGGAGAAGUGCAAAGAUACAAAGUCAGAUUAGUGGCUAAAGGCUACAAACAAAGAGAAGACAUUAACUAUGGAGAAGUAUUUGCUCCAGUAGCCCGGCUAGAGACAAUCAGACUGAUGAUCCUAAUAGCUGCACAACAUGGAUGGAAGAUCUAUCAACUCAAUAUGAAGUCAACAUUUCUGAAUGGCUUCCUAGAAGAAGAGAUCUAUGUUGAACAACCACUUGGAUACAUUGAAGCUGGAAAUGAAGGCAAAGUAAACAAGUUGAAGAAAGCUCUCUACGGUUUGAAGCAAGCUCCGCGUGCUUGGAAUACCAGAAUUGACAGGUAUUUUCAAGAUAAUGGAUUUGAAAAAUGUCCAUAUGAACACGCAAUAUAUGUGAAGAAAGAAGCAGAUGGCAGCAUAUUAUUUGCAUGCCUAUAUGUUGAUGACUUGAUAUUCACCGGCAACAACCCUACCAUGUUUGAAGACUUCAAAUGAAGCAUGGUACAGGAGUUUGAGAUGACAGACAUUGGUCUAAUGUCACAUUUUCUUGGCUUAGAAGUAACGCAGAAAGAAGAAGGGAUUGUUGUAUCCCAAAGCGAUUACGCCAAAGAUAUUCUUGAAAGAUUCAAGAUGGAAAGCUGCAAUCCGGUAUCAACUCCAAUUGAGAAUGGAGUAGAAUUGAGGAAGAGUAAAGUUGGAAAUGUUGAUCCAACUUACUUCAAAAGCUUAGUAGGAAGCUUAAGGUACUUGACAUGUACCAGACUGAAUAUAAUCUACGAAGUCGGACUUAUCAGCAGAUACAUGGAGACACCAGACCAGUCUCACUUGAAUGCAGCUAAGAGAAUUCUUCGCUACAUCAAAGCCACAAUAAAUGAAGGUAUGUUUUAUACCUCAAGUAACGAUUUCAAUCUUGUAGGCUACUCGGAUAGUGAUUGGGGUAGAGAUCUGGAUGAAAGGAAAAGCACAACAGGGUUUGUCUUUUUCAUGGGAGAUACAUCUUUCACAUGGUCAUCCAAGAAGUAAUCGAUUGUAACGUUAUCAAGCUGUGAAGCUGAGUAUGUUGCUGCCAACUCAGCUGUAUGCCAUUCAAUAUGAUUAAGGAAUAUGCUGAAGUUUUUGGGAUUUCCUCAAGAAAAUCCUACAAAGAUUUAUAUUGACAAUCGAUCAGCGAUUGUAUUGGCAAAGAACCCGGUGUAUCAUGAAAAAAGUAAACACAUUGAUACACGUCAUCAUUUUAUCCGAUAACAUGUGAAGAAUAAAGAAGUCGAACUGAUAUCCUACAAAACAAAUGAUCAAGUUGCAGAUCUAUUUACAAAGCCAUUAAAGGGAGAAAUAUUUAUUAGAUUAAAGUUCAUGCUUGGCAUGACAUCCCUCGAUUGAGUUUAAAGGGGAGAUUUGUUGUAUUAAACUCAAUCUAGAAGGUCAAGGAAGGCAACCACUGCCUAGUCGGCCACUAGUUGUCACCGACCAGACACCAGCUACCACCGCCUAGCCGCAUGCCGCCAGCCACCUUCACACUUGAAAGUUUGAUUUUUUUGUAUUCUUAAUUUGUGUAUAAAUAGGCAGCUAAGCUUAUGUUAUUAUGUGUGGAAAGUUUAGAGAGAAACACUAGAUAUAUAGAGAGAGGGCGUGUAUUAAGAUUUUGUGUUAUUGUAAGCUUCUUGUUCUUGAAAUAAAACUUUGUGUUUUAUCCCCUCCGAGUGUUUCAAAGCCACCACCAGUGGUUUCUCCCACCAACACAAAAGGCACACCCCACCCACUUCUUGUCCAGCUAGCUAGAAAUGGAAGAAAUGAUGACAGGUGAGAUGCUUUUUGUCUCUAACUGAGAGAUUGUUAAUAUUGGAAUUUCUGGAAUAUAAUAGUUAGCUGGUGGGAUCUUUCAUGAUGCAUACAUCAUUCCUUGGAUGAUUUGUUUCAACAAUGGCAGGGAUUGAUUGAUGGAAAGUUUCAGCGUAAGGUGUGGCAAGGAUUUUUCUAUGGAAUAGUCUGGCUUAUUUGGCAUACUAGCAAGAAGUUCAUAUUUGAAACUAUCAUUUCAGAGUGGGAAUAUGUUCUAUCUUUUUCUUUCACAAGGUUGCAUCUUGGAUUCGUUCUUAUAAUUGUAUUUUCAUAAUACUGGUAUGGACUGUUAGGAAAUAGGGAGUGUGUAUCAACAAGGAGUAAUUAGUGUCUGUAAUUUAUAACGCUACUUUCCUCUAUAACUUUUGUUUUAUCUUUUCUUUGUUAUGCUGGAUUUCCAUCUAAUAGUUGGCCAACUUAAUAAAUUUCCUUGAUUUUCAUAAUAUAUAUAUAUAUAUAUAUGGACAACAAAUCAUGAACUUGCAAAUCAUAAAAUAAAUAAAUUGAUGUUCAUUGCUGCUUCAAUAAUAAUUACUAGGAAACUAAAAUUCCUUUUAGUUUUAUUGUUUAUCUAGACAUAGAUCACUGUGGAUUGAAGUUGUGUAAUGAUGGAAUUGUUCUUGCCAAAGAAACUUGUUAAACAUGCAAUUAGGGGUAAGAUUGUCAUUCCAAUGGGAUGCAAAUUAUUAUUUAUAUUCAAAAAUGGCUACCGCGUGUUGUACAUGUGCUAGCGAGUGGGCGCCACCCAUGUCAUUCGAUAGCGUAUGCUACCCUAGAACAGAAUCGAGAGUCUCUUUACAGGGCGUUUUUCGAUGCACCUUGCCACCCUAGGCAUAAUGGCAAGGUGCAUGAGCCGAGGUGGCCCAUGAAGGAGCUUCGGACGGGGUUUUUUCCCUCCCUCCCUCUCUACGCUCUCUCUUCAUAGAAAAAUUAUGCUGCCCAUUGCAAAAAAAAAAUGAGUCAGACAUGAUUGUCAAAUCUGAGUAAUGUGGGUCUGACAUGCUACCAAGCUCAAGUAAAAGUGGGUCAGUCACGUUUGUCAGACCCAAGCAAACUUGGGUUAAGCACCUUUGAUUAUAAGAUGUAUUUUAACUAUUGAAUAGUGGGUCUGACAACCACGCUAAACCCAAACUACUUGGGUCUGGCGUGCUUACCAGAUCCAAGUAUCUUAGGUCUAGCGUAGUUGCUAGAUCCAAGCCACCUGGGUUUGACACCAUUACCAGACCCAAGGUCCUUCGCUCUGGCAGACCCAAGCGACUAAGGUUUGGCAACCCCUACGCCAGACUCAAUUACCUCUUCAUCAUUUCAUUUUCUUCAAUUAUCUUUCUUUGGUCACUAUAAUUUUAAAUUUUAAAACAUCCACUUUGAUGUUGUGAAGUUUUGAAUUAAAAAAGAUAGGAAAAGGCAACAAAGCCCUUGGAGACUUAAAGAGUAGGUAUAAUUAAAUUAGAGGUAUUAUGGUAAUUGAACAAUAAUUGAAAAAUAUAAAUAGAAAAAAAAGGAGAGAAAGCUGUGUUUUUUAGAGCAAACUGUGAGAGAGAACGGAGGAAGAAGAUAAAUGAGGGGAAAAGGGGGGGGGGCAGAGAUUUUGAGAAACUAAGUUUAAAGGUAAGAUUUAGAUUAUUAAAUGUAUAAAUGUGUGUUAUUUGAGCUUUUAAUUUCUAUUUUGAUAAAUAUUAGGGUUUUGAAGAUUGUGUUUUGAGUUUGAUUGAUGAAUUAAUUUGAAUGUUAUCUACUCACUGAGUUGUUGAACUCACCCUCUCAUUAUUUAUCUUUUCAGGCUUUUAGCUUGUUAGUGGGUCAUUUUGUUGGACUUUCAAAACCUGCUCUUUGGUUGUAAUUUGUACCUUUUCUUUAUGUCUAGUUAGUGCUCCACAACUAUAAAAAUAAUAGUUGUACCUUGUAUUAAGACAAUUAAAUUAUAUUAUGAAGUUAGUUUUGUUGUUAUUUUUACGUCAAACUCUGAUUGAAUUAUUUAAUAGAUAAGUUUGUAUGUAAGUUUGGGUUCGCAUAGGCAUAAAACCUUGAAGGGGAACCUUGCCUAUGUGCCAGUCAUGGAUCCGGGAAUCAAGCCAUGAUAGAUGUUUUAAACAAUUUUCAGUUCGAAAAAUAGCUAAGAAAGUUUUUACUAAUCCUAUUAAAGGGCUUAUUCUUAGCUUUAUUAGGGUGACAAAAUCUUUUAUCAUGGUCGUCAAACCUUGGAUCAUUAGAUUAUCAAGUGUUCAUGUUUUUUUUUAUUAAAAUAAUAUUUUCUUUCUUUUCAAUUAAACCACCCCAGACCCAAAUGCCUUGAGUUUGACAGCUAUGCUAGAUCCAAGAUAGUUAGGUCUAGAAAACAAGCCAGGCCCAAGUGACUUGGGUCUAGCAAACACGUUAGGCCCAAUCGCCUUGGGUUUGACAUGUAAUGUAAGUCUAACAUUGUUUCCAGGCCCAUGUAAACAUAAAUGCCCCUCAUGAUUAUAGAAAAUUACACAAAAAAAAAUUGAAAGAAUAAAAAUACCUAUAUAUGCAAAGUUUAUUUUUUAUUUUUUUCAAGGUUAAAAAUAUAUUUUAACUAUUUAACAAUGACUUGGAUCUGGCAUGGUUUCUAGACUUAAAUAUCUUGGGUCUGACAACGUUGGGGUCUAGCCAAACCCAAUUACCUCUCCAUUCUUUGUUUUCUUUGAUUAUCUCUAUCUGAUUAGGUCUAACAACUGUGUUAGACCCAAGUGACUUGGAUCCAGUAAGCCAAAAGUGACUUCGGUCUCCCAACCAUGCCAAACAUAGGUAUCUUGGAUCUGGCAAGUCAUGUUAGAUCCAAGCACCUUGGGUCUCGUAGCCAUGCAAAACCCAAUGUUUUUGGAUCUUGUGUGGCUGUGAGACCUAAAGUAUUUGAGUAUGAUCCAAGCUACUUGGAAAUUGCUCCAACUUGCAAUGGAGCGAGGGAAAAUGUACUAGUCUUAAACUAACAAAGAGAUGGAAGGAACUUAACUGAAUGAUGUAAGCAUAAAAGCUUUGGCAAGUGUUUUUUUCUUUUAAUGAAAUCAAAGUUAUUUGUCAAGGAAUGAAAUUAAAACAAGAAAGAGGCAAGGAAGAUUUACUAGCAAAAACAUGACAACAUAAAAUCCCAUCUAACAAUUAUUUUCUUGGGCAAUCUUCUUAGUGUUAAUAUUGCUGUAAACAUGAAAACAAAAACGACUACAAGCUACAUGUCAAUGAUGUUAGACGAACAAUGAAUAAUUUCGUACAUCAAGGAAAGAAAAAACGACUACAUGCUACACGAUAAUAUUGUUAGAUGACCAAUGAAAAUAAUUAUUAUACUCUCAGCACGACAGAUUUCUACCUUACCUGUGGAGACAGAACUGACAGGCUUACUGAGGUCUGCUUUUCUUCUCUUUCGCGAGGAUGAAUCGUUUUCUUCAUCUUUGGAUUGUUUACGUUUUUCCUUCUGCAUUCUAAAAUAGAAGAAAGUUGUCAGUGAUAUGUAUGAACGUAAGGCUUUCAAAUUAUUGUUUUGAGUAGAGGCAUGAAAUUGAAACAAGAAAGAAGCAAAAGAAGAGGUUAGUUAUACCUCUAUAUAACGAAAGGGUUGCUUGGAUUCCACCAGCUAUGAAAUUGUAGAAAUCUGAGAGAGAUGUUAGCUGAUCAAUACGGGCUUCCAGCUGCCUUAGUUUGACGUCUCAAACGCAGAACUUAAUAAGGGCUGCUCCUGAGACGUCACUUUCUUUCAACUACCCAAACACGGUUAUUAUGUUUUAUUUAUUAAUUUCCAAGUCAGUCCCUAAAUUUACAUAUAGUUUCAAAGAAGGAAAGAAGAGUUGCUAGCAAAAACAUGACAGCAUACAAUCCCCUGUAACAAUUAUUUUCUCUGGCAAUCUUCUUAGUGUCAAUAUUGCUGUCAUGCAAAAACUAAUAUUACUGAGAAGAUGAAAACAAAGAAAACUACAUGCAUGCAAUCAGUAGCAACAAUCUCACUGUUUACCUCUAUAUGGUGUUUAUGAGAUGGUCGGAUCCCACCAAAUUGCAGCAAUCAGAAAGGUUAGCUGAUCAAGAGUAAAGUGCAGACGCCUGCCUGAAGACUAGUAGAGCCAAUAUUGUUACAGAGACAGAAUAUGAGUUCAUGCAAAUUAUUAGUAAUGCAAUAAUUACCAAAGAUAAAAAGGUAACGUGUAAAGGAAAAGGAGAAAGGAAAUUUCUUUAUAGCUCUUGCUUGAGCAUCUAAAAGUUUUCUUGAGAACCAAAGCAGUGUAAAAGCAGGUCUAUUUUGUCAACCAAGUUGUUGGGGAGGUUUUGACAGCAUCAGAGUCAAAUGGAACGAUUUUCCACACGGCAAAUUAAUAAGACCAUUAUCAUGCGUUCGGCUGUCUCCAUCUCUCAGCCGUGAUCGGGUCUCAUCUGAUACUCUCAAAAUCAAAUGCUAUAAAUUUCCACGAACCUUUUUUCCCUGUCAAAUGGAAGACUUUGACUGGGAGUCAACUGAACCUUCUGUUUUUACUUUUGAUUAAGAAGUUAGACUUCCCAGUAAUACAUUUACAGAUAUUCUGAUGCCAUAUUUCCAUAACAUACUUCUAUAUGUACCGAAAGAUUUCUUUUUAUCUUGUUUUCCAAAAGACUUUUGUUUUCGUUUCUCUGUUCUUAUUAUCGAUUUUGAAAAUGUUUUCCAAGAGAUUAAUAACUGCAGUUUUUUUUUUUUUAAUAGUAAUCGAGAUAUAGGGUGUGCGGUACAUGUUUUUACCUUCAAAUAAUUAUUCAAAGAAACCUUACUUUAAUCCAUAGAAAGCUUUUUGAGAGAAUAAAUCAUGAAUGUAAAUUGAUGAAAAAAAUAUGUCUUGUCUAACAUUUAAUUAUUUUCACAUAUAUUUGCGAUGUGAUGAAAGAAAACAUACAGCAAUGGUAGAGAGAAACCAAUUUUCUGAAUAUACUCAUUAUAUAUAUCCAUCAAGUGUACGAUUAUUAAAUAAAAACCUACUUAGUUUUCAUGGUUUAUUAAAUAUAUUAAUAUAAAACUCAUAGAACAAUGCUAAAACCUAACAUCCAUCACACCAAUUUAUAAUUAAAUAAAAUAACUAAUAUAAAUCAUGAUAAUUAUACAUCAUUGAUUCAACAUAGCUCCUUCUAUGUACGAUAAUAUUAGUUUUUUCUUAAUAUAAUUUCUAAAUAAAAAGUAUUUUAUUGUUCAUACAAUAAUGUCUUUAUUAAAGACAAUUCAUGUUAUCAAUAAUGAUGUAUGUCAUAACUCAAUUUUUUACACUUUUAUUUUUAUUUUUACUUUUACUAUAUUUUCUAUAAAAAUAAUGAAAUAAAUGAAAUAAUAAUAAUAAAAUGAUGAAAAAAGAAAAACAAAUGAGAAAAUGAUGAUGAAAAACAAAUAAAAAAGAAAUGAAUGAAGAAUAAAUUAAAAUCUAGGUUAAUUCAAUAUAAUUGGAAGUUUAAUUAACCAAAUCAAGGGUUUAAUUGCAGAAUUGAUAUGUUUUGGAAUGUAAUUGAACUUGAAAUUAGUUUAAUCAAUAGAAUCAAAGGCUUAAUUAAAACAUUAUCAAAGUUUGGGGCUGAUUUGGGCUAAAAUUAAAAGGAAUGAAAAUACAAAGGUCAAAGUGAAAAUACUGGGUACUGUAGGGAGCUUCAUUUAUUUUUCUAGGGGUAAAUUUGAAACAAUAAAAAGUUGAAGAGUCAAUUAAGGAUUGAAUUGGAAAAUGCAAAAACCAAGGACUGGUUCGUACACGGCACAAAAAGUCAGGGGUCAAAUUACAUUUUAACUAGGGGCUUCAUUACAGAAUGGAAAAACCUAAAGGACCAAAUUGCAAACCGCCGUUCCCAUCCCCAAAACGGCGUCGUUUCAAUAUAAAUUAUUCUUCUUCGUCAUCUUGUUAUGUAUGGACACAAGCUGGCUGCAUGACGGCGUCAACAAUGGUUGCUGGCGGCGUCAAAGAUGGCGGCAAGGACGGUGGGCAGUGGCUGCAAGGUGGCAAUGUCGGUGGUUGCCAUAUUUGACCAAAGUUGGAGAUAAUUAUCUCCUACCUCUGCUAUAAGAAGAGGCUGCCAAGGAGAGCCUGUGGAACACGAACACAGAGAGAAACACAGAGAGAAACAGAGAGAGAGAGCUAGGGAGAGUUGAGUUGAGUAGAGAAGAUUUUCUCCAUACGCCUCAGCUAUCGGCUCUUUGAUGUAUGCUAUGGUCUGUACCAGACCUGACAUUGCCCAUGCAGUGGGAGUUGUAAGCUGAUAUAUGAGCAAUCCUGGAAAGCAGCAUUGGGAGGCGGUGAAAUGGAUCAUGAGGUACUUAAAAGGUUCAUCGGAAACUUGUCUCAGUUUCACAGCUGGUGGUUUGAAACUUGAAGGUUUUGUAUAUGCUGAUCUAGCAGGAGAUAUUGAUAGCAGAAAGAGCACUACAGGAUAUGUAUACACUCUAGGAGGCACUGCUGUUUCCUGGAGUUCUACCUUGCAAAAGAUUGUCGCUCUUUCAACAACAGAAGCUGAAUAUGUUGCAGUCUCGGAAUCUGCAAAAGAGAUAGUAUGGUUGCAGAGUUUCCUAAAGGAAUUGGGCAAGUUGAAUGGAAAAGGUACUUUGUAUAGCGAUAGUCAGAGUGCAAUCUUCCUUGCCAAGAAUCCAGCAUUUCACUCCAGGACGAAGCAUAUUCAGAUCAAAUAUCACUUCAUCCGACAAUUGCUAGACGACGAGCAACUAAUGCUAGAGAAGAUCUGUGGAAGCAAGAAUCCAGCUGAUAUGUUAACCAAAGGUGUUACUCUUGAUAAACUGAAGCUGUGUAAAGCUUCAGUAGGCCUCCAAGACUAAAAGAUGGAUAUAAAGCCAUUUGUUUCCAAGUGGGAGAUUGUUAUGUAUGGACACAAGCUGGCUGCAUGACGGCGUCAACAAUGGUUGCUGGCGGCGUCAAAGAUGGCGGCAAGGACGGUGGGCAGUGGCUGCAAGGUGGCAAUGUCGGUGGUUGCCAUAUUUGACCAAAGUUGGAGAUAAUUAUCUCCUACCUCUGCUAUAAGAAGAGGCUGCCAAGGAGAGCCUGUGGAACACGAACACAGAGAGAAACACAGAGAGAAACAGAGAGAGAGAGCUAGGGAGAGUUGAGUUGAGUAGAGAAGAUUUUCUCCUCCUCCUUGUAUUGUUGUUUGUAUUGUUUGUAAAGCUUCAUUAAUACAAACCAGUAGCUCCGUGGAGUAGGCAAGUUGCCGAACCACGUAAAUUGUGUGUGUUUGAGUUCUGGAAAUAACCCAACAACUGGUAUCAGAGCUUGUUCUUGAAAAAGAGGGUGUUUGAUCCAAACUCAAAAAUAAAAGUUCUCAAAACGUGUUUUUGAACAUACCAUCGUGUAGAGGACAACCGGACGAAUCCACUGGUGAAACCCCGGCGAAGAACCGACGUCCUGCAUGCCCGCACGCGCCGACGCAAGCACUGCCCACGUGCACCAACGCGCGCCACGUUCCUUCCUCGCCCGGUUUCUGCAAAACGGGUCGGGUCUGACCCGCCACGUCAGCAAGUCAGACGGUCAACGACCACGUCAUCCUGCCACGUCAGCUUGCCACGUCAUCCAUCUGUGUUUUGAUCCAGUACACCGCAGACGCUAAUCGUCUGACACGUGGCUACAUCAUCACCGUUGAGGGGUUUUGAUCCGGUGCGACGCAGUAACUAAUCGGCUGACACGUGGCUUAAUCAGGACCGCUUUGGAGUUUCGAUCCAGUGCGACUCAGGCCCUAAUCUGCGGACACGUGGCUUAAUCUACACCGCUGCUGAGUUUUGAUCCGGUGCGACGCAGGCGGUACUCUGGCUGACACGCGGCUGCAUCUAAACCGUCCGUUAAUCCAAAACUUCGAUUGCUAAAAUCUGAGCCAUCCGAAGUCCGAUUGGGGUGAUCUCAGUGUCAUUUCCAAGGUUUUUGGCCGUUCUGGACACAUCUGUAAGGUCAGAUUUGGGAAAUUCGAAUCGUUGAAGCAGUAAAAAUGGCAGAUGAAAUAAAGGCUGCCGGAAUUGAAAAAUUUGACGGAACAGAUUUUGGAUACUGGAAAAUGCAAAUUGAAGAUUAUUUAUAUGGGAAGAAACUUCAUCUUCCCUUAUUGGGAAGCAAACCAGAAAAGAUGGAAGAAGAAGAAUGGCAACUUCUUGAUAGACAAGUUUUGGGCAUUAUCCGACUAUCGUUAUCAAGAAGAGUUGCUCACAAUGUUACGAAAGAAAAAUCCACUGCAAAAUUGAUGGAAGCCUUGUCUGGGAUGUAUGAGAAGCCAUCAGCAAAUAAUAAAGUGCACCUGAUGAAAAAGUUGUUCAACUUGAAGAUGGUCGAAAACGCUUCUGUGACACAACACCUCAACAACUUUAAUACCAUCACAAAUCAAUUAUCAUCUGUUGCGAUUGAGUUUGAUGAUGAGAUUCGUGCACUCAUCUUGCUAGCUUCACUUCCAAGCAGUUGGGAAGGCAUGAGGACAGCCGUGAGCAAUUCAGCUGGAAAAUCCAAACUGAAGUAUGAUGACAUUCGAGACUUGAUUUUGGCUGAAGAAGUGCGAAGGAAAGACUCGGGUGAAAGUUCAAGCUCAGGAUCAGCUCUCAACAUCAACACUCGAGGGAGGAGACACGAUAGAGGCUCAUCCAGAGGCAGAUCAAAAUCCAGAUACAGAAGUAAAAGCAAGUUUGGAUCCAGAAAGCAGGUUGAAUGUUGGAAUUGUGGCAAACCUGGUCAUUUCAGUAGGAAUUGCACAAAACCGAAGAAACCUGAAGCUGACUCUGCAAAUGCUACCACAGAUGAGGUACAAGAUGCUUUAAUUCUUGCUGUACAUAGUCAAAUUGAUGAGUGGAUUCUUGAUUCUGGUGCUUCAUUCCACUGUACGCCACACAAUGAAAUGCUGCAAAAUUAUGUUGGAGGAGAUCACGGUGUAGUCUAUCUGGCCGAUGGAACACCACUGAAUAUUGUGGGUAUAGGAGAUGUGCAAAUCAAGACAAUGAAUGGAUCUAUAUGGACCUUGCAGAAUGUAAGGCAUGUUCCUGAAUUAAAGAAGAAGUUGAUCUCUGUCGGACAACUUGAUGACAGUGGUCAUUCAAUACUUUUUGCUGGAGGAAUGUGGAAAGUAUCAAAGGGAGCAAUGGUUUUAGCUCGUGGAAAGAAAACCGGCACCCUGUAUAUGACCACAAGAUUUGCAAACAUCAUUGCCUCAACUGAAGCAGAAAAUCAAGCACAUCUAUGGCAUUGUAGACUUGGCCAUAUGAGUCAAAAGGGGAUGAAGAUACUUCAGUCGAAGGGAAAGCUGCCAGAGUUAAAAAAUGUCGAUCUAGACAUUUGUUAAAGCUGUGUUCUUGGAAAACAGAAGAAGGUCAGUUUCUUGAAGGUUGGCAGGACCUUACGACAAAGAAAGCUAGAACUGGUACACACAGAUUUAUGGGGACCGUCUCCAGUAGCAUCACUUGGAGGUUCUCGGUAUUAUGUGACUUUCAUUGAUGACUUCAGUAGGAAGGUAUGGGUUUACUUUCUGAAAAAUAAAUCUGAUGUGUUUGAAACAUUCAAGAAAUGGAAGGCUAUGGUUGAGACUGAAUCAGGUCUAAAGUUGAAAUGCUUGAGAUCUGAUAAUGGAGGAGAAUACAUUGAUGGAGGUUUCAAGGAGUAUUGUGUUGUCAAUGGUAUCAGAAUGGAAAAGACCAUUCCAGGUGUUGUAACCCAUUUUUGGGUCCCCACAAAAAUAACUAAAAUAAAUAGCCAAAAGAGGCUAGAAAAAUAACGGAAGGCAGAAGCACUCAGAAAAUGGUUAGAAAACUGGUCAAGGAGUAUAAAGAUACAAAGAUUGGAUUUUUUACAGUAUUUUCUUGAAGGAUGAGACCCUUAUUGAGAAGGAAAAUUUAAAUUUUGAGGAGAAGCCCAAAUUUGGAUGUUUAUGGACUUAAUUGGAUUUUUAUUUGAAUUUAUAAAAGGAUUUGAUUGCAAGAAAAAAUUGAUUUUUAAGUCAAUUUGGGCUUUAAUUAGAAGAAAUUAAAGUUCUGGGGCCAAAUUAUAUAUUUUUUAGGAAUUUAUUGGGUCAAAUCAGGGGCUUAAUUGCAUAAAUAUUGAAGUUUAAUGGCCAAUUAGGGACUUAAUUGUAAAAAUCCGAAACCAGGGACCAAUUUGGAGAAGGCGCAAAGAUAGAGGGGGCUGUUUGAAUUUGAUCUAGGGGCUUAAUUGAAGAAAUUAGAAGUUUAUUGAUCAAUUGAGGGCUAAAUUGCAUAAAUCAGAGGCCAAGGAUCAAAGUGGAAAACGCGGCCAACUAUGGGGACGGACCGAAAUUGGAAGGGACGAAAUUGAAUUGAACACAGAUGAUUAAGGACUGAUUCAAGAAAUGUUCUGGCGCCUUUAUUUUAAAAUGGAACGGCGCGUUUUAUCCAAAACGACGCCGUUUCAUGCAAAAAAAAAAAAAAAAAAAAAGGAGACCGAACGGUGCCGUUUUGAACGGCACUGUUCACUUUCUUCUUCUCCCGAACAUUUACAGCGGGGAAGAAGGAAAAGUUUGCAUUAUUUAUUUUUCUGCAGGUCCCUCUUGUCACCGACCGAGGCCCCACGCCGGUGGGCCACCGACAGAAGACACUGGCUGACCACCCGCCGCGCUGCCGAAGCCGAGGGAGGCCCGCCUGGACAGCCGCUCCCCGACAGCCGCUCCUCGACCCGCUCCUUGGCUCCACGGUGAAGCCACGCCCGCUGGUUCUAUAAAUGGAGAACCGAAAGAGAGAAGAAGGGGAGGAGGACAGAAAAGAAAAAAAAAGAACCCAAAGAAAAAAACAAAGAAAACCGAAGAGAGAGAGGAGGAGAGAACCCGAAGAGAGAGAGAGAAGAAACCGGAGAAGGAACGGACAGAGAAGAGAGGGAGGAGGAAACAAAACAAAAAAAAGCAAUGAGACAGUGAGGGGACGACCGAGAGGGGAGACCAUUGUACACAGAGAAGGAUGAACAGCUGACAGAAGGAAACACCCGGGAUCAAGAGGAGAAGAACCAGACAUAAGCAAAAAGGAGGAAGACAGAGGUACGUGCGUCUACAUAAAGAAGAAGAAAUACUGCAGAAAACAGUUGCGCUUCCCAACCACUGCCACCGUCAGAACCAUCGUGAGCCCCCAUUGGCUUCCUGUCCACCGCCACCAGCAUCACUGGGAGUGUUCGCCAUCGUCUUCAACAUCAUUUCUGCCACCAGGUUUGCACCCCCUUCGUCGCUGUGCAUGCACCAUUUCCUUGCAUUUCACUGUUGAAGUGAAAUAUAAUUCACUUGAACAGUGAAAUGUUAAUUCACUGUUCACAUCACAUAUAAUUCACGUGAACAGUGAAAUGCUAUUUCACUGUUCACAUCAUAUUUAUUUCACUGUUCACAUGAGGCCUGCUGGGUUCAGCCCAGCCAUGUGGGCCCCGAUGGGUCAGCCCUAAAAAAAAAAAAAAAUAAUAAAAAAUCUUCAAAAAAAUUAUUUCAAAGAAUUUGUGAUUUUUCUGUAAUUUUAUUAUUGUAUUUUGGGUCAAUACUGGUUUGUAUUUUUAUAUUGUCAAGAUACAAAUUCGGUAUUAAAAUACCCGGUUUUUGUCAAAAAAAAUGUUUACUAAAAAAAAAUGUUUUGUUUUCAUGCAUACGGCCAAUACACUAACAUGUUUUGAAUGUUCUUUUUAUAUAUAAAAAAAAAUAUUGGAAGUUUUGAAAAUGUGUUUUCACAUGGAUUUCUUAAACACAAAUCAUUUUCUUGCAUUUGUGGAUUUUACAACCUGUUUGUAAAACUCCAAAGGGUAUUGGCCAAUAUUCCAAAAACUAUAAAAAUCUUAUUUUGGGAGGAGAAGUUGUGGUUAUUGUUCACUGCUAAUGUUUGGAUGAAGAAAUCCUUAAAAGGACGAACAUCCAAAAUAUUAUCGGGAGUAAUAAAUCAACGCGCAUGUUUGAAAGAAGCUUUGGUUGCGAUCGAGAACAUUUCAAAAUUUUAAUUUUUUUUCUCCACGGUUUACGAGUCGUGAAAAGUAAUUGUUUUUUUUUUAAGAAUUGUGAAAUUUUCUUCAUUCUUUUAUUCUCUUAUCCUUGCGAUUUACGAGUUUGACGGGAUUAGAAAACACCAACACCAUAGACUAUAAAGCAAACCAAACACCAAGCAGCUUACCUUAGGUAGGGCGUACUAGGGGUGCUAGUACCUUCCCUUUACGCAACCAGUCCCUUGCCUUAGAAUCUCUGAAAGACCAGUUAGGGUUCCUAGUGACCAAAUACUAGGUGGCGACUCCAAAGAACCAAAUCAUCAGAAAACUACGAAAAUCGCCAGUCGAUGUCGUGCCUUUAUAAAUUUGUUUGAGGGGGUGUGACACCAGGCACACCGCAACAGAAUGGCGUUGCUGAACGGAUGAACAGGACCAUCAAUGAACGAGCUAGAAGCAUGAGGUUACAUUCAGGGUUACCUCAAACAUUCUGGGCUGACGCAGUUCAUACCGCAGUUUACUUGAUCAACCGUGGACCAUCAGUUCCUUUGGAAUUCAGACUGCCCGAGGAAGUAUGGAGAGGAAAAGAGGUACGAAUCUCUCAUUUAAAGGUCUUUGGAUGUGUUUCCUAUGUUCAUAUAGAUUCUGAUGCUCGCAACAAGUUAGAAGCCAAAUCCAAGAAAUGUUUCUUCAUUGGCUAUGGAGAUGAAGAAUUUGGAUUUCGGUUCUGGGAUGAUCAGAAUAGAAAGAUUAUCAGAAGCAAGAACGUGAUCUUCAAUGAGAAAGUUAUGUACAAAGACAGAUCAAGUGGAGAAACAGAGAUGGCUGAUUCAGAUACAAGUCCACAAAGAUCUGAAUUCAUAAGAUUAGAAGGGCUUCCCGAUGUUACUAAGCAGAACAACAAUCAAGAGUCUUUACAAGAAGAUUCAAGCACAUCUGUGCCCACUACCACACAAGAAGAUGCGGAGCAAUUGAACCAGCUGUUCGCAGGUCUUCGAGGACGAUAAAGCCCCCGCAACGGUUCACACUUUUACUGAAUUAUAUUUUGCUGACAGAUGGUGGUGAACCGCUAACUUAUGAAGAAUCCUUACAAGAUGGAAACUCAAGCAAGUGGGAGUUAGCCAUGAAGGAUGAGAUGAGUUCAUUGCUGAAGAACAAGACUUGGGAGCUAACAGCAUUACCUGAAGGAAAGAAGGCCUUACAAAACAAGUGGGUUUACAGAGUAAAGACUGAGCAUGACGGAAGUAAACGGUUCAAGGCAAGACUUGUUGUCAAAGGGUUUCAACAAAAGAAAGGGAUUGACUACUCUGAGAUAUUUUCUCCAGUUGUGAAGCUUACAACAAUCAGAGUUGUUCUGGGGAUAGUAGCUGCAGAAAAUUUACAUCUUGAACAGUUAGAUGUAAAAACAGCAUUCCUUCAUGGUGACUUGGAGGAAGAUAUUUACAUGCAACAACCAGAGGGGUUUGAAAUGCAAGGAAAGGAGAAUCAAGUCUGCAAGCUACAGAAAAGCCUAUACGGUUUGAAGCAAGCUCCAAGACAGUGGUACAAGAAGUUUGACAACUUCAUGUGCAGUUCCGGGUAUACAAGAUGUCAAGCUGAUCAUUGUUGCUAUGUCAAACAUUUUGACAACUCCUACAUCAUUCUACUAUUAUAUGUAGAUGAUAUGUUGAUUGCAGGAUCCAGCAUUGAGGAGAUUGAUAAGCUGAAACAGCAGUUGUCGAAACAGUUUGAAAUGAAGGAUCUGGGAGCUGCUAAACAAAUACUUGGAAUGAGAAUCAUCAGAGAUAAAGACAAAGGCAUACUAAAGCUCUCACAAACAGAGUAUGUCAAGAAGGUUCUCAGCAGGUUUAGUAUGGAUAAUACUAAACCAGUAAGUACACCACUGGGGAAUCAUUUCAAGCUCAGCAAAGAUCAGUCACCAAAACUGAGCUAGAAAGUGGAUACAUGGAUAAGAUUCCAUACGCCUCAGCUAUCGGCUCUUUGAUGUAUGCUAUGGUCUGUUCCAGACCAGACAUUGCCCAUGCAGUGGGAGUUGUAAACCGAUAUAUGAACAAUCCUGGAAAGCAGCAUUGGGAGGCGGUAAAAUGGAUCGUGAGGUACUUAAAAGGUUCCUCAGAAACUUGUCUCAGUUUCACAGCUAGUGGUUUGACACUUGAAGGUUUUGUAGAUGUUGAUCUAGCAGGAGAUGUUGUUAGCAGAAAAAGUACUACAAGAUAUGUACACUCUAGGAGGCACUGCUGUUUCCUAGAGUUCUACCUUGCAAAAGAUCGUCGCUCUUUCAACAACAGAAGCUGAAUAUGUUGCAGUCUCGGAAUCUGCAAAAGAGAUAGUAUGGUUGCAGAGUUUCCUAAAGGAAUUGGGCAAGUUGAAUGGAAAAGGUACUUUGUAUAGCGAUAGUCAGAGUGCAAUCUUCCUUGCCAAGAAUCCAGCAUUUCACUCCAGGACGAAGCAUAUUCAGAUCAAAUAUCACUUCAUCCGACAAUUGCUAGACGACGAGCAACUAAUGCUAGAGAAGAUCUGUGGAAGCAAGAAUCCAGCUGAUAUGUUAACCAAAGGUGUUACUCUUGAUAAACUGAAGCUGUGUAAAGCUUCAGUAGGCCUCCAAGACUAAAAGAUGGAUAUAAAGCCAUUUGUGUCCAAGUGGGAGAUUGUUAUGUAUGGACACAAGCUGGCUGCAUGACGGCGUCAACAAUGUUGCUGGCGGCGUCAAAGGAUGGCGGCAAGGACGGUGGGCAGUGGCUGCAAGGUGGCAAUAUCGGUGGUUGCCAUAUUUGACCAAAGUUGGAGAUAAUUAUCUCCUACCUCUGCUAUAAGAAGAGGCUGCCAAGGAGAGCCUGUGGAACACGAACACAGAGAGAAACACAGAGAGAAACAGAGAGAGAGAGCUAGGGAGAGUUGAGUUGAGUAGAGAAGAUUUUCUCCUCCUCCUUGUAUUGUUGUUUGUAUUGUUUGUAAAGCUUCAUUAAUACAAACCAGUAGCUCCGUGGAGUAGGCAAGUUGCCGAACCACGUAAAUUGUGUGUGUUUGAGUUCUGGAAAUAACCCAACACAUCUUACCAGGGAAAAUAAACGGACGCCAGCUUCCCACGCUGCAUACCAUUACUGAGGCACAAACGCCUGCUCUUCUCUGGCUUUUAUAAAGCCAGAGAAAGGCCAUGAACCGAGGGGAAGAAGUGGGGAGCAGCAGAACUGACGAGGAGAAGAACUGAAGAAAUCGGACACAGAAAAAGAACGAAACAGAAGGGGAAACUGAAAAAACAGGGAGGAACUAAAGGAACGGACGGGGGGGGGGGGGGGGGGCUAGCAAAGAACUAGAAGGGGAAGCUGGAAAAAUGGGGAGAAUGCGGGUGAACAAAACAUAACCAGAGGAGAAAAACCCAGAAGUGCACAGGGAACGCAAACAGGGGGACGAACAGGGGAGGAGGCUUUUCCCAGAAAAUAGAAGAACGCGCAGGAAAACUAGAGAGAACAGAAAAACCCAGGAACACACAGACAGACAGAGAAGAAAAACUGAAGCGUUGUCCAGAGCACGCCAUCACCAUCGUUUUCGACUUUGUCUCCCCGCAUCAGGUGAGUUUUUCUAUUUUUCAUUCCCCGUUUUCCUUUGCAUUAUAAUUCACAUGCUAAGUAGCUGUGAAUUAUAAUUCAUAGAUACAGUACCAGUGAAUUGUAACUUACUUGUUUCUUGUUUCUGACAGCCGAAUCAGGCCUGGAAAAAAAAAAAAAAAGACAAAGAGGGGGUUGAGACCGGGCCAGGACUCGAGCCCAUCCGGCCCAAUAUGAUUUAGACCAAAAAUAUAAUUUGUAAAACACAUCCUUCCAUCAUAUCUUUUUAUUUUAUUUCAUUUUAUUUUAAUUGAGUUGUAAAUUCUUUUAAAUUUAUUUGUAGGUUUCUUAUAUUUUUUUUUAUGUAUUUUAUUAUAUAAUUAAUUUGUGAAUUUAAAAAAAUACAUGCAUGCAUAAAUUUAAAUUUAUUUUAUUAGUUUAUUUAUUGAUGUUAAAAUUAGGAAUAUCAUUUUUUUUUUAAUUAUGUAACAUUACCAACACUAAAAUUAAAAAUAUUCAUAGUUGAAUAUUCAUUAAAACUUAAAUCAAGAAAAUUACAUGUUGACCAUAAAAGCAUAAGUCCUUUCAGGAUUUUGUGAACAACACAGGCUGUAAUAGGCAACGUCUAACUUCCCAGUCUGGUGGUCGCAUUGUUUUUAUGAACUGAACGGUUCCUUGCCUAAAACUUUGUGGUGCGGAACUGAAAAAUUAAUGAUGUAAGAUAUUAUUUGAAAUGGUUUUUUUAUAGGCUAGGAAAAUCAACCUUGACAAUGAAACUAGAUUAGAAUCCUACACAGAAAAUUAACAAAGAAUUCAAAAAUAAACAAUAAUUCGAAAACAUAUCUAGAAAAAAAAUAAUAAAAUUAGUGUAAACAGUAAUCUCCAUUUAUCUCCUCCAUUUUCUCACAUUCUCUUACUGUAAUCUCCAUUUGAGGAGAUGACCUGUAAAUCUCCAUCUCUAUUGAUAUUCAAAUUACCCAAAACAACCAUUUUACUUCCCACUUGAAUUCCCAAAGUUCAUCUUCCCUGAACUUUCCUGCCAUAAUUUGCCAGAUUAUGUUAUCAACAGGAAGAUGUUGAUAUCGGCAUUAAACGAAGAUUUGGAUUUCAGAGGUUAAUAAUAUGAACAAGAUUAUGUUAAUAUCAACAUUACUAAUGUCACACCCGACAUCACGGCGACCUUAAAAAUAAUCUUGAUUAGGGAAAAAGAAUAGAUUUCUGACGUCUUGUUUUUUUAGAAAAAAAGGUCUUGUUUAGGGAGUCGCCACCUAGUAUCAUGGUUACUAGAUACCCUAACUGGUCAAGAGAAAUCCUAUGGUACGGGACUGGUUGAGGAAGGUAUUAGUACCCCUAGCGCACUCUAGGGUAUCAAUAUAAUUUUGAAAUAAAUAAGUUCUGUAAGGAUAUUAGUAUUGAUGGAAUUAAUUCAAUUGAAAACAUGGAAUUUUUAGUUACAGAAAUUAAUGCAUGCCUAAAGAAAUAAAUUAAAAUGCAAUUCUAUAUUAUAUUGGGAAUGAUAAAUAAUUUCUCUUAAAGACAGAAAUUAAUGCAUGCCUAAACAUUAUCUAACUUUGAAAUUUUAUUCAUCCUGGGAAUGAGCUCAAUAUAGAAUGCAAUUCUAUAUAUAUAAUGUUUCGAAAUCACGGUGACUUUCAAAAUAUGAUGAUUCAUUUGAUUCACACCUAAUUGAGCCUAAAGUACACCAAGACACAAUGAACAAAAAUAAAUAAAUAAAUAAAUAAAGCUCACAAGUUACCUAAAAAGAAGUGGGUGUGCUAACCAUUUAUAUGUUCUAUGAUCGUUAGACAUAGAUGGACUGGGAGAUAUGAGGCCCAUUUAUGGGACAAUAGUUGCAGGAAAGAAGGACAAACGAGGAAAGGAAGGCAAGGUGUGAGAGAAAAUAAGCUUUAAAUAUUUUUUGUAUUUCUCUCUAGUAUACGUACAUAUGUCGUCCUCUUUCUUUUUCUUCAAAAGAAUAUACUAACGGUUGCUUUUCUUUUUCAUAUGCUUUUUGGGUAUAUUCACCUUUCAAUGUCACUCAAAUCUUAUGCAGUUUACCUUGGUAGGUGUACUUCUUUAUUAUAUCAAAUAUUAUUUGUAUGUUGUAUUCUUUAAUUAUACCUAAGAAUAGGAUUUAUUAAUUGCUGAUUAACAUAUUUUUGUUGGUCUUAAAUACGUUGGAUAUUGUGCUUGUUCUUCUCCUUCAUUCCUUUUGUUUUAAAAUCGUAUCAGGCAUGGGUAUGAUAAGGAAGAAAAAGCAGCAAGGGCUUAUGAUUUAGCAGCCUUGAAGUACCGAGGUCCAACAACGCAUAUUAAUUUCCCUGCAAGUCUGUUGUUAGUCAUCCUAAGUUGGUGUGUACAAAAAAGAUCAACCAUUUGUUCUGUAGUGUCUGUAUCUGUAAUAUCUUAACUAUUUUUUCAAAAAACAAAAAAUGUCAGUUGAACACUUAUGAGAAAGAGCUUGAAGAGAUGAAGCACAUGGGAGAGACAAUUCUGUCAACAUGAUGAACAGAUCCCUCACCAGUGUUUUCCAUGCUAUUUUCCAUGUCUAAAUGCGAACAAAGUCUCUCUUCCUCCCCACCUAAUUCUGUCAACCAGCCUUGAAGUUUCUAGGAAGGAAGCUACAACUUUACCAACCAAACAUUAUAUUAUAAGAUAUGGCAAGUUGCUUUUCAUAUAAUUAAGAACUUCAACAAAAGAAGGAGAAGCCAAAAUUAUUGGACUUGAUUGAGAAUAUAUCAGACUGCCCUAAGUAACCUCACAUCUUGAUUAUUACCUCCAGCCCGUAUAGCUAAUUCUUUCCACCUAUGCCAUAAGUUAAUCAAAAUAUCUAGUUUUAGUGAAGCUGAUGCUGUCCAGCUAUAAAAAUCAUUUACAUUAGUCAGUCUGAAGGAUAGAUAUUGGUGUAUGUAUGAAAGACGAGAUGCAGCUUUUAACAGAAACAUGUUGCUUUGUUUAAUUAUUAGAAUAAAAACGUUGCUCCUUCUCCUCCAAGCUUCUGGGGGAAUUCCACUGUUUAUAUGUUAAGCAUACUUAUUUUUACAUGAUCACACACAAUAUUUCAAAUAAAGUUAAGUUAAAUAAAGUAAAGAGGCAAGCCAGUAAUUCUUUUGUUUCUAUUUCUUAGAUCAUUCAGAAGUAUCAGAACAAGCAUUAGGAGAUAACAGCCAUAUACUUCGGGCCUUGUGUUGAUCUUUGCCGACAGGGCCCUCACAGCAAGAGAGCAAAUAAACUGAAGGCCAACCGUUAUUAUGACGGUGCACUUGUAUUGCAUUGCUAGUUAUUGUUAUUACUAUAAAUAUAUAAAAAAAAACAUUUCUAAUUUCUAGAAGAAUUAUUAUCAUCACGUAUGAAUUGAACAAUCUUGUCUCAAUUUAAAUAGUUAAUAAUUUAGUUCUCUAAACAAUACUAUAUAUAUAUUUUUUGAAUUGGAAAUUUUGAUGAGAUUUUCGGUUAAAAAAAUAUUAAAUUGAAGAUGGUCAAUAUUGGUCAUUGGCCAAGCAUUAUUUAAUAAUUUCUUAUAUGAUAAGGACUAAUUAAUUAUGACAUAUACUUUAUAGAUUAAUAAAUUAAUCGUUACAAACUAUAAGGACUAAACAAUAAUUAUAAAAACUCAAACUUUGGGUGCUUAAUUUAUGUUGUCUCAAAUUCGUUACUGCGAUCAAUACGUGUCCUAAUAGAGUUUUCUUCACUGACCCGACCGAGUCACAAAUCAACACAAUGAGUCGCAAUACAUCCCGAUCUCCUCUCAGGCACCACUCUCUCAACCCAUUUACCACCAAAGCUGUACGCUUUAGGGUUCUACUUUGAGUUUCUGGACUGAGCAAGGUUUAAAUCCAAUCCUGGACAGCGAUGGUGUUGAGGUUUAAUGUAGGAGGGAAAGUAUUGGAGAGAGUGGAUUCGAUAAGGAAGAAGAAAUGGCCAUGGUGAUUGGAUAUUUUGCCAUUUGCAAUUUUUUAUGCCAUUUGGAUGGUCACGAUUCUGCCGAGCAUUGACAUUGUUGAUGCUUUAAUUGUUCUUGGUGGACUCGUUUCGAUUCAUGUUCUGGCUUCGCUUUUCACUGUUUGGUCUGUUGAUUUCAAGUGCUUUACUCAGUAUAGGAAGGUAAUGUAGCUGUUUUUCUGUGUUUGUUUUAGGAUUUUGGGGCUUUAGUUGUUGUUGUUUUGUGAUUCGGGGGUUUUGUGUUUAGGCUAAUGAUAUUUAUGCUGCGGAUUCGUGUAAGUUACACCGGUGAAGUUUUCUGGUUCUAAGGAAGUUGUGCCAUUGCAUAUUCGUCAAUAAGUGUGUGUGUGUGUGUGUUUUUUUUUUUAGUGGAAAUGCUUUUUUCCUUCUCUUUGUUAGUGGAUUGGAUUGAUAAUUGGAUGUUCUUAGUUGAUGUAGGAUAAAAACUGAUGCAUUUCAUGAAUUGUUUUUUCAGGGGAGUGACAAAUGAUGUUGAAUAUAGAAUGAUAGAAGAAUUGUAUGAUCAUGCUGGUGAUGGUAUUUGAGCUGCUAGGGAAAUGGAGCUUGUUCUAAGUGGAUUGGACAAAUAAUCACUCCCUAAAAUUUCCCACCCUAUUCUAGGAAAAUGAUGUAACAUCCAAUAUUUAGACAAAUAGAAAGUGCCCAAAACCCAGCAGGAUGCAUUUGUCAUCCAAAGAAUGAAUACAUUGAAAUGCACUAAUUCACAAUACUCUUUCGUGGGACGUUUUAAACAAAUAUGAUUGAUUGCAUUCAGAUGAGAUAAAUAUGAAAAUACCUAGAACAAAAUAAGGAACCUGAAAAUCAGGUCUUCAUUGUGAGGGAGGGAGAGGCGAGUCUGGCAAGUCAUCGACUGGAGGUGGAGGAGGUGGAAGAGGUGGAAGAGUUGAAUCACCCACGACAUCAGCCCAUCCAUAGUGAGGUUCAGCCCUUUUUUUCAAAAACAUGAACUGGAGAUGGAGGAGGUGGAGGAGGUGACACGGAGUCGAGAUUUGAGUAGCCCGGGGGUAGGAUUGAUAUCAACCUUCUUGAAUCACCCACGACAUCAGCCCUGUUUUCAAAAACAUGAAAUUUUUAAGUUAAUCCAAUUGUAUUUUAAUAUUAACAUAUUUGAUGAUAGUGAAUUGGGAAGAGGCAAUAUGCUUUCUUUCCAAUCUUUAUUAAAUAGAAAGAUCACCAAUUAGUAAUUUAAAGCCAUAAACUUUGAAGCCAAUAAAUGAUGAGAGAGUCAUUCAAUUCCACACCAAGUACAGUAGAUAAAUUAAGAAUUUUCCUGUCUUGUAUACACACAACAAUUGAUUCUAAUUCAUUAAACUUAAAUUAAAAGCAAAUUGAGAGAUUCAGAAAGAACGAUGCUUACCGAUCUUGUCCAAACAAUAAGAAAGGAAGAAGAACAUCCUUGGUGUUAGGAUCCUCCCACUCCACUACUGACUCCCACCAUUCUUUUGGAUAUACCUUGAUAUAUUUAAGAGAAGGGCGUGGAGAUGGCUGCCCAUUUUCAAGUAACGGAAGACAAAUUGGCAUCCUCUUCAGCUUCUCACAUUUUUUUAUAACAAUAAAUUUGAUAGAAUCGCAAAUCAGUUUUGCACUACAAAUGCUAUGUAGUUCUGGUAAAUUUUCCAAGCGCAGUUCUCUCAACUUUGGGAGUUUGAAUUCGAUGUUUCUGAUGCUGCUUUCUUCACCCAUAUCCCCUUCUUCAUCCGAUCUUGCUCCACCUAUUAUCUCCUCCAUUUUCUCACAUCCUUCAACAAUAAUCUUUUCUAGGUUUACAAGGUGAAUCCAAGAAGAUGGAACCAAGAUUUCUAUGAUACUACAACUCCUUACUUCAAUUACUUGGAGAGAAUCGCAAAUCAAUUUUGCACUACAAAUGCUUUUUAGUUCUGGUAAAUUUUCCAAGUGCAGUUGUCUCAACUUUGGGAGUUUGAAUUCGGUGUUUCUGAUGCUGCUUUCUUCACCCACAUCCCCUUCUUCAUCCGAUCUUGCUCCACCUAUUAUCUCCUUCAUUUUCUCACAUUCUUCAACAAUAAUCUCUUCUAGGUUUACAAGGUGAAUCCAAGAAGAUGGAACCAAGAUUUCUAUGACACUACAACUCCUUACUUCAAUUACUUGGAGAGAAUCGCAAAUCAGUUUUGCACUACAAAUGCUUUUUAGUUCUGGUAAAUUUUCCAAGCGCAGUUCUGUCAACUUUGGGAGUUUGAAUUCGGUGUUUCUGAUACUGCUUUCUUCACCCAUAUCCCCUUCUUCAUCCGAUCUUGCUCCACCUAUUAUCUCCUCCAUUUUCUCACAUCCUCCAACAAUAAUCUCUUCUAGGUUUACAAGGUGAAUCCAAGAAGAUGGAACCAAGAUUUCUGUGAUACUGCAAUUCCUUACGUUAAUUACUUGGAGAGAAUUGCAAAUCAGUUUUGCACUACAAAUGCUUUUUAGUUCUGGUAAAUUUUCCAAGUACAGUGCUCUUAACUUUGGGAGUUUGAAUUCGGUGUUUCUGAUGCUGCUUUCUUCACCCAUAUUCCCUUCUUCAUCCGAUCUUGCUCCACCUAUUAUCUCCUCCAUUUUCUCACAUCCAUCAACAAUAAUCAUUUCUAGGUUUACAAGGCGAAUCAAAGAAGAUGGAACCAAGAUUUCCAUGAUACUACAAUUCCUUACAUUAAUUUCUUCGAGAGAAUCACAAAUCAAUUGUGCACUACAAAUGCUUUUUAGUUCUGGUAAAUUUUCCAAGUGCAGUUGUCUCAACUUUGGGAGUUUGAAUUCGGUGUUUCUGAUGCUGCUUUCCUCACCCAUAUCCCCUUCUUCAUCCGAUCUUGCUCCACCUAUUAUCUCCUCCAUUUUCUCACAUCCUCCAAUAAAAAUCCUUUCUAGGUUUACAAGGCGAAUCCAAGAAGAUGGAAUCAAGAUUUCUAUGAUACUGCAAUUCCUUACGUUAAUUACUUGGAGAGAAUUGCAAAUCAGUUUUGCACUACAAAUGCUUUUUAGUUCUGGUAAAUUUUCCAAGUGCAGUUGUCUCAACUUUGGGAGUUUGAAUUCGGUGUUUCUGAUGCUGCUUUCUUCACCCAUAUCCCCUUCUUCAUUCGAUCUUGCUCCACCUAUUAUCUCCUUCAUUUUCUCACAUUCUUCAACAACAAUCUCUUCUAGGUUUACAAGGUGAGUCCAAGAAGAUGGAACCAAGAUUUCUGUGAUACUGCAAUUCCUUACGUUAAUUACUUGGAGAGAAUCACAAAUCAGUUUUGCACUACAAAUGCUUUUUAGUUCUGGUAAAUUUUCCAAGCGCAGUUCUCUCAACUUUGGGAGUUUGAAUUCGAUGUUUCUGAUGCUGCUUUCCUCACCCAUAUCCCCUUCUUCAUCCGAUCUUGCUCCACCUAUUAUCUCCUCCAUUUUCUCACAUCCUUUAACAACAAUCUCUUCUAGGUUUACAAGGCUUGGCAGCAAGACAUGAGGGAACAACUUCUUCAUACCCUUACACCCAAAAAAAUAAAACCUUUUAAGACCAGAAAAUAUACCAUUAUAAGAUGGAGAUGGCUGUGGUAGUGGAGCAGAGCAUAACCAAGAAGAUGAAACCAAGCUCUCCAUGCUAUUGCAAUUCAAAAUCUUGAUAUACUCCAGUUCUGUUGCAUACUUUAAUGGCGAAACAUCGCCUAAACUUCUUGCAUCGAUACAUUACAAAUUAGUUGCUGAAUGUCAUUUGAGGUGAUGACCGGAAAAUCUCCAUCUCUAUUGAUAUUCAAAUUACCCAAAACAACCAUUUUACUUUCGGGACCAUUGAACUUUAAUUUCCUAAGUUCGUCUUCCCUGAACUGCCCUAUAGCAAUUUUGCAUGUGCUUAGUGAUUGGCUCCGAUCCCGAGAUUUGAGAUACUCCACGUAGUUAGAGUGAUCUUCAAAAUGGCAUUCCAAACUUUCCAACUUCCUCAAGCAUCCUACUUCCUUUCCAUCAACUGUUACUGGAGCAUAUCUUUCUUCUAGUAUAAAGACUUGCAGGCGAGAGAGUUUAGGUAAUAUGCCACCGGGAAACUUCUUUUCACCACAUCCAUUCAUUCUUAGAUACCUCAAGUUGGAUAGACAUUCCAUGCCAUGUGGAAUCUUUUCAAGUGGAGCAUGAGAGAGAUCUAACCUCUUCAGUGCCUUGAGCUUUUUCAAUGAGGGUACACGGCUUAACCUUGACAACCUUUGAGCAACAAUGAAGUGAGACCCUCCAAAUCAGAGACAGAAUCAGGCAAACAUUCAAUAGAUGUUCUAGACAGAUCGAGGACCUUGAGCCCACGCAUUUGCUUGAAAAAUGAACCCGCAAUGAGUCGCAACCUAUCAUUAUCACAUAGCAAUAAGGUUGACAGAUUUGGACACGUCACUGAAUGGCUGGAACAAAUCUCUUGAAUUUGGUUGUGCAUUAGUGAAACGGUCGUAAGUUUCUCUGUCCACUCCUCUGUAUCCGGCAAUUCUUUUAAUUGUGCACCGGCUUUAACAAUGGCUUGAGAGUCCUCUUCCAGUAUUUGGAUGGCCAUAUCCCUAAUCAAGUCAUGCAUCUUGACACAAUAACCACUAGAGGCACUUUCCAAUAGGCAGACAUUUUCAAGUCUAUUAAGCAUUGUGUGGCCUUUGUUAAUUUCUGCCUCCCUACUCUUUUGCCCUUUUACCACUCCCCGAUCAAUCAAAUAUUCUAUCAGAUUCUCUCUAAAGAUCACAAAGUCUUCAGGAAAUAAUCCACAGCACAAGAAACAUUGUUGCAGAGCUGAACUUAGGUGGGUGUAACUAAAUUUCAAUAUCUGAAAUACCUCCCUUUCCACUUUAUCUUGCGUAACUCUUGAUUGUCUGAGGUCCUCUAAAGCACUGCUCCAUUCGUGGAUGUCAUCUACCCCCUUCAUGGUUCCAGCAAUUGUUUUAAUUCCUAGUGGCAAACCAUCACACUCCCUUGUGAUAGAUUUUGCAAUUUGUUCCACUUCUGAAGGAAGUCGUGUGUCAUGUCCAAGUAUCUCCAUGAACAAAGUCCAAGCCUCUCCAUCAGAAAGAGGAUUCACUCUGACAUUGUUUUGGCAAUUCAUCUGUCGACAAACCUCUAUUGAUCGAGUUGUCAUAAUCAGCUUGCAUCCUUUCAAUGUGACGGGAAUCCCCACUUUGUGUGGUUCAAAGGAGUCCCACAAAUCAUCUAAAAUGAGAAUCCAUCUUUGUUUCUCCAUUAGUUCUUGUGACAAUUUCGUAGCUAUGUGCAGCUCCUCCUCUUUAUUGGAAAGAGAUAAAUUUAUAUUGUUUGCGAUCUUCUUCUGCAAUGUAUCAAUGCUGCAAUCUCGAGACACGGUCACCCAGUAAACAUUAUGAGAAAUAUCUGGACUUCGUAGAAGCUCGUUAUAGAUAUGCUUCAGGAUUGUAGUUUUACCAGCUCCCCCCAUCCCGUAAAUGCUAAUGAUUGAGACUUCAUCAUCCAUCAACCAAGACCAUAUCACAUUCUUAUUCUCUUCAAAUGCUCGACCCACUAGCUUUGUAGAGCCAGUAGGUAAAGGAGCUCCUCUAGUCUCACUUGGGUUGUGUUUAAGCCCUGCGGAAGAGCUAGCUCCUGCACCUGGCUGCGCUACUCCUCCAGUCCCAGUCUCUGUAUCAUCAAGAUUUAACAAAUUAAGCAUCUCCUCCCAUGUUUUUUCCAAACAUAUCUGGUUCUUGUAUACUUGUUGCAUCUCCUGUCAAAUUGUCGACUUCAUUGUUUUGCUCUUGUGGACUGGAUGAAAUGGCAUUAUGAUUCACAUUGCCUCCAGAAGAGCUUGCGCCUACGCUAGGCUGCACUAAUCUUUCUGUUGCUUCUCUUCUGUUAUCAUUUUCACCAAUUGUGUGUCUCCAAGGAGAGACACUUCUGUUAACAUGCUGAAUCGAUCCUUCACCAGUGUUUUCUCGUUGUUGUGCCAUCACCAUUUCAUUGUUCUGUUGUUGUGCUGAAGCUGAAAUUGCAUUAGUGACCUCGUUAUUGCUUGAGCCUGCUACAGUUUUACGCUUCUUUUCUGGAGGGCCUGCUACAAUUGCUGCAAGGGCUGCGUCUUGGACAUGUUGAGGCACUUGUCCACAACUUCUAACACCACGGCCUGUAACUCCUGCUAAAUGGAAUCUGAUCCUCGUAAUGGGAGUGCCUUUGGCAAAAAAAUGCCCACAAAACUUACACCUCAUGCUACGAUCAUCCAUUUUUUCAACAUAUUCCCAAAAAGAUGUGUCAACACGAUGCAAAACUGGACCAUCCCGUCGAAGCAUUUUGAUCAGUGGCUCUGUAGAAAAGAAAAGAAAAGGAUCUGUCAACAUGAUGCCAAAAUGGAUCGAUCAGGGUCAAAAUAUUGAAUAUAAAUUAAUGGAGGUUACAUUAAUUGUAAAAGGGAAGGUUGAAACUGAAAUAACAAGUUAAAAACAGUAGAGAAAUUACAAAGAAAAAACAAUGAAUUUAAGGAUUAUAGAAACUGAGAAAGACAAAUUUAAUUUGUUUUGGGAACUAUAGAAUAUGAUCCUAACUCCAAAGUUUCUCAAUAAAAUUUCUUCAACUUGUUUUGGCACUUAAAAGAUCGAAAAAAUAUUAACAUGUGAAGAACAAAGAAUAAUAUACCUGGAUUCAGCAAUUGAUCGAUGUUCUUCAAGUGCUGGCUUGCUGAGGCAGUAUUCAGAAGAAGAAGAAGAAGAAGAAGAAGCACAGAUCAGAGAAGAGUAUAGGUUAAGCUAGUUCAAUGAUGAGGAAAGGAGAAUAGUUGUAUUGUUUGACAAGAAAGAAGUUGCUAGGAAGGUAGGAAGGAAGACAGCAACAACUUUACUGAUAGUUCAUAGUUCCUUUUAAUUUAAUUUAAUUAAUUAAUUAAUUAAUUAAUUUCGAUUAGUGCUGCAUAUAAUAAAAAACUUCAACAAAAGAAGCCAAUUAUUGGACUUGGGUUAGGUGAGUUAACGUGUGGACCCACCCCAGUGUUCAAGCUUUGAAAAAGCUCAUUAGUACACUGUAACUUGUUUUUAGUCUGUCACUAACAGCUCACCUGUGCAAAUCCCUUGUGAUCCCUCCAGCACCUAUGAGCAAUUUUCUUAUGAAAUUUGGGUUGGUUUAUGAGCAAAGUUCAUCAGAGAGAGCUUAAUUCCUGGAGAAUAUGAAUGUCGAUUGAGGGUUAAAGCAAUAAUAAUAAAAAAAAAGAGUAUAUAUUCUCCAUGCAUGCAUGCAUGUUGUUCUGAGACUAGACAAUGGAAUGAAUCUCUGUCAGGUCUAGAAGACAGGGUUAAUUUCUAGUAAUGUUGUUUGCCCAUGAUUGGAAGUUGCUUACGAUCCCUUUAAUAAUGAGAUAUUGUUGUCAAUGGCUCAAGCAAUAUUUUCCCACACAUAAUUGCAGAUCCAAACACUCUUUAAUAAGUUUUAAAAAAUUAAAAGUUAAAUCAAAGGAAUUGGGCACCCAAACUCAAUUAAUUAAUAACAAAUGUUAUUUUCAAUUUUGCAACUAUAUAUAUAUGCACAUAAAGUAUGUAAAAUUCCAAAACCUUGCUGGCUACAUUAUCUAUCUCCUCUCACCUUCCUAUUGUUGUUGAGUAUAAUUAUAAAAUUUAAAUUAGUCUGUGAGUUAAUUUGAGAUCUAAGUAAAACCAGAUUUAAAUUAAUCUUGCCUAAAAAAAACAAAUUAAUCCAGUUUAAUCCAAUUAAAAAUAAAAAUUAUAAUAUUAAGUUAUUAACAAAUUAUUUAUACUUCCAUUUUAUAAAUAAUAUUUUAAUUUUUAUAAAAAAUUAUUAUCGUCAAGUAUGAAUUAAACAAUCAUAUCUCCAUUUAAAUCGUCAAUAAUUUAGUUCUUUCAUCAAUUCUAUAUGUUUUCUUUAUUUUUUUCUUGAGAAAUUAGAAAAAGAAAAAAAAAUAGAAGAAUUGAAAAUUUGAUAAGAUUUUGAGAAAGAAUAAUGAUAUUAAAUUGAAGAUGGUCACCAUUGGUCAUUGGCCAAUCAUUGCUUUAAAAUUUCUUAAAUGAUAAGGACUAAUUAGUUAUUUAUUAUACUAUAAGAUUAAUUAAUAAUGUGUACAAACUAUAAGGACUAUAAUAUAAUUGCUUUAAGCCUCAAACUUUGGGUGCUUUAUUUAUGGUGUCUCAAAUUCGUUACUGCGAUCAAUACUUUACGCUUUAGGGAGUUUCCUCCACUAACCCGACUGAAUCACAACUCAACACUCUGAGUCGCAACCGAUUCCGAUCUCCUCUCAGGCACCGCUCUCCCAGCCCAAUUACCACCAUGCCUUGAGCUUUCUGGUUCUAAUUGGAGUUUUUUGGACUGAUCAGGGUUUAAUACGAUCCUGGACAGCGAUGGUGUUGACGUUUAAUGUAGGAGGGAAAGUAGUGGAGAGAGUGGAUUUGAUAAGGAAGAAGAAAUGGCCAUGGAGAUUAGAUAUUUUGCCAUUUGCAAUUCUGUAUGCGAUUUGGAUGGUCACUAUUGUGCCGAGCAUUGACAUUGUUGAUGCUUUAAUUGGUCUUGGUGGACUCGUUUCGAUUCAUGUUCUGGCGUUGCUUUUCACUGCCUGGUCUGUUGAUUUCAAGUGCUUUGUUCAGUAUAGUAAGGUAAUAUGGCUGUUUGCGUGUGUUUGGUUCUGGAUUUUGGGGCUUUGGUUAGGGUUUUGUUUUGUGAUUUGGGGAUUUUGUGUUUAGGUUAAUGAUAUUUAUGCUGCGGAUUCAUGUAAAGUUACGCCGGCGAAGUUUUCUGGUUCUAAAGAAGUUGUGCCAUUGCAUAUUCGUCAACAAGGGUUUUUUUUUUUUUUUAGUAUUGUAAGGUAAUAUGGCUGUUUGCGUGUGUUUGGUUCUGGAUUUUGGGGCUUUGGUUAGGGUUUUGUUUUGUGAUUUGGGGAUUUUGUGUUUAGGUUAAUGAUAUUUAUGCUGCGGAUUCAUGUAAAGUUACGCCGGCGAAGUUUUCUGGUUCUAAAGAAGUUGUGCCAUUGCAUAUUCGUCAACAAGGGUUUUUUUUUUUCUUUAUUCAAGUGGAAAUGAUUUUUUUUUUCUCUAUGUGGUAGAUUGGACUGAUAAUUGGAUGUUCUUAGUUGAUGUAGGAUAAUAAUGGAUUCAUUUUGCAGAUUGUUUUUUCGGGGGAGUGAAAAAUGAUGUCAACUAUAGAAUGAUAGAAGAAUUGUAUGCUCAUGGUGGUGAUGGUAUUUGAGCUGCUAGGGAAAUGUAGUUUGUUGUAAGUGGAUUUGAUGAAAGUUUGAUGAUUUUUGAGGUGGUGAGGAUGAAGGUUGGAUGAAAGCUAAAAGUGGAUUCACUUCACGAAUUGUUUUUUCAGGGGAGUUAAGGAUAGAAUUGAAUGCAAUGCAUUUUGAAUGGGAAUAUUUUUCAUUUAAUUUCAUAUAUUUUGAAUGGGAACAAAUGCUCAAAUGGGCAAAAAACAUUUUCUGAAAUUUCAUGGUGAGGAAGAGGGUCAUCUGGCUGGAGUUUUUAUUGAUAGGAUCUUGUGAUUUUUCUGAACUUUGGUAGUGGAGGGUUUGUCUACGUUGAUUGGUCGACAUAGUGUCUCAAGUUGAAUUAAAUCAGGACAAUGUUCUAAUCAAAACGUUUAAAUUAAUAAACUUCUGUUAACCUUUGUAUAUCAUGUUUAAAAAUGCCAUUAUCAUCAUUUUGCAAAUAUGCUUGUUUCUAAUUUAAUUUCAUAUGACUUUUUCGAAAGUAUUGCAUGAUUUGAAAAAUGAGCUUUGCACUGAAUGGCUAGUGUGUGCGCUCGCAUGACAUCAUGUGAGGAGUGUCGCCGCAUGUGGAGGUGUGGAGGCGUGUAUGGCCUCGUUUGACCUCCAAAGAAGAUCUUCCAUGGUCUUUCUUGAAUCAUCUCGGUGGAUUCUUCCAUUUGAGGCUGCGAGUGUAGAGGUUGGGGUUGCGAUAUGGCGCCUACAACCUUUUUUCUCCCCUCAUCACUACUGUUGUUUGAUUAAAUCAAUAUUUUCUCAAUUUAAAUUUUUGGAUUAAUCAAAUUAUUAAAAAUAUGUUUGUGAUAAUUAAGUUUGAUGAAGUUAAUAUUUUUUCUUUGUUUAAAUUAAAAUCUAACUUGGAUUAUGUUUUAUUUCUCAUAUUUUUCAAGUUAAAAGGUUUAAUGAUUACAACUAUGUAAUUAUAUAUAUAAUAUAGAAAGAGAAGUUCGGGUAGACAAACUCAGUUUUUAUUUAUGAGAAAUCAAUUUAGAAAAUGUUUAAAAGUUUGAUGGCAAUUGUGAUUAAAAGUGCUUUUUAUUUAGAAAGGCAUCAAAAAAAUAUAUUAUUUAUUUAUUUUUAAAAUAUAAUUUUUAAUAUUAAUACAUGAAAAUAAUCUAAAAUAUAAAAAAUAAUAAUUUUAAACAAAAAAAUUUAAAUUUUUAAAGCACACGAUUUCAACUAUUUUUCCAAACACAACGUUUCAGGAGACAAGUUUCACAAUUGCCAUUUGGAUACAUGCGAUUCAUUGAUAAACAACUUUCGCAUAGGUGGCUGAUUCAAAGUAAUUAAUAAGUAAAUUAUAUAAAUAUAUAUAGCUGAUGAAGAUUGCGAAAUUAAUUAAUAGAUUAACCUAAAAAUAAUCAGUGGUAAGAACUUGAAAUGAAAAAAUUUACUCCUUAUAUGGUCUUAGGUUUGAAUACUAUGGUUGCUAAUAUUAAUAGCUACUAGAGACUUAUCUAGUUGUUAACUUCAGGACUCGUAGAAAUUAAUUGAGAUACACAUAAGCUGGUCCAAAUCAUAUAAAUUAAAAAAAAAAAAAACAAUGAUGAUUAUUCUUAUAAUGGUGCAAGGAAUUAUGCCAGUGUAUCUUUUGAUUUUAGAAGUGUUUUAAUGGUUUUUUUUCUAUAAUUUUUAUGUAUUAAAAAUUAAAAAUUAAAAAAUAUUUUUUAAAAAAUACCCCGUAACACAGUACCAGGUAUUAUUUCCGACAAGAUCAUCUAAACUCAUAAAUCAGCAUCAGUUUCUAAUGAAUGAAGGUUUUGGACAUGUUUGAUUACAUUUGAUAAUGUUUUUUUUUAAUUUUUUUUUGAUGAUUUUUAGAAUGAUUAUAGAUGUUUUGACAUAAAAAUGUAAAAAUCAAAUCACAAUGAUAAGUUUUUUUUCCAAACACGGGGAAGCAUGAUUCUCAAACCAGCUUGCUUCUAUAUAAUUAAUUAAUAUAAGCUUUUAUAUAGUUAAUCAUAAUUGUCAAACUUUAUUUUGGAUCUAACUCAUUUUAGGAUCAAAAUUACUGGAUUAUUAAGCCAAUCCAAGUCAAACCCAAAACAAAUCACUUUGAAUAAAAAUAAGAUAAAACUGAAUCACUAUUUUGGAUAAUAAUAAUAAUAAUAAUAAUAAUAAUAUUUUUUUAUUAUUAAAGUUAACUUAACCCAACCAACCCAACCAACCGAGGCAAAGGAUGUUUCGUGCAUUUGGCACGAAUUGCAGCUUCAUGCUUGGUCCUUUCUCACCCUACUAUGAAAAAGUUGAUGAAAAAGAUGAAUAUAGUGUCAAUGAACAUAAUAAUAGUUAUUUUUUAAAAUAAUUUUUGUAUGAAAAUAAUAUUUUUUAUUUUUUAAAAAUUAUUUUUAAUAUUUAACUAAUAAAACAAUUCAAAACAUGGGAAAAUAAUAAUAAUUUCAAAUAAAAAAUAAAAUUUAAAAAAUCACAAAACACAUUUUCAACAUCGAAAACAAACACCCCAGAAGUUAUCAACUACACCACUAAUUGCUCUAACCAACUUCAUCAAUUACACAAAAAAAUAGUGCAUUUUUAGACAGGGUAUCCAAUUCCACUUUCAAUCUUUUCUUCAUCAUGAAUGGAGGGGCCAUACCUUAAAAUGGGGCAUGGCUUGCUCGAGAAUUUGCUUCAAGGCUAAAGCACUCAUGAAAUCCAGAUCAUACAUGGAACCUCACUCUUCAUAGAAGAAUCGAGUAUAGUUUCUAAAAAUCACAUAUUGAAAAACAUAAAUCGAACCACUUGCUUAGACAAGCUUCUAUACUGCUUAAAACCAACUGUACGUCCAUAUUUAGGCGUUGAAAUCCGAAACCAGUAUAGCAGAAAGGAGAUCAAUUUGCCAUGACAAUCACUGCAUCGAACAAUUAGGGACAUAUCAGAGAAAUUAAAAAAAAAAGGUAACAUUUAUGUUCACCCACUUGAAGAAAACAGCAAGUCAGAAGAACAGCACCAACUGCAAUAAUUAACCUUAAAUUUUUUCCAGAAGGCGUAGAGAGGAAUCCACUUUACAAAUUGUUCAUAAAUAUUAUAUAAAUUAAAAGCUCGUCAAAUGAUCUAUCACCAGUGAUGUUUAGCGGUAACUGAUUCCACCUCUUGUAAGACAGCAGAGGUUUUGUUAUUACACAGUAAUUAAAGGCUAGUUAGAGCAGACAUUUGUGAAGCUUCAAGUCAGACAUAGCCUAUGCAUAGUCAUGAAUGAGAACGCCAUAGAAAAUCAAAUUCCAGACAGAUUAAAAUCGAAACAAAGUAACAACCACAGAAGGUAGCUGAGCAGCUGUGACUUUCAAGAGGACUACAAAUUCCCAUAAAUGUUUAUGCUACUCAGCUCUUUACCUGUUGGACAGUGGUUUUAGCUGCUCUCUAACUUAUGUCAGCAUAGAAUUGUCGCUAAGAACUUCACGAGUCCUUUAAGAAGCACCAUCCAAUUGGAACCGCAAUCUUCAUAGAAAAAUCAUAUAUUGAAAAACAUAAAUCGAACAACUUGCUUAGACAAGCUUCUAUACUGCUUAAAACCAACUGUACACAUAUUUAGGCAUUGAAAUCUGAAACCAGUAUAGCAGAAAGGAGAUCAAUUUGCCAUGACAAUCACUGUACCAAACAUUUAUGUUGACCUAGCAGUUUUUCCAGAAGGUGUAGAGAGGAAUCCACUUUACAAAUUGUUCAUAAAUAUUAUAUAAAUUAAAAGCUUGUCAAAUGAUCUAUCCCCAGUGAUGUUUAGGGCUAACUGAUUCCACCUCUUGUAAGACAGCAGAGGUUUUGUUAUUACACAUUAAUUGAAGGCUAGUUAGAGCAGACAUUUGUGAAGCUUCAGGCCAGACAUAGCCUAUGCAUAGUCAUGAAUGAGAAUGCCAUAGAAAAUCAAAUUCCAGAUAGAUUAAAAUCGAAACAAAGUAACAACCACAGAAGGUAGCUGAGCAGCUGUGACUUUCAAGAGGACUACAAAUUCCCAUAAAUUUUUAUACUACUCAGCUGUUUGCCUGUUGUUUACCUGUCGGACAGUGGUUUUAGCUGUUCUCUAUUUUAUGUCAGCAUAAAAUUGUCGCCAAGAACUUCAUUAGUCCUUAAAAGAUUUAGAAAACACAAACACGAAUCCACCCUAAACUAAAAAUAUCAAUGUCUGUUUCAACCCCCAUGAAAAGGAGUUGUAUUGCUUCAUGAAAUAAUUUAACAUCCAAAAUGGAAGGAUCCAUCCUUACUUGCAAACAUGUGUUCCAACAGUUAUCAUCUCAGCAAGAUUCAAUGACAUCCUAGUUCGAUCUGCAGCAAGAGUUAAAAAACUGCCCAAAUUAAAACCAAAGUGUUAUCUUCCAGAGACAAUCUGAGAAAAAAAAAAAUAGAAGCCUUCUUAAAGGAAAUACUGUUGUAUUAUUUUAGCCUAAUACUGAGAAAUAAAACCUACCGAUAUCCAAAUUUUAGAGACAUUUCAUCCUGAAAACAAUAAAAAGAUCCCUUUCUUUCUGCAUCAUAGAUAACACGUCAUUACCCAUUUCCCACCGUUGUCCUAAGAUACAUUCCAAAAUAUUUAAGAAUUUCAUUUAAAAUUAACACUACCCCAUAAUAUAUUUAAAUAUAUCGUUAAAUGCCCUCAGAAAGAAAAUAACAAGAGGGUAACUGAUUUUGGAACCUAAAAAACUCAAUUUUUAAACCAUUAAGUUGAGGAUAAAGAAUUAACCAACCCAUCAAUUUCUCUGUUGUUCAAUUUCCCAAUCCAAUCUGAGAUAACAUCCUGCAAUGUUCUUCCCAUCUGUCCAAUACACCUUACUGUGAUCUAUAAAACAAAAAAUGUGAGUCAAUCUUAUCAGACUUUGAACGUCACUACUGAUUAAGUGAUAUAUAAAACAAAAAAUGUGAGUCAAUCUUAUCAAAGUUUGUACAGUCACUACUGAUUAACAUUCUGGAAAGGAAAAGCUCGUACAUUCUCCAUGCUGAUUUUUUCAUGUGCCAAAAAUGGAAUCCUAGAGAUAUUGUGCUCUGAAAUCUGCAAAGGACAAGAUAUCGCAUAUUAAAGGAAGUGUACAAACCCUAACAUGUUCACAAACUUGACAACCACAAAAAAGAAAAAAGAAAAAAGAAAAAAGAAAAUCGUACAGUUAUAUGGAGAAAUCGCAAAUACUUUGAGAAUUAUCAUGGUUUUUAGACGAACUACCAAGGAAAGGCAAUGAAAGAAGAGUUAAUAAGGAUCAUGUAACUAAAGUCCACGCACAGAUCAUAUCAGAAUAAGUAAAACUAAAUGCUUAAAUAAUCUAGAUGAAAGAAUUGAAUGUGUACACACGCAGUGAGAAAAAUAUUCUGCAAGCCAAAGUUGGUAGACAGUAGCAGUAGAUUAAGCUAACAACAUCAUUGUUUGUAGCAGUAGACGGUAGAAACAUCAAUGAACAAUUAGAGAGGGGUACACUAAGUGAAUGCCCAAAGUUAACAAAAACUAAUUUUGGCUUAAAGAGAUCUCUUAUAGAAAUUGCAAUAAUUCCCUUUCCUUUACCUUUACCUUUUCCUAGUCCCAAAGUCUCCUCCUCCAUUAUAAUGACCAUUCCCAAAUGAAGCCAUUCCAUGUUCCCAUCUCUGAAAUCAGAGCAUUCAGAUUGAAAAUACAAGCACUUGUCAAGAGUUAUAAGCAAUAUGAUUCAUCAACUAAAAACAGCUCUUUGUCUCCCACAAGAAGGCAACCCUUUGCCUGUGAUUUAGUCAAUUGUCUAGUAAGACAGUUGAUAACAUAGAAAUUCAUGUCUUAGAUUUCUGGAGGGUUACUACUUAAUUAUAUCAAUCUCUAUACAUAAAUCAACUCCUCCAUGAUAUCAGACAAAUGAAAAAUAAGUUUCAACCUCGAUCUCUAAUAAUGCAAAAAGCACCACCAUGCCUGUAAGAAUCUUCUUUCAGCAAUCGGAAACUAGAUUUUCGGAUUUUACAGGACAAUAGCACCAUCCACUUCCUUACUUUGAGAGAAGAAAAACCUCUUUAAAACUUUACUCAGAAAACCUUAAAAUAUAAAUUGAUGAACUGAUUUAACAGCUCUUAGUACCCAAGAUUGAUUUCGGACCUCUCAGACAAGAGAUAAGAAUUGCGCAGCUAAAAAAUGAUCUGUUCAAGGAAAUACAAGUAACCUCUCGAGUCAGAUGGUACUGCAACAGUGAAGAAUAAAUCGAUAUCCAAAAUCCCAGCAACGAAAAGCUUGCUGUCAAACACUACAGUUAAUUCAAUGCAAAAUAGGAAUAGGAACUGUAUGGUAUUUGAUACUUGGUUAGGCAAGAAAAGGCCAAUGUUCAGUACAAAAGAGUAAAAUUGAAUUAACCAAUAGGGUUUACGUUCAUCAUUCAUGAUUUAUGUUAAAAAAUUCUCCUACUUUCUAACUCCAAUGUACUCUCAUUAUAAUUAGAUUCACUCACAUUCAACAAUAGUACUUUCUCACAGUAACAAUCCCUCCACAAACAUGGAUGCACACAUACAUUAACAGGUUGCAUUCCAAAAAAUGAAACAACGAAAAUUAAGAACCAAACCCAGGAAAGUUUCUUUCUUUGCCAAAUCUCCUCAUCUGGGUUCAUUUCAUUUCAAAUUAACUUCCAAUAAAAUGUCAGUUUCAACACUAAACUUCACUAAAAACAGUUUCGUUAGUCAUUUUCUUAGGAAACAAAGAGAGCAUAACAUAAGAAAGAACACAAACUGUAGAAAGAAAGAGAAGUUGAAAAUACCAAGUUUAGCCCAGACAUCAUUAGAGGAGGAACUGAAACCAGAAGAGCAUCCAGCAAUCUCCACGAUUUUUUCCUUCAAUGGGUAUUAUUUAAAACUCAAAAGAAUGAGAAAAGUUUCUCUUUGAGAGAAUUUUGAUUUGUGGGUUUUGAUUUUUGAUUUUCGGAGUUUUAAAGAGACAGAAGAGAAGGACAAAGCGUACACAGGAAGGAGAUGUCUCGACCAAGUUCAAUGCAGCGUACUGCCACAUUCUCACAAAAUUAAUUAAUUUUUUUAAAAUUUAAUAUAAUUUAUAUAUUUUAAAUCAUUUUGAUAUACUAACAUAAAAAAUAACUUUUAAAAAAUAAAAAAAUAUUAUUAUCAUGUAUUUUAAUAUAAAAAAUUAUUUGAAAAAUAAUCAAUACCACACUACUAAGCAUAUUUUAAAGUGGGCUGCAUGCAAUCUAUGUAAGAACUCAGUUUUAUUUUUAGCAUCACAUUUUAAAUAAUCUAAAACCAUUAUAAAACAAUUAAUUUAAAAUAAAAAUAAAGAAAAAUAAAUAUUUAUAAAAGAACUUUUGAAAUAUCCAAAGUGACUCAUUAGACCUCACAUAUAAUAUUUUUUUGAAAUAUUAUAUAUUUUUAUUUUAAUUGAAAAAUUAUUUAUAAUGAAAGAUUAAAAACUUAGGGUAAAUUCUUUUUUUUUUAUUUAAAGAAUAACUAUAAAUUUAAAAGUACAAAGAGGCUUUUAGUAGUGAAGAUUAAGAAUGUAAUGGAUAUUUUUUUUUAAUUCUAAAACAAGAUAUAUAUUUUUUUUCAUGGAAAUAAUAUUAUCUAAUUUAUUGAAUUAGAUAAAUUUUAUGAAUUCAAUUCAAUUCAAGGUUGCAUAUCAAGGUUGAAUAUCAAUUUUUGAAUUUGAUUUUUUUAAAAUAUUAAUUUAAAUUUCAAAUAAAAUUCAAUUCAUAAAAAUUAUACAAAAACAAAGAGAGGCUUGAUUUGCUAGAAUAAUUCCUUUGAAAUUAAUAUUCUAAAAAUACUCAUCUCUUUCUUUCCUCUCAGAAACUCUACACGAACACUCUGACAAAGAUAAGUAAGAGAAGUAAAGCAAAUAUGGUGACUAAAACAAAAGAGCCGCAAUUGAAUAGAUUGUAGAGUCAAGUGGUCAAUGAAGGAGGAGGGGCAUAAGAGCAUCCCUGCUUAGUUAGAAAGCUCAAAGUUUGGCGUUCUGUCAAGGUUUUAAAGCAUGGUUUAUGGAUCUUGAAUGAUUCCAAAAAAAGAUCCAGUCUUGAUCCUAAAGGUGUGUACUGUCACGAAAGCUCAAACUACUAAACUAAUUACAGAAUCAAAAUCCAACCACACAACUACCUUGCUGCCAUCUACCUUGCCUCAGACACCACUGUCUCAGAUUUACUUUGAGCGAUUCCCCUGUUGGGUAGAUUAUCGAAGCCACCGCAGAACUUUUAACAAAUAUGUAGUGAUUGUAAUGUACAUAUCACGAAGAAACAACAGAAGAAACCGGUUUAGCUUUUAACAGAAACGGAGGUUUGGCCUUGUUACAAUGAAAACAGAUUCUUCACUACAAGAGCUCCUUGGAAAGCUUAAUGGAGUAUGGUUUAGGUCUUAUCGUCUACGUGCAAGUUUGAAGCGGUUUCAACAGGUGAAUAAAGAUUCAACGCAUCGGAUUCCGAUUAGAAAAACAUGUUCAACGUGUAUUAGUACUAGUAAAGGAGCGAGACUGCAGAAGUUAUGCUAUGGUUGCGCGCAGAAAAAAAUUCAGCAAGCACUCGUGAACUCCGAAGCAAUGCACACCCUACUAAUCAAACAGAGGAUAUCAACGGAGUCCCUGUCAUCCAAAACGAGACUAUUAAUGAAGUCCCUGUUGUUCAACCAGUGGCUGCACACUUUAUAACACAUGAUCCAGCAGAGGAGGAGGUUGCAUGGAUGAAGAAUAGCUUGGUAGGAGUGAUAAAUGAAGGUGUUAAUUAUCAGGAUAUAAGGAAAGACUUGCAUUCUAAUGGAGUUCAAUUAACGGGUUUUUGUUCUAUGGGUGCAUCACAAGCUUUGAUCUCGUUCAAUACUUCUGACUCCACGAUGGAAGCUUUUGAAUUGGAUAUAACGCCUUGGCAUGGUUAUUUUGAUGAGUUGAGGCCUUGCAUUGAUACAGAUGGUCCAAUUGAUCGAUUUGCCUGGAUUGAAGCUACUGAUUUGCCAAUAACUGGUUGGAAUGUUACGAGCAUCAACAAGAUUAUAUCAGUAUAUGGUAGAGCUAUAGGUUUUGACAAAAUCAAUUUGGGGUAUAGCAAUCUUGGUCAUAUUAAUCUUUUAAUUGGAAAACGGCUUCACAGAUUUAUUAAAGAAAACACUACUUUGUGGUUAAAUGGGAAAUAUUAUAAGAUCAAAUUGCAGGAAUUGGAUCCUCUGCAUUAUCUAGUAUCUGAAGCUAUUGAGGACAACAUGACCGCUUUUGAUCUGAUGAAGCAGGAAGAUGAGAGUGAAACAGAGACUAGUACUGUUGACACUUUGAUGUUGAAAAUGCUGACGAGAUAGCAACUAAAAGCUGUGCACAUUUGGCGUUGAUUGUGGAUGUGAUUAGCUGUUCGCAUAACAACAGGGAUUUGGAAAUCUGUAAAACAGCUGUUUCUGAUGUUCCUGUUGAAAUUCUGUUCCGGAAAUAUUGGAGAGAAGAUCACCACAACAAGAUUUCAGGGGUGUUUGGAAUUAAGUUUCAACUACGGAAACUACUAAACAAAAACAGUAUCUAGGAGGUGCCAUCAGAAUCAAAUGUUGAGAGGCACAACACAUCCCAUCCCAUGAAUUAGUGCCUCUUGACAGUCCUCAACUAUCAGAAGAACAACACUCAACAUCUCUGGGUUCUUCUACACCCAGUAGAGCAGCCAUAAACCCAAAUACCCAGCAUAUAUUUCACCCUAUGAUUUUACAGAGAAGGAGGAGGAAGGUUAAAGUCUUUUCAUCAACUGACAGUUUAGAAAACGAUACGGCAGAAGGGGAAGGGGAUGGUUCAAGCUCACUUGACUCUGGCAUCAGACAAGGAAACGCUCGUUACACUCAUCUUAGUGACGUGUCUGUACCAUAAAAGAAUGGGAAAGAUGAUGAGGUGCAAGAGAUGUUAAAUGCUGGGCAGUUUCUGGGAUUUAUAAGUGCUUAAGAUCAGGCGGUUCUAACAGUAUACAUUACAAAGCAAUUGGAUAGGGAGAUUGGUGAUUAGGCUGCGAAUUAAUUAAUAGAAGGUGGAGAGUCUGAAUAAUGAGCAUAGGUACAAUUAGUAAUAGUUCUAUUGCCUUGUAAGUUUAACAUGAGUGUUUGGAGGAAUGAUCCAAAUGAUGUGAAAUAAUGAAGUACAAUCACUAACAGGGUAUUAUGUAGGGUAUUGUGUAGAAGAGGAUUUCUUAGAAAAUAUAAAUUUAAUUGCUCCUAAAAAAACAAUUUGUUUUUUUUUGUAUUGUUGAAACACAAGUGGUCAGUCAUAAUUCGUUUGGUAUUUAAUGGUGCAUGUAGAAAAGAAUUGGUCAAAUGUUAACCUAAUGGAAUGAAUUGUGAAAGGAAAUUUCAAAGUCUAGCAAUUAAUACGUUAUGGAAUAUUUUAGGGGUAUUUGAGUACUAGUUAGAAAUAAAGUGGUCUUUGAGAAUCAAUUGCUAUAUUGGAAUUCAACCCUUGAAUUAAUUCUCCAUCGUCUUCAUCUAUGGCUGAAGACCUUUAAAGCUAACUUUAUGCAUGGAGGUUUUGACCCUUUCAAAGGCCAUAAAGAAUUUUGAAUGGACCCUCAUGUAGAACUAUUGCUUGUACUUUCGGUGUCAAAAAGUCUUUUAAAACAAUAGAAAUAGAAAUCUUUUGCUACAUAUAAAACUACAUUAUGGAAACAUGGUAUGAGAAUAUCGGUAAGGUUUAUAUUGCUGGGAAGUCUAACUUUUUGAACCAAAGAAAGAAAUUCAGUGUAACAUUUAAUCAAAAGUAAAGAAGAAAGUUCAGUUGACGUACUAGUCAAAGUCUUGUUUGGAAAAAAAAACCGAGGCUUUGAAAAAAGGAUUGUGGAAAUUUAGACCAUUUGAUUUUGAGAGUAUCAGAUUAGACGGAGGAGAGAUGGAGGCAGCCGAUUGCACGAUCAUGGUGUUAUUAGUUUGCCGCGUGGAAAAUCAUGCCAUUUGACUCCGAUGCGGUCAAAACCUCACCAACAACACGGCUGAUAAAAUAGGCCAUGCACUUCACGAUACACCUGCUUUUUGACUGCUUUAGCUCUCGGAAAAACUGUUUGAUGCUCAAGCAAGAGCUAUAAAUUUGCUUGAUUUUGAUCAAUUUGUGGCUAACGAAAUCUCCUUGCUCUAUGUUACCUUUUAUUUUUAACAAUUAUUGCGUUGCUAAUAAAUUGCAAGAAAGCAUAUUCUUUCUCUGGAACAAUAGUCUGUACCAACCUUCAUCAGUCCUCAUUACUUCGCUCUUCAGCUAACCUUUCUGAUUGCUGCAAUUUGAUCUUUAAAGUCACCAAGUUGAUGGAAUCCGACCAACUCAUAAACACCAUAUAGAGGUAAUCUCUGCGAUUGUUGCUACUGAUUGCAUGCAUGCAGUCCUUUUUGGUUUCAUCUUUUCAGCAAUAUCGAUUGUUGCAGGACAGCGAUAUUCAUCAGCUAACCUCUCUGAUCUCCAGUUGCUGCAUUUUCAUAGCUGGCGGAAUCCAACCAGCCCUUGGGUUAUGUAGAGGUAUAACUAACUCUCUUUGCUUCGUUUUAAUUUCACGUAUUUACUUAUAACAAUAAUUUGGAAGUUUUACGUUCAGAUAGAUAUAUCAUCAUUGACCAGUUUAUUGAGUUCCUUGUAGAUCUUCAAGCACAAUAUCAUUCUAUUUUAGAAUGCAGAAAGUAAAACGCAAGCAAUCCAAAGAUGAAGAAAACGAUUCAUCCUCGCGAAAGAGAAGAAAAGCAGACCUCAGUAAGCCUGUCAGUUUUGUCUCCACAGGUAACGUAGAAAUAUCUCGUGCUGAGAGCAGUUAUGUUAAAAUCGGAUCGUGAAAGUUCCAUUCUGCUAUUAGGCUAUGCUUAUUAGCAAUCAAAAUCAGUUUACUUCUUUCUGUUAGAAUAAAUAACUAGGGGAGAGGGAGGUAAGGAAGCAUGGUGGAAACAAUAUAAUAUAUUAUUUUCUAAGAGAGGAAGUUCUUUAGGACACAUCAAAAUUAACCCCACCACUUUUAUCAUUUCCAAGUUCAUGAUUUGCUGUCAAUAUGUUAUUUGUUUCUUAAAGAUUAAUCACUUUCACGGGGAUUCCUCUUUAUCAUGUCACUUAAAUUAUAUACAUAUCAAAAUUCAGCUUCUCUAACAAAUUCCCAUCAGAAUUUACAUGUAUUGUCUCUGAUGAUCGCUUUACAUGCAUUCCUUGCUCCAUUGCUAAUUUAUUGUGUCAUAAUUUCUGCAGCUGCCAUGACAGAGCUAGAGUCUUCUCGCUCUAGACCAAAUGGGGCCUACGAUGUAUUUCUGAGUUUUAGAGGAGAAGAUAAUCGCAAGAAUUUUACAGAUCAUCUAUAUACUGCCUUAGUCCAAGCAGGAAUCUACACUUUUCGAGAUCAUAAUGAAAUUCCUAGGGGAAGAAAUCUCCAAACAUCUCCUCAAGGCAAUUCAAGAAUCAAAGAUAUCUAUAGUGGUCUUCUCUAAAGGAUAUGCUUCUUCUAGAUGGUGUCUUAAUGAACUUGUAGAGAUUCUUGAGUGCAAAAACAGGAAAACUGGUCAGAUUGUUCUUCCUGUAUUUUAUGACAUUGAUCCUUCAGAUGUGAGAAAGCAGACCGGCAGUUUUGUAAAAGCAUUUGAUAAGCAUGAAGUCUGUUUUAAAGAGAAGGUGAAGGAGUGGAGAAAAGCUCUUGAGGAGGCGGGAAAUCUCUCCGGAUGGAAUCUCAGUGAUAUGGAAAAUGGGUACGCCUUUUUCCCUCUAAGAUUCCGUGGCACACAUUUAUGGAGUAAUUAUACAAUAGAUUUUACCAUGUGAAAUAAUAAUUUUUUUUUAGCAUGGUUAAUUGUCUCUCUAUUAAAGACUUGCUUUUGUUUAUGAGCAGGCACGAAUCAAAAUUUAUCCAAGACAUUAUCAAGGAUGUGUUGAAUAAAUUGGAUCCCAAGUACAUAAAUGUUUCUACUCACCUAGUAGGUAUUGAUCCCCUUGUACAUACUAUUAGUGACUUCAUAAGUACCGCGACAGAUGAUGUACGCCUUGUGGGCAUACAUGGGAUGCCGGGAAUAGGAAAGACGACUAUAGCAAAAGUUGUAUUUAAUAAACUCUGCUAUGGAUUCGAGGGAAGCUGUUUUCUUUCGAAUAUCAAUGAAACAUCAGAACAAUCGAAUGGUCUUGUUCUUUUACAAGAACAACUUCUUCAUGAUAUCUUGAAGCAAAAUCCUGCAAAUAUCAAUAAUGUUGAUAGAGGAAUGGUUCUGAUCAAAGAACGACUUUGUCACAAAAGAGUUCUUGUUGUUGUUGAUGAUGUGACUUAUCAAUACCAACUAAAUGCUUUGGUGGGAGAUGGAAGUUGGUUUGGUCCCGGAAGUAGAGUAAUAAUUACAUCUGAAGAUGAACGCUUGCUUCUAAAAGUGGAUCGAAAAUGUCAGGUCGAAAAUUGAAACGAGAUGCGUCCCUACAACUUUUCAGUUGGCAUGCCUUCAGGGACACCAAGCCAGCAAAAGAUUAUGUUGAGGUGUCGAAUGAUGUCGUUGAUUAUUGUGGAGGGCUUCCUUUAGCCCUUGAGGUUUUAGGUUCUUGUUGUUGGUGGGAGGAACCACUGGUGGUGGCUUUGAAACACUCAGAGGGGAUAAAACACACUGGUUUUAUUACAAAAUCCGAAGCUUACAAUUAACACAAAACAAAAGCUUAACACACGCCCUCUCUCUCUCUCUAUUCUCUUUCAAGUGUUUCUCUCUAUUCUCUCCACACAUAUAACAUAAGCUGGGCACUCUAUUUAUACACGAAAUCAAAACAAGAAAAUUCAACCUUCAAGUGUGAAGGCGGCUGGCGGCUGUGGCAGCUGUGGAGGCGGCUGGCGGCUGCGGCUGGUGGCUGGCGGCUGGUCGGUUGGUGGCUGGUCGGUGGCAGCUGGUGGUUGCCUUCCUUGACCAUCUAGAGGUUGAGUUUAAUUCAACAAAUCUCCCCUUUAAACUCAAUCGAGGGAUAUCAUGCCAAGCAUGAACACUUCUCUCUUCAAUGCCUUCUCUGCUUGUAGACCCUUUUGACACCUAUUGCUUUCUUCUUUUCUGGUGGGUCCUUAUCUGCAUGGAAACAAAACAGAGUUGUAUCUUCCAUGACCUGAGUGGUAUCAUACAACUCUUCAAGAUUCCGCAUCUUUCUUGGUCCUUCUGACGAGGAUGCUGAUGGUGGUGUUGAUGAUGAUGCUCCUGGUGUGUUCCUCCUGUUGAAUACAGGGAAACUGUGUGCCGGACUUUGUGGUUCAGCUGCUGGUAUAAACACUGGACUUUGUGGUUCAGCUGCUGGCACAAUCGGUUCUUCUAUAAGUACUGUUGGUACUUCUUCACCUUCAAGGAUCAAAUCAGUGUUGAUCCAUCUGACUGCUUCUUGAUCACCAUUCCAUGCCCAAGAUUUAUCUUCUUCAAAGAUAACAUCUCUACUCGUAAUCACCUUCUUCGUGAUAGGAUUAUACAGCCUGUAUCCCAUCCUUCUUUCACCAUAUCCGACAAAGAUGCAUUUCUCGCUCUUAUCAUCGAGCUUUCUCCUUCUUGCAUCUGGGAUCUUUGCAUAUGCCACACAACCAAAGACUCGUAGAUGAGUAACACUUGGUUUGUGACCACUCCAUGCUUCUUCUGGAGUACCUUGCAAACUUCUGGUUGGGCAGCGAUUCAACAGAUACACUGCACAUGAUACAGCUUCAGCCCAGUAUUGCUUGGGCAGCUUCUUUGCUUUGAGCAAACUUCUGCCAUGUCAAGAAUCGUGCGAUUCUUCCUUUCUGCUACACCGUUCAGCUGUGGUGUAUAAGCUGGCGUCGUCUGAUGUCUGAUGCCUUGUUGUGUACAAUAGGCUUCAAAGUCAUUUGCUGUAUAUUCUCCACCUUGAUCAGAUCUUACGGUUCUGAUCGUGUAACCAGUUUGCUUCUCCACAAUUGCUUUAAAAUCUUUAAAACAAUUGAAUACUUCUGACUUCCUCUUCAGAAAGUAUAUCCACGUCUUUCUACUAAAAUCAUCAGUAAAAGUGAGGAAGUACCUAUUUUGUCCAGUCGACAUAGGCGUAAUUGGGCCACACACAUCUGUGUGUACUAACUCCAGUGGCCUCUUUGCUCUCCAGUUGACUUCUUUGGCAAAACUGGAUCUGUGUUGUUUGCUGAGGACACAACUCUCACAGACUUCUCUCUGGAUGAUCAAUGUGAGGCAAACCUUUGACCAUCUUCUUGCUUGCUAGCAUCUUCAUACUCGUGAAAUUCAGAUGUCCAAGCCUCAGGUGCCAAAGCCAUUCUUCACUGUUGGUGAUGGCACUCAAACACCUUGUUGCAUCAUACUGGAUGUUCAAAGGAAACAUCCUAUUCUUGGACAUUUUCACGUAGGCCAUUAAUCUCCCAUUGUUGUCUCUAAUUGUCAGAUGACAAUUCUUCGAGUAAAAACUAUAUCCUCUCUCCAAAAGUUGGCCUAAGCUGAUCAGGUUCUGCUUUAUGGCUGGGACAUAAUACACAUCGGCGAUGUAGCUGGAAUCGCCAUUCUUCAACUUGACUGGGAUGUUGCCUUUACCUUUGAAUGGAACCUUUGUGGUAUCUCCAAAAGUAACUAGACCUUGCUUGGUCUCAUCUAGAUCACCAAAUAACUCUCGGUAGCCGCACAUGUGAUUGCUGGCUCCAGUAUCUAGAUACCAUAUCUCCUCUUGUUUCUCGCCAUGUCCUUGUUGGACAAGAAAUGCAGAUGCUUCUCCAUCAUGCUUCUCUACAUAGUUGGCUUGCUCACGUAUCUCCAACGGAGCUUUCCAUCGGCAUUCAGUGCUAUAGUGCCCAAAUUGAUUGCAGCUAUAACAUUUGAUAUUUCUCUUAUCACGGUUAUUGUAACCGCCUCCUCUUCCUCUAGGAGUGAAUGCUUGUUGGCCUCGGCCUCCUCUGGUGGUGUUUCUGCCACUCUUCCUCUAAGCUUGUAUUCCAAGAACCUCUUCCUUGGAAUCUCUGGAAUCCUCCUCUGGAUUGUUGACUUCCUCCUUGAGUGGUGUAGCCACUUGAUGAAGUCUCCCCUUGCUCAUAUCUGUCCUUGAAAGACAGCUUUGCUUGUAAGGCAUGCUCAAUGGCCUUAUCUUCAUUUCGCAUUACAAUCUUCUGCUCAUGAGCUUGCAAAGAACUCAUAAGCUCAUCCACUGUCAACUUGUCCACUUCCUUGGACUCUUCAAUUGCGACAACAACAUGAUCAAAUUUUGGAUCUAUGGAUCUCAAAAUUUUCUCAAUAAUUCGAGUAUCGAUGAGGGCUUCUCCAUUUCUUCUCAUCUGGUUGACUAUCACCAUAAUCCUUGUGUGAUAAUCAGAAAUAGACUCCGAGGACUUCAUUCGUAAUAAUUCGAAUUCUCCUCUCAAAGAUUGAAGACGAAUCUUCUUGAUUCUGUCAGCACCUUUGUAUUUCUGUUGGAGAGCCUCCCAUAUAUCAUGUGACGUUUCAGCGGAAGCUAUUAUCUCGAAUGUAUCUUCAUCAAGACCUUGAUAGAUGAUGGUCUUUGCUUUGUUGUCCUUCUUUCUGUUGACUUUGAGGGCUUGCUUCUGUGCCUCUUGUAAAAUCUUCUCUUUCUUUGGACUCUGGUUCAUCAUAACCAGUUUGUACAAUAUCAAAACACUCUUGUGACCCAAGAAAUGCCUUCAAUCUGAUGCACCAACUAUCAUAGUUGUCUUUGGUCAGCUUCGGGAUGAGUGUAUGUGUACCUUCUGUAGUCAUUUUGCUCUUUUAAUGACUAUAUCGCCUUCUGGGAGCCGAAUUUGACCAAACGGACACUGUAGAUCGAUCCGGAAUGGUCCAAAUAGUCGGGAACCGGUCUGACUUUGUUGAAAUCGGGUCAGAAAAUGGGUGAACCGGUCAAAAAACCAAUUCUGUACGGCGGGCGGUUCGCUGGGUUGAACCGGGAAUAUUCUGGGGAAUAUUCGGGGAAUAUUCUGGGGAAUAUUCUUGGGAAUAUGCUGGGGAAUAUUCGUGGAAUAUUCUGGGGAAUAUUCCUUCGGCUCGGCUCGGCUCGGGGUAACGGCUCGGCUGUGUGGCUUGGCUGGACUCGGCUUAGGCGGCUUACACGGCUCGAAUAUGGCGCGCGUGUGGCUCAGUCGUCUUCAACCUCGGGGCGCGUGGGAUGCGCGUGGGCGAUCUGGCUGAAUAUUCAGACGGCGCGUGUGGGCUACCCCGGACUCCGAUGAGGCUGAUUUUUGCGGCGUUGAGUUCGUCUUGAUGAGCUCUACACUGUGGAAUGAUCAAAACUUGUUUUUGACAACUUUGAAAAUUCGGAUAUACCCCAAAACUCUUCUGUUUUCCGACGAACGGGGCUCUGAUACCAAUUGUUGGUGGGAGGAACCACUGGUGGUGGCUUUGAAACACUCAGAGGGGAUAAAACACACUGGUUUUAUUACAAAAUCCGAAGCUUACAAUUAACACAAAACAAAAGCUUAACACACGCCCUCUCUCUCUCUCUAUUCUCUUUCAAGUGUUUCUCUCUAUUCUCUCCACACAUAUAACAUAAGCUGGGCACUCUAUUUAUACACGAAAUCAAAACAAGAAAAUUCAACCUUCAAGUGUGAAGGCGGCUGGCGGCUGUGGCAGCUGUGGGGGCGGCUGGCGGCUGCGGCUGGUGGCUGGCGGCUGGUCGGUUGGUGGCUGGUCGGUGGCAGCUGGUGGUUGCCUUCCUUGACCAUCUAGAGGUUGAGUUUAAUUCAACACUUGUUUGUCCGGGAAAAACAAAUCUAGAUGGAAAUGUAUAAUCGACAAAUUGAGAAAAAUUCCAAACCAUGAUAUUCAGGAAAAACUUCGAAUAAGUUUUGACAAACUGGAUGACCAUAAACUACAAAAUACAUUUCUUGAUCUUGCAAGCUUUUUUAUUGGUAGAAAUAAAGAAUAUGUAGCAAAUGUACUUGAAGCUCGAUGUGGUUACAAUCCAGAGGAUGAUUUGGGAACUCUCAGUGAAAGGUCUCUGAUUAAUCUUAAUGCUUCUGAAAUAUAAGCAUGCAUAAUCUAUUACGAGACAUGGGAAGGGAGAUCAUUCACAAAGAGUCACCUAACAACCCAGGAAAACGCAGCCGCGUAUGGUAAUAACUAAAUGCAUACACAAAUGCUCGUUUAUCUUUCUUUUUAAACUUCUAGCAUAUAAUUACUUUGAAACUCUAUUGAAUUUUGUUGGUUUUUUAGGGAACGAAAGUGGUAGAGGGUUUAGCGCUAGAUGUCAGAGCAUCAGAAAAUAAUUCAUUAAGCACAGGAUCAUUUACAAAGAUGAGAUGCUUGAAGUUACUCCAAAUCAAUGGAGCACGUCUAUCGGGCCCUUCAAACUGCUUUCUGAAGAGUUGAUAUGGACAACCUAGUUGUUCUUGAUAUGCAGUAUAGUAACAUCAAAGAAUUAUGGAAGGAGAAAAAGGUAAGAAAAAUACUACAAUUCUUCAAAAUUUGUGCUUGAUGUAAUGCAUAUUUUUAAGUUACAACUUCUGAUGAUUACUUUUUGUUAUUUUCCUUACUGCUCUUACAGAUUCUCAAUAAACUAAAAAUUCUUAAUCUCAGUUAUUCAAAGCAUCUUAUUAAAACACCAAACUUGCAAAGUAUAAGUCUAGAGAAACUUUUGUUGGAAGGUUGCUCGGGUUUAUUUGAGGUGCAUCAAUCUGUUGGACAUUUAAAGAGCCUCACUUUCUUAAAUCUAAAGGGAUGUUGGAGGCUAAAGAUUCUUCCCCAAAGCAUUUGUGAGGCAAAAUCUCUUGAGAUUUUGAAUAUUUCAGAGUGUUCACAACUUGAGAAGUUGCCGGAGCACAUGGGUGAUAUGGAAUCCUUUACCGAGCUGAUAGCAGAUGGAAUUAACAAUGAGCACUUUUUCGCUUCAAUUGAACAUUUAAAGUAUAUAAAGAAGUUGUCACUGUGCGGAUACAAUUUCACUGCGGACACGCCAUUAUCUACAUCCUGGUAUUCACCAAUUUCAUCAAGUGUUUUAGAUUGGAGAGCCUUGCUGCCAACUUGUUUCACUGGUUGGAGAUUAUUGAGAAAACUAAGACUUGCUUAUUAUGGUUUGUCUGAACGAGCAACUAAUUGUGUUGAUUUUGGUUGUUUGUCCUCUCUCGAAGAAUUGAAUCUAUCAGGAAACAAUUUCUUAAGUCUGCCUUCUGGCAUCGACGUCCAUCCUAAGCUGGGGCUUUUGAGAGUGUCGUACUGCAGCAAUCUUGUAUCAAUCUCAGAGCUUCCCUCAAAUUUAAAAUUCUUGGAUGCAAUCGGUUGCACAUCAAUGGAAAAGGUAAGACUUCCAGUCCAGUCCAAAAACAAUGAAAAUCUGUCUCUAUAUAGGAGUCAAAAUUUAACAGAGAUUCAGGGCAUGGACAUGGAAGGUCUAAGUAAUCAUGGCUGGAUUAUUUCCUCUGAUACCGCCUCCGAUUUAUCAAAUAAUUACAAGAAGAGUUUUGUUGAGGUACUAUUUCUGUCUCUUCCGCACACAAAUAAAGACACAAUUGGCAUAAACUAUAUAUAUAUAUUAGUGUCUAAAAUUUCAGCACUCUUUGUAAUUAAUCAAUAUAUAUAUAUAUAUAUAUAUGCAGGCAUUGUGGAAUGGUGGUUAUGGAUAUCAUAUUCACGGCUAUGAUGCCAAAUUGCUUAUGGGAAUCUAUCAUCACAACGUGCGAAAGGGGUUCACCUUCCAUGGAGAAGGAUGUUCAUUAUCAUUUCAUAUACCUCCAGUUUUUCAAGGGUUGAUUUUUUGGGCUUUCACUACAAGGAUUUUUUUUAGUAGGAGUCAUACAAUCAAUGCUAUUAUAUAAAAAAAGAGCAACGGUAUGCAAUUGUUUGAAGCUACACUGGUAAUAGGACUCUAUUGCCCCAUAAGUUGGACAAGAUUCGUAAGUUUAAGUGAGAUGGCAAUGGAAGAAUGUUGUGGGCACGAAGAAUUGGAAUUGUAUGUGAAUUUGGGGAGCGCAGACAUUAAUGUGAAACAAUGUGGGAUCAAAGUGAUUGUAGAUUUGGAUUCAUUUGAAGGGCUGGAGUGGGAUCAUGACAUUGACAACCAAGAGUCAGAAGUGGGAAGAGAUGAAGUAGUACCAAUUCAUCUGCUUCCUCAUCCUCUUUAUGGUUCGCUGACAUUUUCUACAAUUGAGCAGUUUAAAGAUUAUUUAUAUAGGAAGAGUUUUUAUCCACUUCGCGAAGAAACUUUCAACCUGAGCUCAAUUAGUUGAAGGAUUGUUUUGUGAAAAAUCCAUACUUUAUGCCCUCUUAGAUCUUCCGUUAUCGCCUUGUUGUAUAAAAUAAAUAAAUAAAUAAAGCAUUUUGUUUUUGAGUUGGCAAAAUGAAUGAUUGCAGUGCAUGAAUAUACAGGCUCUUUUGAAAACUUAUCUCAAAGGCAAAAGUUUUAGUCAGCAUGGCUGAUCAGACUAGCACUUUUAAAGAGGAAAUUAUUUUUAAGGAUAAUGAGACUAGUUCUGUAGUCAAGAUGUCCGGAAUGGUAAUGGAUGGGUUUCCAGUCCUUGAGGAGUUCCAGCAUACCAUGAUAACUUUUGUCCCUGAUAAUGUCCAUGGAUGGAUUUCCAGUCCUUGAGGAGUUACAAACCAGAAACAGUGGAGAAAAACAAAGAGGCUUGUAAACAUUGCAUGGAGAAAUCUACAAUUGAUUCAGAUUGCAUCGAUGAUGUGACUUUUUUCUUCGAGUGUGCAUAGAGAUUGAAGUAAUUAAACAAAACAAGGCACGAUUUUGACUCUCAAAAUCACUCUAUAAACAGUUUGUUUCCAGAAAGAAAUCCAGGAGGGGCUUAUGGACGUUGAUAAAUAAUACAGGGGAGGCAGAAUUUGGGUCUGAUAAUGGGUUCAUCAAAUCACACCUUUUCUCCAGGAAAUUUUGAUAUGGCUACUAUCACUACGCGUAAGAAGAAGAAAAAGGGUUGUGUGAAGAAGAAGCAUCGAAAGGUAAAGCUCUUAAAUCUUUAGGGGGGUUUUGAGGGAACUGAUUUUGGCAUGUUUGUAGCGAUUCAUCCAUGGACUCAAGAAUUAUGAACUUUUUUUUAGAUCUGACGUCUUCUAUCAAUGGAAUACAAAUGUUCCUUGAUCAAUUUGGAUUUCACAGAAAUUUUAUACUUUCUAUUUUGAUCAACAUGAAAUUUUAUGAGAAGAUGCAAAUUACUAAUCCUUUUCAAUUAUUUAUAAUUAACAUGGACUGAUCAUAGAAUGAUGUUCAUACUUUUUAAUUUUUGCCCAAAGAUAUAAUAUAUGUUAAUAAAACUAUGCAAAUGCAUCGUAACUUCUAAUCAUUCACCACAUUUAACUAACAGUUUCCUUCUUUUUUUUUUUUUUUUCCAUCUCCCUUGAACAAAUAAUCCAAUAAAUUAUUCCCUUUCGAGUAAAAUUAUUUUCAACAAAUGAUACAUUAUAUAAAAAGAAACAGCCCAAAACACAAUGCUUUAUAUUUAUUUGUUUGUUUGUUUUGUACAACAAGGCGGUAAUAUCAGACCUCAGUACCGUUGCCAACUCAAAAACUAAAUCCUUCAACGAAUUGAGUUCAGGUUAAAUUAAGUUUCUGUAUGAAAUGGGAAAUUAGAUAAAUAAUCUUGCACUGCUCCAUUGUAGAAAAUCCUAUUGAGCCAUAAAGAGGAUGAGGAAGCAGAUGACAUGGCAGUACAUGUAUCACAUUAAUGUCAACGCCAUGAUUCCACUCUAUUCCUUCAAAUGAAUCCAAAUCUACAAUCACUUGGAUCCCACAUUGUUUCACAUUAAUUUCUUCGCUCCCCAAAUUCACAUACAAUUCCAAUUCUUCGUGUGCACAAUGUUCUUCCAUUGCCAUCUCACUUGAACUUUCGUAUCUUACCCAACUAAGAGGGGAAUAGUGUCCGACUACCUGUGUAGCUUCAAACAAUUGAAUACCGUUGCUCUUCUUUCUAAUAAUAGCAUUGAUUCUGAGAAUCCGACUAAAAACAAUCCUUGUAGAGAAAGCCCAAAAAAUCAACCCUUGAAAAACUGGAGGUAAAUGAAAUGAUAAUGAACAUCCUUGUCCAUGGUAGUUCAACCCCUUUGGAAACUUAAAAUAAUAGAUACUCAUAGCCAAUUUGACAUCGUAGUAGUGAAUAUGAUAUCCAUAACUACCAUUGCACGAUGCCUGCAUAUAUAAAUUCAUUUGAAAGAGUGCUGAAAUUUCAAACACUAACAUAUAUAUAUAUAUAUAUAUAUAUAUAGAGAGAGAGAGAGAGAGAGAUGUUGGUGGGAGAAACCACUGGUGGUGGCUUUGAAACACUCAGAGGGGAUAAAACACAAUGUUUUAUUUACAAAAUCCAAAGCUUACAAUUAACAACAAAACUCACAAUACACACCCUCUCUUUCUCUCUAAUGUUUCUCUCUAUUCUCUCCACACACAAUAACAUAAACUGAGCACUCUAUUUAUACACGAAAUCAGAAUACAAAAAUUCAAACUUUCCAAGUGAGAAGGCGGCUGGCGGCCGGUGGUGUGAAGGUGGCUGGCGGCUGCGACUGGUGGCUGGUGGCUGGUUGGUUGCCUUCCUUGACCUUCUGGAUGUUGAGUUUAAUAUUCAACAAAUCUCCCCCUUAAACUCAAUCGAGAGAUGUCAUGCCAAGCAUGAACUUUUCUCUUCAUUGCCUUCUCUCUACUUGUAGCCUUUAUCCACUAAUUUGGCUUUCGUCUUGUAGACCCAUUUGACACCUAUUGCUUUCUUAUUUUCUGGUGGGUCCUUAUCUGUAUGGAAACAAAACAAAGUUGUAUCUUCCAUGACUUGAGUGGCAUCAUACAGCUCUUCAAGAUUUCUCAUCCUUCUUGGUCCUUCUGAUGAGGAUGCUGAUGGUGGUGUUGAUGAUGAUGCUCCUGGUGUGUUCCUCCUGUUGAAUACAGGGAAUCUGUGCACCGGACUUUGUGGUUCAGCUGCUGGCACAAUCGGUUCUUCUGCAAGUAUAAUUGGUUCUUCAACAAGUACUGUUGGUACUUCUUCACCUUCAAGGAUCAAAUCAAGAUUGAUCCAUUUGACUGCUUCUUGAUCAUCAUUCCAUUCCCAAGAUUUAUCUUCUUCAAAGAUAACAUCUCUACUAAUCACCUUCUUCGUGAUGGGAUUAUACAGCUGUAUCCCAUCCUUCUUUCACCAUAUCCGACAAAGAUGCAUUUCUCGCUCUUAUCAUCGAGCUUUCUCCUUCUUGCAUCUGGGAUCUUUGCAUAUGCCACACAACCAAAGACUCGUAGAUGAGUAACACUUGGUUUGUGACCACUCCAUGCUUCUUCUGGAGUGACUCCUUGCAAACUUCUGGUUGGGCAGCGAUUCAAUAGAUACACUGCACAUGAUACAGCUUCAGCCCAGUAUUGCUUGGGCAGCUUCUUUGCUUUGAGCAAACUUCUGGCCAUGUCAAGAAUCGUGCGAUUCUUCCUCUGCUACACCAUUCAGCUGUGGUGUAUAAGCUGGUGUCGUCUGAUGUCUGAUGCCUUGUUGUGUACAAAGGCUUCAAAGUCAUUGCUGUAUAUUCUCCACCUUGAUCAGAUCUCACGGUUCUGAUCAUACCAGUUUGCUUCUCCACAAUUGCUUUAAAAUCUUUAAAACAAUUGAAUACUUCUGACUUCCUCUUCAGAAAGUAUAUCCACGUCUUUCUACUAAAAUCAUCAGUAAAAGUGAGGAAGUACCUAUUUUGUCCAGUCGACAUAGGCGUUAUUGGGCCACACACAUCUGUGUGUACUAACUCCAGUGGCCUCUUUGCUCUCCAGUUGACUUCUUUGGCAAAACUGGAUCUGUGAUGUUUGCUGAGGACACAACUCUCACAGACUUCAUCUGGAUGAUCAAUGUGAGGCAAACCUUUGACCAUCUUCUUGCUUGCUAGCAUCUUCAGACUUGUGAAAUUCAGAUGUCCAAGCCUCAGGUGCCAAAGCCAUUCUUCACUGUUGGUGAUGGCACUCAAACACCUUGCUGCAUCAUACUGGAUGUUCAAAGGAAACAUCCUAUUCUUGGACAUUUUCACGUAGGCCAUUAAUCUCCCAUUGUUGUCUCUAAUUGUCAGAUGACAAUUCUUCGAGUAAAAAGUAUAUCCUCUCUCCAAAAGUUGACCUAAGCUGAUCAGGUUCUGCUUUAUGGCUGGGACAUAAUAGACAUCGGCGAUGUAGCUGGAAUCGCCAUUCUUCAACUUGACUGGGAUGCUGCCUUUACCUUUGAAUGGAACCUUUGUGGUAUCUCCAAAAGUAACUAGACCUUGCUUGGUCUCAUCUAGAUCACCAAAUAACUCUCGGUAGCCGCACAUGUGAUUGCUGGCUCCAGUAUCUAGAUACCAUAUAUCCUCCUUUUUCUCAUCAAGUCUUGUUGGACAAGAAAUGCAGCUUCUUCUCUGUCAUCCUUCUCUACAUAGUUGGCUUGCUCACGUAUCUCCAACGGAGCUUUCCUUCGCAUUCAGUGCUAUAGUGCCCAAAUUGAUUGCAACUAUAACAUUGAUAUUCCUCUUGUCACGGUUAUUGUAACCGCCUCCUCUUCCUCUAGGAGUGAAUGCUUGUUGUCCUCGGCCUCCUCUGGUGGUGUUUCUGCCACCUCUUCCUCUAAAGCUUGUAUUCCAAGAACCUCUUCCUUGGAAUCUCUGGAAUCCUCCUCUGGAUUGUUGACUUCCUGCUUGAGUGGUGUAGCCACUUGAUGAAGUCUCCCCUUGCUCAUAUCUGUCUUGAAGACAGCUUUGCUUGUAAGGCAUGCUCAAUGGCCUUAUCUUCAUUUCGCUUACAAUCUUCUGCUCAUGAGCUUGCAAAGAACUCAUAAGCUCAUCACUGUCAACUUGUCCACUUCCUUGGACUCUUCAAUUGCGACAACAACAAUCAAAUUUUGGAUCUAUGGAUCUCAAAAUUUUUCAGUAAUUCGAGAAUUGAUGAUGGCUUCUCCAUUUCUCCUCAUCUGGUUGACUAUCACCAUAAUCCUUGUGUGAUAAUCAGAAAUAGACUGAGGACUUCAUUCGCAAUAAUUCGAAUUCUCCUCUCAAAGAUUGAAGACGAAUCUUCUUGAUUCUGUCAGCACCUUUGUAUUUCUGUUGGAGAGCCUCCCAUAUGUGAUGUUUCAGCGGAAGCUAUGAUCUCGAAUGUAUCUUCAUCAAGACCUUGAUAGAUGAUGGUCUUUGCUUUGUUGUCCUUCUUUCUGUUGACUUUCAGGGUUGCUUUGUGCCUCUUGUAAAGCAUCUUCUCUUUCUUUGGACUCUGGUUCAUCAUAACCAGUUUGUACAAUAUCCAAACACUCUUGUGACCCAAGAAAUGCCUUCAAUCUGAUGCACCAACUAUCAUAGUUGUCUUUGGUCAGCUUCGGGAUGAGUGUAUGUGUACCUUUUGUAGUCAUUUUUCUAUUUGAAUGACUAUAUCACCUUUCUGGGAGCCGAAUUUGGCCAAACGGACACUGUAGAUCGAUCUGGAAUGGUCCAAAUAGUAGGGAACCGGUCUGACUUUGAACAAAUCGGGUCAUAAAAUGGGUGAACCGGUCAAAAAACCAAUUCUGUACGGCGGGCGGUUCGCUGGGUUGAACCGGGAAUAUUCUGUGGAAUAUUUAAGGGAAUAUUCUGGGGAAUAUUCUCUCGGCGCGCUGCGGCUCGGCUCGGCGUGGUGUACGUCACGCUCAUGGCUCGGCUUGACGUCUCGGCUCGGCUCGAGGCUCAAAUAUGGCGCGCGUGGACGGCACUCGUCGUCUUCCUCUGGCACGAGUGGUUGCGCGUGGGCUACAGUCAUCGGAUAUUCAGGCGGCGCGUGUUUGUCACCGCGGUCUCCGAUCAGGCUGAUUCUUGUGACAGUGAGUUCGUCUUGAUGAGCUCUACACUGUGGAAUGAUCAAAACUUGUUUUUGACAACUUUGAAAAUUCGGAUAUACCCCAAAACACUUCUGUUUUCUGACGAACGGGGCUCUGAUACCAAUUGUUGGUGGGAGAAACCACUGGUGGUGGCUUUGAAACACUCAGAGGGGAUAAAACACACUGUUUUAUUACAAAAUCCGAAGCUUACAAUUAACAACAAAACUCACAAUACACACCCUCUAUUUCUCUCUAAUGUUUCUCUCUAUUCUCUCCACACACAAUAACAUAAACUGAGCACUCUAUUUAUACACGAAAUCAGAAUACAAAAAUUCAAACUUUCCAAGUGUGAAGGCGGCUGGCAGCCGGUGGUGUGAAGGCGGCUGGCGGCUGGUUGGUUGCCUUCCUUGACCUUCUGGAUGUUGAGUUUAAUAUUCAAUAAGAGAGAGUAUUUAUGUGCAAGAGAGACAAAAUAGUACCUCAACAACGUUCUUCUUCUUAUUAUUUGAUAAAUCGGAGGCGAUAUCAGAGGAAAGAAUCCAGCCAUGAUUACUUAGACCUUCCAUGCCUUGAAUCUCCAUUAAAUCUGAACACCUAUACAGAGAUAGAUUUUCAUUUUCUUUUAACUGGAUUGGCAGUCUUACUCUUUCCAUUGAUGUGCAACCGAUUGCAUCCAAGAAUUUUAAAUUUGAGGGAAGCUCUGAGAUUGAUACAAGAUUGCUGCAAUUAUGAACUCUCAAAACCCCCAGCUUAGGAAGGACGCUGAUGCCAUAAGGCAGACUGAAGAAUUUGUUUCCUGAUAGAUUCAAUUCUUCAAGAGAGGACAAACCACCAAAAUCAACACAAUUAAGUGAGCCUUCAGACAAACCAUAAUAAGCAAGUCUUAGUUUUCUCAAUAAUCUCCAACCAGUGAAAGAAGUUGGCAGUAUAGCUUUCCAAUCUAAAACACUUGCUGACAUCCAUGAUGAAAUUGGUGAAGGCCAGGAUGGAGAUGAUGGUGCGUCCAGAUUGAAAUUGUAUCCGCACAAUGACAACUUCCUUACAUACUUUAAAUGUUCAAUUGAAGAUAAAAAUUGCUCAUUCUCAAUUCCAUCCGCUAACAACUCAAUAAAGGAUUCAAUAUCACACAAGUGCUCCGGCAACUUCUCAAGGUGUGAACACCCCGAAAUAUUCAAACUUUCAAGAGAUUUUACCUCACAAAUGUUUUCAGGAAGAAUCUUUAGCCUCCAACAUCCCUUCAGAUUUAAGAAAAUGAGUCUCUUCAAAUGUCCAAUAGAUUGAUGCACCUCAACCAAACUCGAGCAACCUUCAAGCAUGAGUUUUUCUAAACUUGAAUUGUGCAAGUUUGGUGUUUUAACAAGGUGCUUUGAAUAACUGAGAUUAAGGAUUUUCAGCUUGUUGAGAAUCUGUAAGAGCAAUGAGGAGAACAACAAAAACUAAUCAUCAAAAGUUCUAACUUGAAAAUAUAAACAACAAAUUUUGGAGGACUGUAGUAUGUUUCGCACCUUUUUUUCCUUCCAAAAUUCUUUGAUGUUACUAUACUGCAUAUCAAGAACAACUAGGUUGUCCAACAAUAAAUCGGAUGGAAAAGAUUUUAAAGCACAUUCAAGCCAACAAAUCCAUAUCAACUCUUCAGAAAGCAGGUUGAAGGGUCCAGUGAGAUGUACUCCAUUGAUUUGGAGUAACUUCAAGCAUCGCAUAUUUGUAAAUGAUCCCGUGCUCAGUGAUUUAUCUUCUGAUGCUCUCGCAUCCAGCAUUAGACCCUCCACAACUUCCGUUCCCUAAAAAAGCAACAAAAUUCAGUAGAACUUCUAAAUAAUUAUAAGCAAAACUUUUGAAAAGAAAGAUACACGUGCAUGAUUGUGCUUUUGUGUAUGCAUUUAGUAAUUACCAUCUGCUUGCUGAGUACAUUCCAUGCAUCCUUACGUUGCCAAAUUCGGCUGUGUUUUCCAGGGUGGUCUGGUGGCUCUUUAUGAAUGAUCUCCCUUCCCAUGUCUCUCAAUAGAUCAUGCAUGCCUAUCAUUCCAGAAGCAUUAACUUUAAUCAAAGACCUUUCACUGAGAAUUCCCAAAUCAUCUUCUGGAUUGUAACCACAACGGGCUUCUAGUACAUUUGCGAUGUAGUCUUUAUUUCUACCAAUAAAAAAGCAUGCAAUAUCAAGAAAUGUAUUCUUUAGUUUAUGGUCAUCAAGUGUGUCAAAACUUAUUCUAAGUUUUUUCUGAAUUUCACGAUUUGAAAUUUUUCUCAACUUGUCAAUUACACAUUUCCAUCUAGAUUUGUUUUUCCCGGACAAACAAGAACCUAAAACCUCAAGGGCUAAAGGAAGCCCUCCACAGUAAUCAACUAUAUCAUUCAAAAGCUCAACAUAAUCUUUUGUUGGCUUGCUAUCCCCAAAGGCAUGCCAACUGAAAAGCUGAAGGGACUAAUACUGUUUCAAUUCUUCGACCUGAUAUGUUCAAUCCGCUUUAAGAAGCAAGCGUUCAUCUUUAGUUGUAAUUAUUACACUACUCCCGGGACCAAACCAGCUUCGCUCUCCCAUCAAAGCAUUUAGUUGCUUCAAAUGAACCACAUCAUAAAAAACAACAAGAACUCUUUUGUGACAAAUUCGUUCCUUGAUGAGAACCAUUCCUCUAUCAACAUUAUUGAUAGUUCCAGCAUUUUGUUUUAAAAUAUCAUGAAGAAUAUGUUCUUGUAAAAGAACAAGACCAUUCGAUUGUUCUGAUGUCUCAUUGAUAUUCAAAAGAAAACAGCUUCCCUCAAAUCCAUAGCAGAGUUGAUUAAAUACAACUUUUGCUAUAGUCGUCUUUCCUAUUCCUGGCAUCCCAUGUAUGCCCACAAUGCGAACGUCAUCUGUCGCAGCACUUAGGAAGUCACUAAUAGUAUGGACAAGGCGAUCAAUACCUACUAGGUGAGUAGCAACAUUUAGGUUCUUGGGAUCCAAUUUAUUCAACACAUCCUUGACAAUCACUAGGAUAAAUUUUGAUUCGUGGCUGUUCAUUGACAAAAGCAACUCAUUAAUAGAGAGACAAUUAAGUAUGCUAAAAAAAUAUUUUGUUGUUUCACAUGGUAAAAUCUAAUGUAUAAUUACUCCAUAAAUGCAUACGAGUGAAUCUUAGAGAGAAAUGUCAUACCCAUUUUCCAUAUCAUUGAGAUUCCAUCCACUUAGAUUUCCAGCCUCCUCAAGAGCUUUUCUCCAUUCCUUCACCUUCUCUUUAAAACGUUCUUCAUGGCUAUCAAAUGCUUUUGCAAAACUGCCAGUCUGUUUUCUCACAUCUGAAGGAUCAAUGUCAUAGAAUAUAGGAAGAACAAUCUGACUAGUUUUCCUGCUUUUGCACUCAAGAAUCUCCACAAGUUCAUUAAGACACCAUCUAGAAGAAGCAUAUCCUUUUGAGAGCACCACUAUAUAUAUCUUUGAUUCUUGAAUUGCCUUGAGGAGAUUUUUGGAGAUUUUUUCACCUCUAGGAAUUUCAUUAUGAUCUCGAAAAGUGAGGAUCCCUGCUUGGACUAAGGCAAUAUAUAGAUGAUCUAUAAAAUUCUUGUGAUUAUCUUCUCCUCUAAAACUCAGAAAUACAUCAUGUUGGAAGUUAAGCUGAUUACUUGUUGUUAAAGCUUCAGAAGUAAAUCCUGUGGUGAUAACGAGAAGAAUGAAGAAUGGACGAAUAAUGAAUUAAUAGAAGAAGAGUCUGUUACAAUAGUUAAAAAACAGUUAAAGUAGUUAUAGCUGUUAUAACUAUUUUUUCUGUUACAAACCGUUUCUUACAUGUGUAAGAAUCGUAGCCCUCAAUCAAUGAAUGGUUGAGAUGAAUUGAUUCCUAAAGUCUAGAAUUCUAUUAUUGAUUACAUAAAAAAAAAAGUGUAUAAAAGCAGAGUUCUACACUAAUGGAACUGUAAGAAAAAUACAAAGGAAAUUCAAGAAUUCUUCUCAUCUUCUUCUCUGCAAACUUUUCUUUUAAUAAUCUGAAAAUAUACAUGGUAUCACAGCUCACAAACUGAUUCCUAAGAGGGGCGUAAACUGUGAAAAACAGAUUGAUUAAAUUGUUAAUUACUCAAAAAAUGGUAGGAUUAAGCUCAGCUGGAGGAGAUUUAAGAACUCCACAGUUUAAUGGCACAAAUUAUGAUCUUUGGGCUGUAAAAAUGGAAACAAUACUAAUAGCAUUUGAUAUAUGGGAAGUAAUAUAAGUUGGAAUAAAAUCUCAUCAAUCACCUGAGAUUACAGCUGGAUCAGGCGAUGAAGAGAGUGAAGCUGAGCAAAGUACAUUGCAUGCAUCCACGACAUCCAGAGAAGAAAAAAUCAAGAAUGCAAAGGCGUUAAGCCUCAUACAAGGAGCAUUAACAGACGAUCUUUUCCCACGUAUAAGAAUGAGAAGACUGCAAAAGGAGCUUAGGACAUCUUGAGCAGAGAAUUCAAAGGAGAUAAAAAGGUUAGAGCUGUAAAACCUCAAGCAGUGAGAGAUGACUUUGAAUACCUAAGAAUGGCAGAUAGUGAAAGCUUAGAUGGAUAUCUAGCUAAAUUCUUUGCAACUAUGAAUAACCUGAAAUCGUUAGGAGCAGAUGUAUCAGAAAAUAGAAUUGUGCAGAAACUCCUAAUGAGUCUAAGCAGAAGAUAUAAGUCCAUUGUGUCAAUCAUUGAGGAGACACGAGAUCUUGAUGUUCUGAGACCAGAAGAAGUCAUUGCUUCUGUUAAAGUUUAUGACAAGAGGAGGAUCUACAUGAUGAAAGGGAUAAGCUAACAGGAACAGAGAAAGCAUUUAGCAGUUUAAAGAUUGGAAACAAUCAAGCCUACAGCUCACACAAGGGUUUCCAAGGCAGACCCCCUCAAAGAUGGCAAUCACAGGACAUGAGAGGACCAAAUUCAUUUCCAAUCAGGAACGGAACCAACUAUAAUAAUUCAAGCUGGAACAACACUGCUUAUGGAAGUAGUCAAGUGGGUGUAAAGCCACAAUGCCAAGUCUGCUAGAAGCAACACUUUGGAUUAUGCAGACACAAAGGAAAGCCAAGAUGUGGAAGAUGCAACCGGUUUGGUCAUAUUGCAAAGAUUGUGAAAGUCACAGUCACAAACAACUUGCAAAUUAUGCUAAAGAAGAAAGAGUCACCACUGGAACCAUGUUCUAUGCUUGCCAUUCUGCAAGACAAAAGGUAUGGUUUAUGGAUAGUGCCUGCAGCAACCACAUGACUUCUCAAGAAUCUGAACUAAUCAACAUUGAUAGAACAGUAACCUGCAAAGUAAAGAUGGGAUCAGAAGACCUUGUGAAGCAACUGGAAAAGGUACAUUGGUUGUGGAAACUCAGCAUGGGAAAAGAUACAUAAAAGAGGUAUUGCUUGUUCCUGGAUUGGAUGAAAACUUACUAAGUGUAGGCCAGAUGAUGGAGCAUGGUUAUUACAUUCUGUUUGGAGGUAACAAAGCAGUAAUAUUUGAUGAUGAAAGUCUCAACAAUGUUAUAGCAAUAGUGAUCAUGGGAGGAAAUCGAUGCUUCCCACUUUCACUUGAGUCCAUCACACCCGCAGCAAGAAAAGCUUCAGUGACUGAGGAUUCCUGGAUAUGGCAUAGAAGACUGGGACACUUGAAUUUUGCCAGCAUGAAGAAGAUGCAGCAGAAAGAGAUGGUAUGUGGGCUUCUUGUUUUGACUGAAGUAGAAGAUGUUUGUGCAGGCUGUGCAUCAGGCAAACAUCACAGGGAGAAAUUCAACAAAGAGCAAGCGUGGAGAGCAAGCUAUCCACUGGAACUCAUCCACACUGAUUUGUGUGGACCAAUGCAGAAUGAAUCUGUGGAGGGAACAAAUACUUCAUCACAUUCAUUGAUGAUUACUCAAGAAUGUGUUGAGUAUACUUCCUCAGAAACAAAUCUGAUGCACUCAAUGUGUUCAAGAAAUUCAAAGCAUUCGUUGAGCUGCAAAGUGGAUAUAAACUGAAGGAGCUGAGAAGUGACAGAGGUGGUGAAUAUACUUCAAAUGAGUUUGAAGAAUUUUGUGUAAAACAAGGAAUGGAGAGGCAGCUGACAAUUGCAUACUCUCCUUAACAAAAUGGAGUUGCAGAGAGGAGAAACAGAACAAUUUGUGAAAUGGCAAGGUCCAUGCUGAUAGAAAAAGAAAUGCCAGUAAUCUUCUGGGCAGAAGCUGUGAAUACAACUGUGUAUAUUCAAAAUAGAUGUUAUACAACAUCAGUUAUCGAAAAGACUCCAUUUGAAGCCUUCACGGGUAGAAAGCCAGGAGUCAAGCAUCUAAAAGUCUUCGGUUGCUUAUGCUACACUCAUAUCCCACCAUCACUAAGGCAGAAAUGGGAUAGCAAAACUGGAAAGGGAGUGUUUGUUGGAUAUGGCAGCUGUGAGAAAGGGUAUAGAAUAUAUGACUUGAAAACUGAGAAGAUUGUUCUCUCAAGAAGUGUGAUUUUCAGUGAAUAUAGAGUAUGGAGUUGUGAAAGAAAUUGAUGAGCCCAAGUCACUUGUCUUUCACUCUUGAAGAAGGUGAAGUUGGAGGUGAAAAUUCUGAGGAACACUUUGCUGCAGUCCAACCCGAUGAUGUUGAAAAAUGCAAUCAAAAUUCUACAGUUGGAGAGUUAGCUGAGAAUAUUGACAGUAAUAGCAGUCAACAAUCUUCACCUAGCUCUACUCUAGUAAAAUUGAAAACCUUGGAAGAGAUAUAUGCAAGGUGUCACAUGUGCAUCAUAGAACCUGAUAAUUAUCAAGAAGCUUCUGGAGAAAAGCCUGGCAGGAGGCUAUGAAGGAAGAAUUGGAAGUGAUAGAGAAGAACAAUACUUGGGAAUUGGUGGAGAGACCUAUUGAUAAACCUGUGAUAGGAGUGAAAUGGGUGUACAAAACUAAGCUGCAUCUUGAUGGAACAAUUCAAAACACAAGGCUCGACUUGUAGCAAAGGGAUACGCAUAGAAAUCUGGAAUUGAUUACAAUGAAACCUUUGCACCAGUAGCAAGGUUAGACACAAUUCAAACCCUGAUUGCACUUGCAGCACAAAAGGGGUGGAAGUUGUUUCAAUUGGAUGUCAAGUCAGCAUUCCUAAAUGGUGUAUUGAAAGAAGAAGUGUAUGUUGAGCAGCCUGAAGGUUUUCUUGUAAAGAAUGCAGGACACAAAGUUUACAAACUGAGGAAGGCAUUAUAUGGACUAAAGCAGGCACCGAGGGCCUGGUACAGUGAAAUUGAUGCAUACCUCUCUAUGUGCAAAUUCAAAAGGAGCACAAGUGAGGCUACUUUGUAUACAAGGUCUGAUCGAGAAGGUAACUUAAUCAUUGUUUCAAUCUAUGUUGAUGAUAUUGUAUAUACUUGCAGUAGUGAAAGAAUGCUUAGUGAAUUCAAAAGAGAAAUGAUGCAGAGAUAUGAGAUGUCUGAUCUUGGACUUCUUCAUCAUUUUUUGGGCAUGGGAAUACUGCAAACUGAUCAAAGAGUAUUCAUCCAUCAAAGCAAGUAUGCAAAGUCCUUGCUUAAGAAGUUUGGGCUUGAGGACUGUAAACCAGUCUCUAUUCCUUUGGUCACUGGUGAGAAACUGAAGAAGGUGGAUGGGUGAGUUGGCUGAUGAAGGCCUUUAUAGGAAAAUAUAUUUGACAGCAACAAGACCUGAUCUGAUGUAUGCUGCAAGCUUACUAUCACGGUUCAUGACUGGAGCUACCAAAAUUCACAUGGGAGCUGCAAAGAGAGUCCUAAGAUAUGUGCAAGGAACUCUAAGCUAUGGGAUUGAAUAUGUAAGGGAUCAAUCAGCAACUCUUAUUGGAUUUUGUGAUGCAGAUUGGGCAGGAAGUGAAGAUGACAGUAGGAGCACCUCUAGUUAUGCAUUCAGUUUUGGAAGUGGAGCAUUCUCUUGGGCUUUUGUGAAACAGAACACAGUGGCAUUAUCAACUGCAGAAGCUGAGUAUGUCUCAGCAUCUGAAGCAACAACUCAGGCAAUUUGGUUAAGAUUUGUUCUUGAUGAUUUUGGUGAAAUGCAAGCCGAAGCAACAACCUUGUUCUGUGACAACAUGUCAGCAAUUUCAAUGGCUAAAAAUCCUGUUUUUCAUCAAAGAACUAGACACAUAAACAAGAAGUAUCAUUUCAUAAGAGAGGCUCUGCAAGAGGGAGUAAUAAAUAUGAAAUUCUGCAAAAGUGAAGAACAACUUGCAGACAUUUUCACAAAGGCAUUGCCUAAAGACAGAUUCAAGCAAUUAAGAUUGAAUCUUAGAGUUAAACCAGUAAGCAGCUUAGGAGAGGCUGUUGGAAGUUAAGCUGAUUACUUAUUGUUAAAGCUUCAGAAGUAAAUCCUGUGGUGAUAACAAGAAGAAUGAAGAAUGGACAAAUAAUGAAUUAAUAGAAGAAGAGUCUGUUACAAAGCAGUUACAGCAGUUAAAAAACAGUUAAAGUACUUAUAGCUGUUAUAACUGUUUUUUCUGUUACAAACCGUUUCUUACAUGUGUAAGAAUUGUAGCCCUCAAUCAAUGAAUGAUUGAGAUGAAUUGAUUCCUAAAGUCUAGAAUUCUGUUAUUGAUUACAUAAAAAAAAUGUGUAUAAAAGCAGAGUUCUACACUAAUGGAACGGUAAGAAAAAUACAAAGGAAAUUCAAGAAUUCUUCUCAUCUUCUUCUCUGCAAACUUUUCUUUUAAUAAUCUGAAAAUCUACACAUCAUAGGCCCCUUUUGGUCUAGAUCGAGAAGAUUUUGGCUCUGUCAUGGAAGCUGCAGAAAUUAUGACACAAUAAAUUAGCAAUGCAGUAAUGAAUUGGAGAAGGAAUAUGCUUUCUUGUAAUUACUAGCAAGGAAUGCAUGUAAGGCGAUCACCAGAGGCAAUACAUAUGAAUGUGCUGAGAUAGAACUUUCACAGAAACAAAUGGAUUGAUGAUAUUUGUCAGUGGAGUUCUUCAUUUCUGACCAUUGUUCAACACUUCCAUUAUUUAUCAGUGGAGUAUCAGUAAGUCAAAAGAUAUUUGCUAGGAUAUUCCAAAAUUUAGUGUUCUUUCAUUUAUUGAUUACCAGGCAGAUUCAAUAGACAAUAAAUUACAUGAGAACACUCAUGGGUACAUUAGAUAGGACUGAAUCAGACCAAGAACUCCAACAAACAAACCCUUUGUCUUUCUCCUUCCACUAAAUAUGCAAAAACAUCUUUAUCCCAAUCAGUGACCACAUCAUUGUCAUGUCACCUGACGCGUCACCCGCCACAUGUCAGGACACACCAUCUACCAUAUCAUCUACCAAAUCUCUAUCGGCCACGUCAUUAGUGGAAUGCAAGAAGCAUGAGGUUACAUGCUGGGCUACCCCCAUCAUUUUGGUCCGGAGUACUUGUUAAUACUACAAUCUACUUGAUCAAUCAAUGACCUUCUAUUCCUAUAAAUUUUAGAAUUCCAGAAGAGGUUUGGACAGGAAAGGAUGUAAAACUUUCACACUACAAAGUAUUUGGUUGUGUUUCUUAUGUACACAUAGAUUCUGAAGCUAGAAGCAAGCUUGAUCCAAAGUCUAGAAAAUGUAACUUUAUUGGAUAUGGAACUGAUGAGUUUGGAUAUCGGUUUGGGAUGAGAAAAAUUAAAAAAUUAUCAAAAGUAAAAAUAUCAUAUUCAAUAAGAAGGUGAUGUACAGGGAUAAGGGUGCAGCAGAUUCAGGUAGGCCUAAACCAGAAACAAAGACAGCUGAGGUAGUUGAUAUGGAUGAUAUUGUUGAAAGCAUUGUGCAAAAUAAUGGUCAAAAGACUCAAAACAAAGAAAAUGUUGAUCCAUAUAUAGAGCCAUAGACUCUAGUAACGAUAGUCAGAAGAUCUUCCAGAACUAUCAGACCUCCAUAAUGUUUCUCACCAUUAUUGAAUUACAUCUUGUUGACACAGAUAAUGGUGAGCCACAAAAUCAUGAUGAAGCCAUGCAAGUUGAAGAAUCAAGGAGGAAGGAGUCGGCUAUGAAAGAUGAAAUGGAUUCCUUGUUAUGGAAUCAGACAUAGGAGCUAUCUGAACUACCUAUAGGAAAGAAAGCUUUGCAUAAUAAAUAGGUGUAUAAGAUAAAAGAAGAACACGACGGUAGCAAAUGCUACAAAGUAAGACUAGUCGUGAAGGUAUUUUUAACAAAAAUAAGGUAUUGACUACACAUAUAUCUUUUCUCUUGUGGUGAAACUUACAACAAUUAGAUUGGUCCUGGGAAUUAUAGCUGCAGAAGAUCUACAUCUUGAGCAGUUAGAUGUGAAGACUGCUUUCCUUCAUAGAGACUUAGAGGAAGAUAUUUACAUGAAGCAGCCUGUGGGUUUUUUAGAAAAAGAAAAGGAGAAUAUGGUUUGUAAGCUGACAAGGAGUUUGUAAGGCUUGAAACAAGCUCCUAAGCAAUGGUAUAAGAAGAUUGACAACUUUAUGUGCAAUAAUGGGUUCAUGCGACUGCAAGCAGACCAUUGUUGUUAUAUGAAGAAUUUUGACGACUCCUGUAUCAUCUUAUUGCUAUAUAUGGAUGAUGUGCUAAUUGCCGGAUCUAGUAUCUAUGAGAUCAAUAAGUUAAAUUAAGAAGCAUUGAAAUAAAGGAUUUGGGAGCAGCAAAACAAAUCCUUAAUAUGAGAAUCACCAGGGACAGAGCUAAUGCAUGGUACCCUAAAGCUUUCACAAGAAGAGUAUGUUAAAUGACACGACCAAAAGAUUGAUGUCUUCUCCCAAGUGCAAGAGCGUCGAAGUAAUAAAUAACCCGGCAAGACCGGGGUCGAACCACAGGGAGGUUAACUAUAUAAACUAUAAACAACAACAACAACAAUAAUAAUAAGAUCAAGAGAGCUUUGGGAUGUGAUAUUGAUGUAAGGAUUAAACAAGCAUAAAAUAAUUAUCAAGGUUAGAGGAUCCACUAAUGGUACUUCAAACAAGUAUAAUAUAAACUCUUUUUAUUACUCAACUGGAAACCACACACAAAGGAGGUUCCAAUCGGAUUGUAAAUUGUUAACUUGAUUACAUUAGUUAUCUUAUUCGAAUAAUGAUAAUACUUGUAAAUGUUGUUAGGCAUUCAUGAUUAUAACUUAUGUUAACAACAAAUCAAGUUCCUUUCAUAGCUCAGGUGUCGGUUAUACCAUACAAUAUGGGCUAUGAAAGUGCCAAGUAUUUGUUGUGCCAAGUGUUAUGCAACAUAAAUCUAGAUUAACCAUUUAAUAAGCAAAGUAUUAAAAGUGAACAAGAUAACAAAUAUAAAACAUGUUAGUAUCCAACAUUAAGGUCCAUGUUAAGUUUAUAUUAUACUUAUUCUUACACCAUUAGUGUACCCUUUUCACCUUGACAUAAUUAACUUAGCUAAACAUAAUGAAUGAAAGAAACAUAAAUGAACAAGAUAAGAACAUAAAUGAGAAAGAAGUUAACUAAAUAAAGAAAAGGAAAUGAAGUGUAUAAACUUGAUAUUAAUAAAAGCAAAACAUAAGCAAUACAAAGAGAGAAAGCAAGAGCAUGAUCUUGAUCUAGAAACCAAGAUGCCUCAAUACAUGGUAAAUGCCUCCUUUUAUAGGCCAAAAUUUGGAACUAUUGAUUUGUUGACUAAUUGAUGAGUGGGUGGCCACAUCUUGACUUGGUAACAAUUCUUAUUCUUCUUGUCUGAACAAAACAUCAUUGCUGACAUCAUAAUUUGAAUAGAAUUUCCAUAAAACUUCUAGGAAAUUGUCUCAGCUUUCCAACAAAAAAAAGAUGAGGUCAUUUGAACUUCUAAAACUCAAGAUAUGGGCUGAACACUGAACAGUGUCUAGGCUGCAGGACAGAUUCAGACUUCUUUGUUGUUCCAACAAUUUGGACUUCAAAAAGGCCUUUUUAAUUCUUGGGUUCCACAUGAAAGUUGUAGGCCUAUGUUUUACCUUUCCAUCCAUAUAAAGUGGACCUAACUCCGAGAUCUAGAGCUCCAGAUAUGAUCCAAUUACCGAGCAAUGUUCCGGUUUGGACUGCACCAGGAUCUCCUUUCUAAGUUUGGCCAUCUCUUUGUCCUUUCACUUUCAAUACUUAAACUCAUCAAUCAAUCCUUUCAUUUAUGUGUUAAGCCUGCAUUUAAGAUAAACAUUUACCAUAAAUUAAAGGUAUCUUAUAUUAUUAGAUAUGUUAUUAUAAAACAUGCUUAAGUUAAGGAGUUAUUGAUACUUCAAGUGCAAAAUGAUGAUAUAAAACCUUGAUAAACAUGAGCAUAGUUCCUUGUGCAUCAGCAAUCAUAAGUCUUAUGUAUGCCAUGGUUUGUACAAGAUCAGACAUUGCAUAUGCAGUGGGAGCUUUGAGCAGAUACAUGAGUAAUCCUGGCAAACAACACUGGGAAGUGGUAAAAUGGAUUUUAAGAUAUCUGAAAGGUUCUUCAGAUAUACCUCUUUGUUUCACAAAUUCAAACUUGAAGCUUCAAGGUUAUGUGGAUGUCAUUUCGCCAGUGCUAUUGAUAGUAGGAAAAACACUAUAGGGUUUGUGUAUGCUGUUGCUACCCAAUUUUUAACCCAUGUUUUUGAUAAAUUUUUCAAAAAAUCCAAAAAUAGAGAAAAACAAUGAAAAUCCAAAAAAUAUGUUUUUUAUAUAUAUUCUCGUCAUUUUAGCAUUUUCAGCGUCGUCUAGAAAAAAAAAAAUUUAAUUUUCAAAAGAUUUUUAAACGCGUUCGACUUUUCACGCGUCAUUUUUAAAAGCAUUGAUUUUCCUCAUUAAGUCGACGUUGAUAUUGCUCGUUUUCAAAAAAUACAAAAAAAUAAGAAAAAUCAAAAUUUACAAAAAAAAAAAAAAGUUGAGGGACCAAGUUGAAAAACCUAGCAACAUUUUGCAUAUAAAUACUGGUUUCCUCAACACAUUCAAGGAGGGCGGACAAUUUUGUAAAGAGGGGAGAAACACAAAAACCCUAAACUUAUCUCUACCCAAAGGUAGCCGCCGGAGCCCCCAGCCCCUUUGAUUUUUUUUUUCUCUUCUUUCUUCCCCCACACACGGCAAAAAACAGCCCCCAAACCCCCUGGUUUAUUUUUCUUCUUCCUCUUCUCCAGCCGGCUGGCCAAGCCCCAUCGCCGGUCUUCUUCCCUCUCGGCCGCCCCUUCAAUCCUCCACACCGUAGCCCCAUCUCCUUCUUCCUUUUGAGAAACAAACAAAGAAAACAGCCCCCCCGGUCAUUUUCGUUUCUCUUCUCCCCAGUAACAGCCACAAAUCUGCCCUCUCCCACCUGAAAAAGCCACGGCCUCCACCGCAGCUUCAGCAGCCCCAGACCUACGGUCUCCGUUCGACCUCCAGCAGCGGCGGUCAGAGAAAUCGACCACGAGCAGCGCCACAGAACGACCUCAUCCCCACUGACCAGAGGACAGGCGGAGCCGCUCCUCUCUCAGUAGACCCAUCGGCCUCCCUCUCCGGGUCAACGAACCGCUGACCACAACAGCUGGCCACAGACCCGAUCUCCUCAGCACCGCCACCGGUCUCCUCCUUCAACCGACCACCCACAACUCCCCCUUACAACCUCCGGCCACCUGAAACAGAAGAGGAGGAAACCGAAAUAAUAUGCAGAGAUGAGCAGAUCUGAAAAUGAGAAGGGAGAGAAGCAAAUCUAAACUAAAAAUGGGUUAAAAUCGACUGUUUGUUGGGUUUUCGUGCUUUUGCAGGUGACGGUGGGUGUCACCGUCGGCGAGGAAAGGAAGGAGGAGGGAAGCCGAACCAGAUCCCUCUGUCUCCAGUUACUGGCGGCGGCGGCGCGUGGAGGAGACGCGCCGCCCCUGUUUUCAAAUCCAGAAGCCUGCGAACACUGUUCCCGUGGCUGCAUUGUACCUGAUUCUAGUUUUUAGGGUUUAUUUUUUAAUUUUUAAAUUAAUUAAUGUAAUUUUUAUAUAUUUAUUUUGAAUUUGUAUUUGUAUUGUGGAUGUAAAGGAAAGAAAAGGAAAAGAAACAAAAAUAGUGGAAAGUGUAUGUGUGUGUUUGUAUUUUGUUUGUAUAUUUUUUAAUGAUAAAAUUGCAAAUAUAUUAAAGAAGAAUUUAAUAUUUUGAUCGGAUCACGGUUAAGAAUUAUUAACUUAUACGUAAGUGAUAUUUCUAAUUUCCGAUGAAAAGACAAUUAUUAAAACUUCUUUAACACAUCAAAUUCGCGAAGCAGCUUACCUCAGGUAGGGUGCGUUAGGGGUGCUAAUACCUUCCCUAACCACAACCAGUCCCUUAUCCGCGAAUCUCUGACACGACCAGUACAUCCGGUUUCCUAGUAGCCUUUAAUAAAUUACUAGGUGGCGACUCCCAACGAAUUUAAAGCAAACGCAACAAUGAGCAACAACGAGAAAAAUCACCAACCGAUGCCGCGCGGAUUUUUCGACGUGCGACUUAUACUUUGGGUAAUACAGUUGUAUAUUGGGCUUCGAAGCUACAAAAGAUUGUUGCUCUAUCUAUAAUUGAAGUUGAAUAUGUAGCUGUAACUGAAGCUGGAAAGGAGAUGGUUUGGUUACAAAGCUUCUUGGAUGAAUUAAGCAAGAAGCAUCAUAAAGGCACUAUACAAUGAUAGUCAGAGUGUUGUUUUUCUUGCAAAAAAUCCAGCCUUCUAUUCCAGGACAAAACACAUAUAGUUGAGAUUUCAUUUCAUUCGCUCUAAUGGUCAGUUGACAGUUGAGAAGAUUCGAGGAAGCAAAAAUCCUGCUGAUAUGCUUACAAAAGAGGUAACGAUAGAGAAACUGAAGUUGUGCAAAGCUUCAAUUGGUCUUCAAGGAUAGAAGACAGGUGAGAUGCCUUUUGUCUCUAAGCGGGAGAUUGUUGAUUAAUGGAGAACAAAAGGCACACCCCACCCACUUCUUGUCUAGCUAGCUAGAAGUGGGAUGCCUUUUGUCUUCAAGUGAAAGAUUGUUAAUUUUGGAAUUUCUGGAAUAUAAUAGUUAGCUGGUGGGUUCUUUUAUGAUGCAUACCUCAUUCCAUGGAUGAUUGUUUCAACAAUGGCAGGGAUUGAUUGAUGGAAAGUUUCAGCGUAAGGUGUGGCAAGGAUUUUUCCAUGGAAUAAUCUGGCUUAUUUGGCAUACUAGGAAGAACAUAUUUGAAACUAUCAUUUCAGAUUGGGAAUAUGUUCUGUCUUUUCUUUCACAAGGUUGCAUCUAGGAUUCGUUCUUAUUGUAAUGUUUUCAUAAUACUGGUAUGGAUCUGUUAAGAAAUAGGAAGAGGUUAUAACAAUGUUAGCGGGUGGGCGCCAUCUGCGCCAUUCGGUGGCGUAUGCUACCCCAGAACAAAAUCAAGAGUCUCUUUACAAGGUGUCUUUCGAUGCACCUUGUCACCCCAAGCAUAAUGGUAAGGCACAUAUGCUGAGAAGGUUCAUGAAAGAGCUCCAAAUAGGGUUUUUUUCCUCCCUCCUUUCCUACCCUCUCUCCUUAUGAAAAAUUAUGGUACCCAUUGCAAAAAAAAAAAAGUUAGACAUGAUUAUCAGACCCAAGUAACGUGGGUCUGACAUGUUACCAAGCCCAAGUAAGAGUCGGCCAGUAACGUUUGUCAGACCCAAGCUAGCUUGGGUCAAACACCUUUGAUUAUAAUUAUUGAAUAAUAGGUCUGACAACCACACCACACCCAAAUAGCAUAGUUUUAAGACCCGGCCCGGUCCAAAGCCAUGGGUUCCAGUUUUUGACCAGGUCGGUCGGGUCAAUUUUUUUUUUUAAUUCAAAAUAACAUAGUUUUAGUAAAAAAAAAAAAACAAAGUCAACGGGCUUACAACCGGGUUUUGCCAAGUCAACCGAGUCACCGGGUUAACCCGCCUAGUCAUGCCAAAUUUUUCCUUCCCCUGUUUUUUCUUCAACCUGGCUCGGAUCCAGCCCUGGGGCGGCUGGGUCCCAAGUCGACCCACCGGGCCCUUCAAAACUAUGGACCCAAGCCACUUGGGUUUGACACCAUUACCAGACUUAGGGUCUUUCACUUUGGUAGACCCAAGCGACUAAGGUCUGGCACCUCCUAUGCCAGACCUAAUUACCUCUUCAUCCUUUCAUUUUUUUCAAUUAUCUCUCAUUGGUCAUUAUAGUUUUAAAUUUUAAAACAUCUACUUUAUGUUUUAAAAAAAUUUCAAUUUGAAAAAUAGCUAAGUUUUUACUAAUCCGAUUAGAGAACUUAUUCUUAGCUUUAUUGGGGUGACAAUCUUUUAUCAUAGUCAUGAAACCUUGGAUCAUUAGAUUAUCAGGUGUUCAUGUUAUUUUUUUUUAUUAAAAUAAUAUUUUCUUUCUUUUCAAUAAAACCAACCCAAACCCAAAUACCCUAGGUUUGAUAACCAUGCUAGACCUAAGAUAGUUGGGUCUAGAAAACAAGUCAGAUCCAAGUGACUUGGGUCUAGCAAGCACGUCAGGCCCAAUCAUCUUGGGUUUGAUAUGUAAUGUGAGUCUGACAUUAUUGCUAGGCCCAUAUAAACAUGAAUAACCCUCAUGAUUAUAGAAAAUUACACCAAAAACAAUUUGAAAGAAUAAAAAUACUCACAUAUGCAAAGCUUAUUUUUUAUUUUUUCAAGGUUAAAAAUAUAUUUUAACUAUUUAAUAUUGACUUGGGUCUGACAUGGUUUCUAGACCCAAGUAUCUUGGGUUUGCAACAUUGGGUUUGCCCAGACCUAAGUGCCAGACCCCUACGCCAUACCCAAUUACCUCUUCAUUCUUUUGUUUUCUUUGAUUAUCUAUCUUUGGUUAAGUCUAGCAAUAGUGUUAGACCCAAGCAACUUGGAUCCAGUAAGCCGAAAGCGACUUCGGUCUGCCACCCAUGCCAAACCUAAGUAUCUUGGGUCUGGCAAGUUAUGGCAGACCUAAGCGUCUUGAGUCUCGCAGUCAUGCAAGAUCCAAGGUCCUUGGGUCUAGGGUGGCUGCCAAACCUUAAGUAUUUGGGCCUGACACCCACAUCUGAUCCAAGUUACUUGGAAAAUACUCCAACUUGCAGUGGAGCAUGGGCAAAUAUGCUAGUCUUAAACUAAAAAAGAGAUGGAAGGAACUUAACUGAAUGAUGUAAACAUAAAAGCUUUGGCAAGUGUUUUUUUUUUUUUUUUUUUUUAUGAAAUCAAAGUUAUUUGUGAAGAAAUGAAAUUAAAACAAGAAAGACGCGAGGAAGAUUUACUAGCAAAAACAUGACAGCAUAAAGUCCCAUAUCUAACAAUUAUUUUCUUUGGCAAUCUUCUAAUUAGUGUUAAUAUUGCUGUAAACAUGAAAACAAAAACGACUACAUGCUAGAUGUUAAUGAUGUUAGAUGAUCAAUGAAUAAUUUUGUGCAUCUAGGAAAGAAAACGAUUACAUGCUACACGAUAAUAUUGUUAGAUGGCCAAUGAAUAAUUUUUAUUGUUAUACUCUCAGCACGACAUAUUUCUACCUUACCUGUGGAGACAAAACUGACAGGCUUACUGAGGUCUACUUUUCUUCUCCUUCGCGAGGAUGAAUCGUUUUCUUCAUCUUUGGAUUGCUUACGUUUUUCCUUCUGCAUUCUAAAAUAGAAGAAAGUUGUCAAUGAUAUGUAUGAACGUAAAGCUUUCAAAUUAUUGUUUUGAGUAGAGGCAUGAAAUUGAAACAAGAAAGAAGCAAAAGAAGAGGUUAGUUAUACCUCUGUAUAACGAAAGGGUUGGUUGGAUUCCACCAGCUAUGAAAUUGUAGCGAUCUGAGAGAGAUGUUAGCUGAUCAAUACGGGCUUCUAAAAGUAACAAUUAUUUUCUCUGGCAAUCUUCUUAGUGUCAAUAUUGCUGUCAUGCAAAAACUAAUAUUGCUGAGAAGAAGAAAACAAAGAAAACUACAUGCAUGCAAUCUGUAGCAACAAUCUCACUGUUUACCUCUUUACGGUGUUUAUGAGGUGGUCAGAUUCCACCAACUUGAUGACUUUAAAGAUCAAAUUGCAGCAAUCGGAAAGGUUAGCUGAUCAAGAGUAAAGUACUGAAGCCUGAAGACUAGUACAGCCAAUAUUGUUACAGAGACAGAAUAUGAGUUCUUGCAAAUUAUUAGUAAUGCAAUUUCUUUAUAGCUCUUGCUUGAGCAUCUAAAAGUUUUCUUGAGAACCAAAGCAGUGUAAAAGCAGGUCUCUUUUGUCAACCGGGUUGUUGGGGAGGUUUUGACAGCAUCAGAGUCAAAUGGCACGAUUUUCCACACGGCAAAUUAAUAAGAUCAUUAUCCAAAGCGUUCGGCUGUCUCCAUCUCUCAGCCGUGAUCAAAUGGUAUAAAUUUCCGCGAACCUUUUUUCAAAGCCUGGGAGCUUUUCUCCCAAGGAAGACUUUGACUGGGCUUCAACUGAACCUUCUGUUUUUACUUUUGAUUAAGAAGUUAGACUUCCCAAUUAACACGAUUUUCUACACGGCAAAAAAAUAUGUCUCUUCUAGCAUUUAAUAUUUAUUUUCACGUAUAUUUGUGAUGUGAUGAAAGAAAACAUACAUCAAAUCAUAGUUUUAAGAUCCGGCAUGGUAAUUGGCCCGGUUUAAGAUCCGGAUUUUAAGUUUUGAUCAAGUCAUCGAGUCGGUCGGGUCAAUUUUUUUUAAAAAAAUAAAAAGUCAUUUAAAAAAAAAAAAGUCAACAUAUUUGCAGCUGGGUCUUGCCGGGUCACCGUGUCACAUCGAGUUUUUUUUUAUUAUUUUUUUUUCAACCCGGCCUAGUUUCAGCCCCGGGUCGGUCGGGUCCCGGGUUGAUCCGUCGGGCCGGGCCAGAUUUCAAAACUAUGCAUAAAAUGAUAAAAACCAAUUUUCCGAAUAUUCUCAUUAUAUAUAUCCAUCAAGUGUACGAUUAUUAAAUAAAAACCUACUUCAAAUUGACCAAACAUUAAUAUUUGUUAAACCAUUUAAGAACUCAUCGUCGUGGUUACAUUUAACAUUCUCUCACUUGACUUGAGUAAUAUUAUCUUUAUUCAUGGUUUAUUAAAUAUAUUAAUAUAAAACCCAUAGAACAAUGCUAACAUAACAUCAAUCACACCAUAUUAUAAUUAAGUAAGAUAACUAAUAUAAAUCAUGAUAGUUCUACAUCAUCAAUUGAACAUAAUUCCUUCUACAUGCUAUAAUAUUAGUCUUUACUUAACAUAAUUUCUAAAUAAGAAACAUAUAAUUGUUCCAACAAUAAGAUUUUUAAUCAAGACAAUUCAUGUUAUCAAUAAUGAUGUAUGUCAUAACUCAAUUUUUUUCUCUUUUAUUUUUAUUUUUACUAUAUUUUCUAUAAAAAUGAUGAAAAAAAUGAAAAAUAAUAAAAACAAAUGUUGAAAAAAUGAAAAACAAAAUGCAAAAAUGAUGAUGAAAUACAAAUAAAAAUGAAAUGAAUGAAGAAUAAAUUAAAAUCUAGGUUAAUUCAAUAUAAUUGGAAGUUUGAGGACUUAAUUAAAUUUUGGUUUAGUUUAAUUAACCAAAUCAAGGGCUUAAUUAAUUGCAGAAUUAAUAAGUUUUGGGACUUAAUUGAACUUGUAAUUAGUUUAAUUAAUGGAAUCGGGGGCUUAAUUGACAAAUUACCAAAUUUUGGGACUGAUUUAGGUCACAAUUGCAAGGAAUGAAAAUAGAAGGACCAAAGUGAAAAUAUCGGGUAUUGUAGGGAGCUUAAUUGAUUUUUAUAGGGGUAAAUUUGAAAGAAUUACAAGUUGAAGAGUCAAUUAAGGACUGGAUUGGAAACUUCAGAAACCAAGGACAGGUUCGUACACGGCACAAACAUGCAGUGGUCCAAUUAAUGUUUAUCCAGGGGCUUCAUUACAGAAUGUCAAAACCUAAAGCACCAAAUUGCAAACAUCCGUUCCCAUCCCGAAAACGGCGUCGUUUCAAUAUACAAUAUGGGGAGAAUGGGGGUGAACAAAACAUAACCAGAGGAGAAAAACCCAGAAGUGCACAGGGGACGCAAACAGGGGGGCGAACAGGGGAGGAGCUUUUCCCAGAAAAUAGAAGAACACGCAGGAAAACUAGAGAGAACAGAAAAACCCAGGAACACACAGACAGACAGAGAAGAAAAACUGAAACUUUGUCCAGAGCACGCCAUCACCAUCGUUUCGACCUUGUCUCCCCGCAUCAUGCUUAAUGUGGCUUGCACAAAAAAAAUGUGUUUGGCCUAAAAACAUUCUUAUACCUUAUCUUUUUAUUUUUAUUUUUAUUUUGAUAUCUUACCAAAUGAGUUUCUUUGUGAUAUUAAAAAGUUUUAAAAAUAUUUGUGGACCUUUUGAAUUUAUAAGUAGGUGCUUGUAUUGUUUUCUUAGAUAUUUCACUAUAUAAUUAAUUUAUGAAUUUUUUAAAACUUAUACAUGCAUAGAUUUAAAUCUAUUUUAUUAGUUUAUUCAUUUAUGUCAGAGUUAGAAAUAUUAUAUUAUUAUUUUUGCUAGUGUAUAUCAACAUUAAAGUUAAAAAUAUUUGUAGUGGAGUAUGUCAGGAAUAUUAAAAAUACAUCAUAAGGAUUGUUUUUACUUUUUAUUAAAGUUAAAAAUAUUUGUAGUUGAGCAUAAUCUCAUUCAGGACUUCGUGAACAACACAGGCUGUAAUUGGUAACGUCUAACUUCCUAGUCUGGUGGUCGCAUUGUUUUUACUUUUUAUGAACUGAAUGGUUCCUUGCCUUAAAAUUUGUGUUGCGAAACUGAAAAAUUAAUGAUGUAAGAUAUUAUUUGAAAUAGUUUUAUGAUGCAGUUCUGAAAUUAUCUUCUUGCCUAGUUCAAUGGAAUCCAUAGCAAGUGUCAGCGAAACAGAGGAUGAUAAUGAAAGAGUUGAUGCCUCGGAGGAUGAAACGAAUGACCAUGAGAAUAAAUUCUCCGAUACCUGUGAGUUUCUAUCCUUUGCUUCUUUCGAAAGUAACAAGUCUGAUUUUCAGACAUCAUCGUUCUCUCCAGAUGAUUAAGGAUUUCUUGCACUUGACUCAGAAGCGGGCAAUGAUCACUCUUGCAGCAGAUCGUACUCAGGCUUUAAACGAUCAAGCUAAACAUAAUAAGCCAAUGUUAUCGAUUCCAUGAAGAUAUGCUCUCUAUUCAUGAUAGGGUUCAUCAGCAACUUCUAAUUUCUACUGCUUCGUUUUAUACAUGGAAAUCUGUUCAGAAACUUCCUACAAUUGUUAAGAUAAAAUAUUAAUCGGUUAAAUUAGAUGAAUUGAAUUAUUAUUUUUUUUUUUACUUUUUUUUAGGGCAAACAUAAAAAAAAAGGCCUCCAACUAUAUAAUUACCGGUUUCAUCCAUUCUUCAGAUUUUCCAUCCAUAUUUCCAUCCAAUUCUGUUUUUUCUCUAAGAAACAAUGCCAUUUUACACUUUCCAUUGAGUGAUUUAAACAAAAGUCCUUACUUAAAAAAUCAAAAUAGAUUUAAACAAGAGACUGUUUGGAUGCAAAAUUUGAUACUACCUCACAGACGUAUCCGAUUCUAGUUUUACUUUUUCUUUCAUUUUUCUUGUCAGAUUAUUUUAUUUAGGAUUUUCUUAUGCUUAUUCUGUUUUAUGGCAGAAGUUUCACGCUCUUUAUCAGGUCAAACAACAAUGUUCUCUACGUUCCAUUGGAGCAGAGCACAAAUAAGAACAAAUAAUGCAAGAACCAUUUCCGAUUGCAACCCAAAAACACUACCAUCAAAUUACACAAGCUUUAUUAGCAAGGUGCAUUUUUCAAGUACCUCUAACUUCCAAUACAAGAUGCAUUGCUUACAAAUCAUAUACCAGUACUGCGAAAUGCAAUACGUUAACACAGCGUCACUUCUGGCAAAGAAAUUGGAACGAAUGGAAGAAUCUUGAUCGUAUCUGUACUUUUGUGGACAUUUCAAUCCACUUAUCAUCUUGUUAGUGCGGCGGAACCAUCUCUCUGUUGAGUAUAGAAUGAUAGAAGAAUUGUUGAGUUGGUAGAAGAAUGAUAGAAGAAUUGUUGAGUAUAGAAUGAUAGAAGAACUGUAUGAUCAUGCUGGUGAUGGUAUUCGAGCUGCUUAGGGUCUCAAGUUUAAUUAAAACAGGGCAAUGUCCCAAUCAAAAAAGCUGAAAUUAAUGAACUUCUGUUAACCUUUGUUAUUUCAUGUUUUAUAAUGCCAUUAUCGUCGUUUUGCAAAGGAACACAGGUCUGAAAGAAGAUAAAUUCAAGAAAAACAGAAACAAAACUACUUUGGACGAGCAAGGUUACAAACUACUUUGAAAUCUUUCAGAUAAAUUGUGACUAAUCCAAAGUUAAGGGCAGAUGCAGAGAAAGGAAUUAAAACAUGCUCACCAAGACGGUGGUAGUGAAACAUAGUGGGGUCCCAAAACCACAAAGUGUAAAAAGACAUCCUUAGCAUUAGGAUGCUUCCACUCUUCCACUGAUUCCCACCAUUUUUUUUUUGUUUUACAUGGAUUUUUUCAAAAGAAGGAGGAGAUGGCUAGUCAUUGUCAAGCAACUGAAGACAAAUUAGCAUGUUGGAGAGAAUCGCAAAUCAGUUUUGCACUACAGAUGCUUUCAAGUUCAGGCAAAUAUCCAUAACAAGCAAAGCGAUUCAGACCAGAAAUCAUACCACCAGAUGGCAAUGGUGAUGAAGCUCAACAAGACCAAGAAGAUGAAAGCAAGCUCUCCAUGCUAUCACAGUCCUUAAUGGUGAUCAUGACUUCAUGUUCUGUUGCAUACUUCAAUGAUGAAACUUCGCAUAAACCUGAAAAUCUCCACUGCUGAUUCCGAAGUCAUUCAAACCUGAGUGUUUAAAUUUACUUGUGUGAAAAUUUGUAUUCAUAUUCGUUCCACAAUCGAACACAAAUUUUGCCCAGUGCUUGAGAUUUGAGAAACGCUGCGAAGUCAGAGACUUGUUUAAAAUGGUAUUCCAAAGUUUCCGACUUCCUCGGGCAAGCUGCUUCUGUUCCUAUAAUUAUAACUGGAGGACGUAAUAAGAAUCCAGGACUAUCUAUCUUUCCUUUAUUUUCUCUUUUAUAUUUGCAUGUUCUACUUUGAAAAAAUAAUUUAUUACUAGUUGGCGAUUUAAGGUGACUUACUGAAUAGAUCUAUUCUUUUAUAAGGUUACUUUAAUGAUAAAUAAAUAUAAUGUUUUUUUAGAUGUUCAUCGUGGAGAAAUUUGAUGGGAUGGAUAUAUAUAAUGUUAAAUUUUAAUUACAAAAAAAAAAUUGAAAAACAUUAUUUGUGCUCAUUAUAAACUGACAAUAUAAAUAAAGAAAAUUUCAUUUGAACCAAUCUGGAUGUUUGAUGUAGGCGGAAUUUAAAAAAGGUGUACGUGUUUUUUCAUAGGCUAGGAAAAUCAACCUAGACAAUGAAACAAAAUCAGAAUCCUAACACAGAAAAUUAACAAUGAAUUCAAAAAUAAACAAUAAUUCCAAAAAAUAUCUAGAAAAAAUAAUAAAAUUAGUGUAAACAGUAAUCUCCAUUAAUCUCCUUCAUUUUCUCACAUUCUCUGACUGUAAACUUCAUUUGAAGAGAUGACAAGAAAAAAUAUCCAUCUCUAUUGAUAUUCAAAUUACCCAAAACAACCAUUUUACUUUCCACAGACCACUGUACUUGAAUUCCCAAAGUUUAUCUUCCCUGAACUGUCCUACCACAGUCAUCCAAAGGUAAUAUCAACAGGAUUAGCCUACCAGAUUAUGGAGGGCUAAUGUUAUCAACAGGAAGAUGUUGAUAUCAACAUUAAAUGAAGGCUAAUAAUAUCAACGAGAUAAUGGAAGCUAGAAAUACGAAGAAGGCUAUAUUAAUAUAAGGCCAUGUUUGUUUUUUGGAAAGUAGUUUCCGGAAAAUCAUUUUCCAAACUUUUCUGUGUUUGUUUGCAAUUAGAAAAGUUGGUUAACAAAAAACACUUUUCAGUCAACGGAAAAUUUGGCUUGGUUUUCAGGAAAAUGUUUUUCCUUUUAGUUGUGUUUGUUUUCCGGAAAGUAGUUUCCAGGAAAUUAUUUUCCAAACUUUCUUGUGUUUGUUUGCCAUUAGGAAAGUUGGUCAACAGAAAACACUUUCCAGUCAAAGGAAAAUUUGAUUUGGUUUUCAGAAAAGUGUUUUCCUAGAAAAUUUGGGCGGAAAACACUUUCCGAAAGUUGUGAAAAUUUUAGAAAUAUUAUUAUUUGUUGAUUAUAUCAAAUUUGAUCCUCAAACUUUUGAUUUCUAUAUAUAUUUUGUUUUAAAUAUUUAUUUUUCAAUUUCAUCUCUUAAAAUUUAAUUUUUAUAUUAACUUUGGUCCUUGUUUUUAUAAUUGCUAUUUGUCUUUUCCUUAUCAUUUUUUUUUUGAAAUUUUUUUAUCUAUCAAAUUUGGUUCUCAUUCUUUUGAUUGUUACUUAUUUUAUUUGAAAUAAUUUAUGAAAUGUUGAUUAUUAUUAUUUUAAUUUCUUCAUCUUUUAUUAUUUUUAAUUUUUUAGAUUUGAUCUCUAUUAUUUUGAUUAUUAUUUAUUUUAUUUGAGAUAAUUUAUGAAAUUAUAUUUUUUUUUUUCAAUUUCAUUCUCAUUCAACUUUUUAGUUUGUAAGAUUUGUUCCUCAUUAUUUUAAUAAACUUGAGAAAAAUAAAAUAUUAAUAAGUUAUUUUUCAGCUCAUUUUUCAUGACAUAACCAAACACUAGAAAAUAUUUUUCAACUUAUUUUCCAUUACACUACCAAAUAUCAAAAAAUACUUUCUCGAUUCACUUUCCCCGGAAUCCACUUUCCAAAACAAAUUACUUUCCAGCAAACAAACGGACCUAAAUACUUUUACAAUUUGAUUAGCCUUAUCAAGUUAUAAAAUCUAAUAAUAUUGGUUGUAUUAUAUCGAUAUUAUCAAAAUAUUAGAAGUCAUAUUAUAUUUGGUAUUAAUAUAAUUUUAAAAUAAACGAGUACUAAUAUCAGUACGGUUGUAUUAUAUCGGCAUUAUCAAAAUAAAUGAGUAAUAAUAUCAACAAGAUUAUGUUAAUACCAACAUUAAAUAAAGAUUUGGAUUUUAAAGGCUAAUAACAUCAACAAGAUUAUGAUAACAUCAGCAUUACUAAGUGACAUGUUUUCUUCCGAGAUAAUGAAAGUUAGAAAUAUUAACAAGGUUAUGUUAAUAUAAAUAUUUUUAUAAGUUGAUUAGCCUUAUCAAGUUAUUAGUACUGAUGGAAUUAAUUUGAUUGAAAAUAAGGAUUUUUUUAUUACAGGAAUUAAUGCAUGGCUAAUUAAAGAUAAAUUAAAAUGAUUCCAGGAAAUCACUUUCCAAACUUUCAUGUGUUUGUUUGUUAUUUUGGUCAAUGGAAAACACUUUCCGGUCAACAAAAAAUUUGGCUUGGUUUCCAGAAAAGUGUUUUCCUUUUAUUUUGGACGGAAAACAUGUUCUAGAAGUUGUGAAAAAAAUUAGAAAUGUCAUAUUAUUUGCUGAUUAUAUCAAAUUUGGUCCUCAAACUUUUGAUUGUUAUAUAUAUUUUGUUUUGAUUUAUUUUUAUAUUAACUUUGAUCCUUAUUUUUGUAAUUGUUAUUUGAUUUUUCCUUAUCAUUUUUUAAUUAAAGUUUUUUAUCUAUCAAAUUUGGUCCUCAUUCUUUUGAUUGAUACUAUUUUAUUUGAAAUAAUUUAUGAAAUGUUAAUUAUUAUUAUUUUAAUUUCUUCAUCUUUCAAUUUUUUUUUAUUUUUUAGAUUUGAUCUCUAUUAUUUUGAUUAUUAUUUAUUUUAUUUGAGAUAAUUUAUGAAAUUAUAUUUUUUUUUCAAUUUUAUUCUCAUUCAACUUUUUAAUUUUUAAGAUUUGUUCCUCGUUAUUUUAAUAAAUUUGAGAAAAAUAAAAUAUUAAUAAGUUAUUUUCCAACUCAUUUUCCAUGACAUAACUUAAUUAUUAUUAUUUUAAUUUCUUUAUCUUUCAAUUUUUUUUAUUUUUUAGAUUUGAUCUUUAUUAUUUUGAUUAUUAUUUAUUUUAUUUGAGAUAAUUUAUGAAAUUAUAUUUUUUUCAAUUUUAUUCUCAUUCAACUUUUUAAUUUGUAUGAUUUAUUCCUCGUUAUUUUCAUAAAUUUGAGAAAAAUAAAAUAUUAAUAAGUUAUUUUUUAGCUUAUUUUCCAUGACAUAACCAAACACUGGAAAAUGUUUUCCAACUUAUUUUCUAUUACACUAUCAAACAUUGGAAAAUACUUUCUCGGAAUUCACUUUCCAAAAAAAAACUACUUUCCAGCAAACAAACGGGGCCAUAAUGUCACAACCAAAAAGAGGGACUUGGUGGUAAUUGUCUAAUGAAUGCAAUUCUAUAUAUAUAUAAUUAUAUAAAUAUGAAUCCACGGGUAAAGGUAUUAACAUAUGUUGUUAUUGUGUUCUGCAUUGAAUUGUUAGAAUUUAGAUUGGAUUAUAUUUAUUUUGAACUAUGAUAGCUUGAAAUAUUGUAAAUACAUAGAAAACUCUACUAAAAUUUUGAGCCUAAAGUAUACCAAGUCGACACAAUUAACAAAAUUACAAAAAAAGGCCUAAAGCUCACAAGUCACUUAAUGUAUACAAAGACACAAUUUAUUGUAGAUUAUAACAAUAAAAUAAUUAUUUCACCCUUCUAAAAACACCAACAGCCUUCAUAUAAAAAAGGACUUGGUAGUAAUUUUGCAAACAUACACACACAACUUCAGAUAAAAAGGACUUGUAAAGCUGCUUCUUGAACGUCUUCAGGCAUUUUACUACAAAUUGCAACACCACGCCCUCUCACUUGAGACAAAUGCCAUUUGAUCCUCGAAACGGAAUUAGCAGACCAGAUCGACAAAUGUCCAUAUUCGCCAUACCCAAUUCCCAAGGUGGAUAACUCUGCAUAACCAUUUCCAAACGCCUAAACUUAAUUCGAUAUUUUAUUAUAUUUAUAUAAUCAGAGUAUAAAACCAGUAAGCACCUAAACUUAAUUCGAUAUUAUAUUAUAUUAUAUUAUAUUAUAUUAAGGGCAGACUCAUAUCAUACCAGGAACUUUACAAAGGGACGAAGGACAUCCUUAGCCUUAGGAUGCUCCCACUCCACUACUGACUCCCACCAUUCUUCUGGAUAUACCAUGAUGUCUCUAAGAGAUGGGGGAGGAGAUGGCUGGCCAUUUAAUUCAAGCAACGGAAGACAAAUUCCCAUCCUCUUUAGCUUCUCACAUUUUGUUAUAAAAAUGAGUUCGAGAGAAUUGCAAAUCAAUUUUGCACAACAAAUGCUUCUUGUUGGUAAUAAUAGCACAUUACACUCUGGAGAUAAUCACGGCAGCAAUCAAUGAGAAAAUCACUCCAAGCAUCAAGGAUCAAUCCAUGGAAAUCAAGACGUUAUGAGGAGCUGAUUUUCUGUAUAUAUAGAAUCUUAAAUAGCUUUCCUUGUAGAGCUGAUACUGUUGUUAUUAUUAGAUUAUAUUCGAUAUUGUCAUUAUUAUUAGGUUGUAAUAAUCUUCUAUAUAAUGCAACAUUCUGCACCAUAAGCAAUUGCUGUGGUUUCCAUUAUCAUCUCUAAAACUCUUCAUGGUAUCAGAGCCUCUAUAGGAUUAAUCUCCACUUGAUCUUAUGGCCUCAGAAAAUUCUUCCAUACUCUCCUUCUGUAACAACCCCGAUUUUCGCGAUACAUUGGAAAUUUUCAGGUAAAUUUUUUUAUAUAUAUACGGGUUCCACCAAAUUUCUACUAAAAUUUCGGCAGAGUCUCCUCUAUAAUAGGAGGUCCCAAGUUAUCGACAAAACCAUAUUACACUUCCAAUUUUAAUUCACAUCCUGAUCCAAUCAUCCUGGAUCUCAACCCAACUCAACAUCAUCAACACAGCACAUGUUAUUCAAUAACGUCAUAUAAUGUAAUUCAAGUUAAAGAUUCGAUUUCCAACUCUAAACAUGCAUGGUUAAAUAGGUACUUAAAGUUACAAACAUUAAAUUAAAGUCAUGCAUUCAAAUUUACAAAUUAAUAUUACAUUUCAAGUUUUAGGAUAUAAGACUCUUAAUUUACAAAUAAUUACAUGGUCAAAAGCAAAAGGUAACUAAACCAGUAUCAUUCCGGACGCGACCUUGAUAGACCUGAAAAUACAAAUUAACGUGUACACAUAAAUAUAAAAAGGUAGUAACAAACAAUAACAAUGAUAGGUAAUAAUCUUCACUUUUGAGACAUAAGAUUAGGUAUAAACCUCUUUUACAACAUGCAUUUUCAAUCUAUUACCAAUAUCCAUCUAAUAUCCUUUCCCAUUUGUUGAGAAUAAUUUCAUCUUGGAAAUCUCAACACAACUUAAUGAUUUUCAAACACCAUCUCCUUAUAAAUCAAUCCUCUCUUUAUACCAAGACAUUUUUCUCUUGAUAUCAUUAGCUUAUCUCAUUCCUUUGGAAUAACUAAUUACUAUUUUCCCUUUUAUUUUCUAGAAAGUAAUCGCUGACACUAAUAAAUCUCAUUAGUACAUUAGUCUUUUAAUAUUGGGAUAGACUAAUCACUUACAUUCACGUACCGAUAUUAACACAACCGAUUAGUAUCAUUAACUAUUCUUUUCUGGAGUAUCAAAUCUUAUUCAUAUCUGAUUUACCAUCAAAGUUGUCGAUGUCAAGAACCCUUGACACUGUCAGCCUCCUUACCUGGAGUAGCUAAUCACACCAGAAAUGGUUGUCGAUACCAAUGUAACCCAUUGAUAUCAUUAACUAUUCUCGACCCAGAAUAGUUAAUAAACCUAUCUUUUUCACUGAACUAGGAGUAACCAUGUCGAUGUUAGUAAUCUUUACUAACAUCAUUAGUCACCCAAUUGCUCGGGAUCGACUAAUCAAUUUUAGAAAUGCCGGCACCAAUGAAACCUCAUUGAUACCAUUAGCAAUCCAAACCCGAAUUGCUAAUCAAUGUUGUCUGAAAUGCCGAUACCAAUGAAACCUCAUUGAUACCAUUAACUAUCCAAACUCGGAUAGCUAAUCAAUGUCACUUGAAAUUUCCAUUCGUAUCAAUCCCCCUUUUUUUCUUUUCUUCUUCUUUUUGUUUUGUUCUUUUUUUCUUUUAACAUCAUAUGCAUUAUAAUAACUGUUGCUAAGCAUCAUUCCCACACAAACUUAGUUAUCAACACUACGACCAUAGUGACAUAAUUAAUUCGAUACAUAACAACACACGCAAGUCACUCCUAUUCGUUCAAACAUUAUCCUAACCAAUAGAGGUAUACUGUUGCACAUAAGGUACUCUUACUCAUUUCAAUAUCAUCGAAGAAAUAAAACAAUAAAUUCUAAAAUUUACCAAUAAGUUUACUCAACUUAAAAAGACAAGGUGCGAUACACGUGCUUCCUUCACAUAAAUUAUUUAAACACAACGCAUCAUCAGUACACAUAUAUAAAUCGAGCAUCAAUAACUUAAUCAUAAUAUACCAUUAAUUUAUCACCCUAAAGUCGGUACACUUCAUUUUUGUUAUUAUAUAUCUAACUCAGCAGUCAGUACAGUAGUGCCACUAACUCUAUUCAAACCAGCUAGUCCACUAUAUUUUCCUUGACAUAAACAUUCACAAUUACACAAGCACAAGUACAUUUAUAGAAAAUACCAUUUAUUUAACUCUAACAAGUAUUGUAAAAACAAAAGUUUGAGGUGUAAGACACCUACCUCAUGCUUUAACUCGCGCAAAAGUCCCAUGCUACUGAACAGAUUCUACAAUCUCUCCUUUAUCAUUAAAGAUACAUAUCAAAUGUGGCUCCACCAUAAUUGAAAAUUCCAUUCUAAAAUUCAUUUAAAUUUAGAAUCACAUGACACAUGCAUUCGCAUAUUUAUUUAUUUAUUUCCUUUCUUUUCAUGACUUGUUUUUCCAGGCUGAAUAUCUUUAAACAUGACCUAACAAUCUUAAUUUAUUUUAUUUUAUUUUAUUUUUGUCUACACAAUCCAUCAUGUACAGACUUAGUAACAUCACACCCUUGCAUUUAUUCAUACCAUUGAAACUAAUUCAUUUUCCUUAUCAAACCAACUCUUGGCCGAAUGACCUUAUUUUUUAUUUAUUUAUUUUCAUGAUGAGUUUUUCAAUUCUUUUUCAUAAGUCCACUUUACUUCAUCUUAAGUAAAUUUAACAACAUAUUUUCAUCAUAAUUCCAUGUACGCCUUAAUUUAACCUUUUCCUCCCCUUUUAUUAUCCAUUUGGACAACGUUAAAAUUCCAUAAAAUGAAAUUUUCCUCACAUUAAUCUAUUAUUUCAAACAUAACACAAUUCAUUUGGCAUUCAACAAACCACAAUCCCAUAAAAAUCCCCAUAACUUUAGGUCAAAUAAACUCAAGUUCAAGAUUUCCAUUUUUGGUUGGAUUCCAUAUUAUGAUGAGAAUUUGUAUCUUUUUAAAAUUCUUCCAAUGACACUCUACCUAAUUUUCUUUAUACAAAUAUAUGCAUCCAUACCUAAUUUUCAUAGAAAAUGAAUCAAAGUCUUAUCUCCUUAUUUCUUCUUCAUUUGGCCGAAUGCCUUUAUUCAUGAUGAGGGAUGAUUCCCUUUUUAAUUAUUCCAGAUAAACGUUUACCAAUUCAUUUCAUAUCUAUUCUAACCUCAUUCAACUCAAAUUCCAUAGCAAUUAAAACAAUUAAGCUCAUCCUCUCAUUUAUAUGUGUAGGCCAAAUCUUUGCAUUAAAUAGAGGAUAAAGUUUUCUUCAAGUUUUCUUUCAAUUACCACUAGACCCAAUCCUUUUUAAUGCCUAAAAACAUAUCCAUUAAAUCAACAAACUCAAUGUCCCUUCAUCCAAAUUUCAAAACUUCCCUAACACAUUUUACAACACAAUUAAUCUAUAACAACACUAAUAACAAGAACACAUUUUACCAUUACAUCUUACAUAAACUCUACACCCACACAAUUCUAAUUUCAUCAAAACAUGUAAUUAAAUCAAGCUUCCUAAAUGUUUUACUAAGACUAGCAAUAGAUUCAAAUAGCAACAACUCAUCCACCUUUGAUUAUUUCCUUGAACCCAACGGUCAGAAUAUAUAUCAUUGUGUUGUGUACAAUAUAUCUCAAAAUCAGAAUAAUCCAACGGUUGGAUCUCCAUAGAUCUGAAUAAAACCGAACUAACCUGAAAAUGGACGAGCUACUGUUCAACACCAAACAAACCUUGCCAGAGAGUGAGUUUCCGAUCUCCACCUUCCAGAAUGAAUGCCACAUCUAGGCGCACGACAUAUCCAAAAAUAGGCACGAUCCAACGGUGGAAGAGAGAGAAAUCGGCCGACGACCAAAACUGCCCUGCAGGUAUAUUCCCUUUUGUUUUCCAGGACCCUUCCGAUGAUGAUUGCUGCUCAAUGGAUUAUGUUCCUUCAAAGCCCUCCGGUCAGUUAAUAGAGGAGUGUGAGAAGAACAAUAUAUCCAAAAAUCAACAUGAUCCAACGGUGGAUUCCAGAGAUAUGGCCACCGAAGCAUUAUGGGUUCAUCCAAAUCCUGCACCUCUCUCUAACCGAAUUCUCUAUUGUCUCUCACCCUUUUUCGUUUUUCUUUC
rnacentral:lncRNA from 1 species